rnacentral:lncRNA from 1 species
GCGCCGUACAUGUCGUGCAUGGUUUAGUGUGCGUAUUUAAGCAUGCGGGCAUGUAUUUACGUACAUGUAGUAGACGUGAGCAGGUGCGGCGGUGGAGUUCUAUAGCUCUAUAUAUGUGAUGUUGAGAGCAUGACGAUCGACUUGCUAACAAUAACAUGCAGCUCGAUCAUUCACUUGAUUCCCGGUUUAGAGAGUGUUAAUGUAAGAGAGACAAAUGACAAAUGAACAGUAGCCGAGUUCGUUCCUCGAUGAUGUUUACAUUUGUAAAGGAACAGUGUAAAGACAAAUGAAAGGGCUUAAUUGGGCCAAUUAAACUUAAAUAUUUUUUAGUCAAAAAUACCUUCGGCUUUAAUAAGGCCCAGUUAGUCUUAUCUGUUGGAUCGCCAAUAUAAUACAUAUACUUUGGUGUAUCACAAUGCAUCGUAAAAUUUCCCAUUAUUUAUCGUUGGUUGGGAUCACACUUCUGUUUCGGAAUAUAAGAUGUAUUGAUUUUCAUGCAAGUCAAAUUUGUGUAUGUUUGACCAUGAUUAUUGAAUGAAAUAUUGACAUAUACAAUACAAAAUAAAAAUAUGAAAAUAAUUUUUGUGAUAGAUCUAAUGAUACAGAUUUGGUACUGUAGAUAUUGGUAUUUUUUCUUCUAAAAACUUGGUCAAACAUAUACAUGUUUGACUUUAAGAAAACUAAUUCACUUAAUAUUUUGGAACGAAGGCAGUAGUUUCUGAACGAAUGCUAUGUCGCCGAAGGGAUGCCUUGCAUGUUGGUUGGAUAAGGUGCAUGAGCGAAACUAUCGUUAUAUCAUCAUCAUCAUCUUGUUAAGUCUCCUAAACCCUCUAGGAAAAAUAUGAGAAGAUAUGUGCAAUAUGACAUCAAAAACUCUCGAAGAAAACGUGGGAGCAAAAGGAGAAACUGACAUAUCAUAAUACCCGUAUUACUAUUACCUCAUUAAAAACCUUCCAAGAGAAACCAUUCGGAAAAAAACUCAUAAAUAAAAAGAAUGCAAUAUCAAAGAUCCGAGGACCACAAAUAUAUUAUCAUACAUGGAUACACCCACCGAACUUUGCAAGUCUCGAAGUCGUCUCAUAUCAAUUCCAUUAAUACAGUUCUCAAAUAAAAACAUGGUAAGGACUUUGUACAUAAAUCAACAACAUUAUCACAUGACUUCGUUUGCAAAGUAUUUAUCUCCCAUUUUUCUGCAACUCAUAGGGAUAAAAUAAUUUAGGAGCAACAUGCUUUGCAAUAUUAUUCUUUAUAUAACAUGUUUGCAUCUGCGUAAUGCAUGCAACAUUAUCUUCAUAGAUAAUGGUGGGUGAUUCAAAUGAACCAAUCCCACUUGAACUUCCAAUAAAAUUCAUCAUUCCGUGAAGCCAUACAUACUCACGUGAUGCUUCAUACAGAAUAAUGAUUUCAGAAUGAUUUGUGGAUGUAGCCACCAAAGUUUGUUUUGUUGAUUUCCAAGAGAAGGUUGUACCCCCAUGCGAAAAGACAAAACAAGUAUGUGAUCUAGCAUUAUGGGGACCAGGUGGAUAUCCAGCAUCACAAUAUCCCACCAUAGUCAUGUCUUGAUUCCUCUGAUAGAACAAACUAUGAGCAUCUACAGCCGGGCGCCCCAAACCUGCCUCAUAUGCCGGGGCGGGCUGCCCGGUCACGAAAUUUUGACCCAGACGGGUGCCUCAAACGCCCGGGCUAACCGACACCCUUCAGAUCCAGCCCAAAUAUGGGGUGGAUAUCGGGGCACUCGAGCGCGUCCGCCACGUCAGACCCGACAGCCCAACCUCAUCGCAAAUUGCACCGAAUCCACCAAAUCGACCUAUCGCAUCGAUUUGCUCUCUCCUCUCUUCUUCCUACUCCCCCCUUCCAUCUCGCCGCCCCGCCGCCGUGCGCGCCUUGUAGCCGUCCAUAGCCUCUGCGCUGCCACCUUCGGCAAAGCAGUCCUCUCUCUCGUCCUCGCUGCCGGGGACGUCGUCGCCGACCCAGACCCCACCGCAAUAUGUCCAUCAACUCUCUAGCUCUGGCUUGCGUUCUAUGUGUUUGAUACAUUGUCUGACCGAUUUUUCUUGAUUUUGUAGGGAAAAUGAUGAAUUACGAUGCUUCGCCAGACGAGGAGUAUCGACCGAUGGAGCUUGAUUAAAUGAUUCAAGAUGACUACUUCGAUUCCUUGGAUUCAGACAAAGAAGUGGACAUGAUCAUGCUUAUGAGCAUGCAAGAGGAAAUGGAUCGGCAGGUGGAGCAUAUUCUCAACUUCAAGGGCUCAAUCAAAGGGAGAAGAGUGAUCAAUCGGGAUAGGGUGUCUAGAGCACGGCUAUUAUAGAAGGACUACUUUGCUCUGAACCUAACUUUCCCAGAUGAUCCAUGGUUUCGUUGCCGUUUCCCCAUGUGGAAACCAUUGUUCUUGCGCAUUGUGGAGGGAGUGGAGGCACAUGAUGACUACUUCAAGCUCAAGAGGGAUUGAUGCAUCCAACUUUCUUUAUCUGCUAAGCAUAAGUGCACGACUUGCACUUGGUAAUGCCGCAGAUGCCGUUGGUGAGAUGGUCAGGAAGGGGAGAGCACAUGCCUGAAGACUACUGUCAGGUUUGCCCGCGCCUUGGUGCAGGUGUUUGGCGCAGAGUAUCUGCGAGAACCAAAUGCAUAGGAAACAAAAAAGUUGUUGGCUAUUGGAGAGGCCAGAGGGUUGCUAGGAAUUCUCGGAUCAAUUGAUUGCAUGCAUUGAAACCAGAAGAACUGCCCCAAAGAUUUGCGGGGAAUGUAUCAAGGUCACUCCAAAGAGGCCACCAUCAUACUUGAAGCGGUGGCAUCACAUGACUUAUGGAUUUGGCAUGCAUUCUUUGGAAUGCCGGGAUCUCACAAUGACAUCAACAUGCUUCAACGAUCUCCGGUGUUCAGCAGUCUUUGCAAUGGGGAAUCGCCGCCGUGCAACUACAUUGUCAACAACCGUGAGUACAACAUGGGAUACUAUAUUGCGGACGACAUCUAUCCUCAGUGGGCGGCGUUUGUGUAGACCAUAUCCAAACCACAGGGCAACAAACAAAGCCUGUUGGGUUUCGUAGUAAUUUCAAAAUUUUUCCUACGCACACGCAAGAUCAUGUGAUGCAUAGCAACGAGAGGAGAGUGUUGUCUACGUACCCAACGUAGACCGACUGCGGAAGCGAUGACGCGACAUAGAGGAAGUAGUCAUACGUCUUCACGAUCCAACCGAUCAAGUACCGAAACUACGGCACCUCCGAGUUCGAGCACACGUUCAGCUCGAUGACGAUCCCCGGACUCCGAUCCAGCAAAGUGUCGGGGAAGAGUUUCGUCAGCACGACGGCGUGGUGACGAUCUUGAUGAACUACAGCAGCAGGGCUUCGCCUAAACUCCGCUACAGUAUUAUCGAGGAAUAUGGUGGCAGGGGGCACCGCACACGGCUAAGGAAUCGAUCACGUGGAUCAACUUGUGUCAACUUGUGUGUUUAGAGGUGCCCCUGCCUCAGUAUAUAAAGGAGCCAAGGGGGGAGGGUGCGCCGGCCAAGAGAGAGAGGCGCAGGAGGAGUCCUACUCCUACCGGGAGUAGGACUCCCCCCCCCCAAUCCUAUUCUAACUAGGAUUCCCAAGGGGGAAAGAGGGAGAGGGGUGGCCGGCCACCUCUCCUAGUCCUAAUAGGACUAGGGGAUGGGGGGAGGCGCGCAGCCCCCUUGGGCUGCCCCUUUCUCCUUUCCACUAAGGCCCAUGAUGGCCCAUAUGGCUCCCGGGGGGGUUCCGGUAACCUCCCGGUAUUCCGGUAAAAUCCCGAUUUUACCCGGAACACUUCCGAUGUCCAAACAUAGGCUUCCAAUAUAUCAAUCUUUAUGUCUCGACCAUUUCGAGACUCCUCGUCGUGUCCGUGAUCAUAUCCGGGACUCCGAACAACCUUCGGUACAUCAAAAUGCAUAAACUCAUAAUAUAACUAUCAUCGUAACUUUAAGCGUGCGGACCCUACGGGUUCGAGAACAAUGUAGACAUGACCGAGACACGUCUCCAGUCAAUAACCAAUAGCGGGACCUGGAUGCCCAUAUUGGCUCCUACAUAUUCUACGAAGAUCUUUAUCGGUCAGACCGCAUAACAACAUACGUUGUUCCCUUUGUCAUCGGUAUGUUACUUGCCCGAGAUUCGAUCGUCGGUAUCCAAUACCUAGUUCAAUCUUGUUACCGGCAAGUCUCUUUACUCGUUCCGUAAUACAUCAUCUCACAACUAACAUAUUAGUUGUAAUGCUUGCAAGGCUUAUGUGAUGUGUAUUACCGAGAGGGCCCAGAGAUACCUCUCCGACAAUCGGAGUGCUAAUCUCGAAAUACGCCAACCCAACAUCGACCAUUGGAGACACCUGUAGUACUCCUUUAUAAUCACCCAUUUACGUUGUGACGUUUGGUAGUACCCAAAGUGUUCCUCCGGUAAACGGGAGUUGCAUAAUCUCAUAGUCAUAGGAACAUGUAUAAGUCAUGAAGAAAGCAAUAGCAACAUACUAAACGAUCAGGUGCUAAGCUAAUGGAAUGGGUCAUGUCAAUCAGAUCAUUCUACUAAUGAUGUGACCUCGUUAAUCAAAUAACAACUCAUUGUUCAUGGUUAGGAAACAUAACCAUCUUUGAUUAACGAGCUAGUCAAGUAGAGGCAUACUAGUGACACUCUGUUUGUCUAUGUAUUCACACAUGUAUUAUGUUUCCGGAAAAUACAAUUCUAGCAUGAAUAAUAAACAUUUAUCAUGAUUAUAAGGAAAUGAAUAAUAACUUUAUUAUUGCCUCUAGGGCAUAUUUCCUUCAGUCUCCCACUUGCACUAGAGUCAAUAAUCUAGAUUACACUGUAAUGAAUCUAACACCCAUGGAGCUUUGGUGCUGAUCAUGUUUUGCUCGUGGAAGAGGCUUAGUCAACGGGUCUGCAACAUUCAGAUCCGUAUGUAUCUUGCAAAUCUCUAUGUCUCCCACCUGGACUAGAUCCCGGAUGGAGUUGAAGCGUCUCUUGAUGUGUUUGGUCCUUUUGUGAAAUCUGGAUUCCUUUGCCAAGGCAAUUGCACCAGUAUUGUCACAAAAGAUUUUCAUUGGACCCGAUGCACUAGGUAUGACACCUAGAUCGGAUAUGAACUCCUUCAUCCAGACUCCUUCAUUUGCUGCUUCCGAAGCAGCUAUGUAUUCCGCUUCACAUGUAGAUCCCGCUACGACGCUUUGUUUAGAACUGCACCAACUGACAGCUCCACCGUUUAAUGUAAACACGUAUCCGGUUUGCGAUUUAGAAUCGUCCGGAUCAGCGUCAAAGCUUGCAUCAACGUAACCUUUUACGAUGAGCUCUUUGUCACUUCCAUAUACGAGAAACAUAUCCUUAGUCCUUUUCAGGUAUUUCAGGACGUUCUUGACCGCUGUCCAAUGAUCCAUUCCUGGAUUACUUUGGUACCUCCCUGCUAAACUUAUAGCAAGGCACACAUCAGGUUUGGUACACAGCAUUGCAUACAUGAUAGAGCCUAUGGCUGAUGCAUAGGGAACAUCUUUCAUAUUCUCUCUAUCUUCUGCAGUGGUCGGGCAUUGAGUCUUACUCAAUUUCACACCUUGUAACACAGGCAAGAACCCUUUCUUUGCUUGAUUCAUUUUGAAUUUCUUCAAAAUUUUGUCAAGGUAUGUGCUUUGUGAAAGUCCAAUUAAGCGUCUUGAUCUGUCUCUAUAGAUCUUAAUGCCUAAUAUGUAAGCAGCUUCACCGAGGUCUUUCAUUGAAAAACUUUUAUUCAAGUAUCCCUUUAUGCUAUCCAGAAAUUCUAUAUCAUUUCCAAUCAGUAAUAUGUCAUCCACAUAUAAUAUCAGAAAUGCUACAGAGCUCCCACUCACUUUCUUGUAAAUACAGGCUUCUCCGAAAGUCUGUAUAAAACCAAAUGCUUUGAUCACACUAUCAAAACGUUUAUUCCAACUCCGAGAGGCUUGCACCAGUCCAUAAAUGGAUCGCUGGAGCUUGCACACUUUGUUAGCUCCCUUUGGAUCGACAAAACCUUCUGGUUGCAUCAUAUACAACUCUUCUUCCAGGAAUCCAUUCAGGAAUGCAGUUUUGACAUCCAUUUGCCAAAUUUCAUAAUCAUAAAAUGCGGCAAUUGCUAACAUGAUUCGGACGGACUUAAGCAUCGCUACGGGUGAGAAGGUCUCAUCGUAGUCAAUUCCUUGAACUUGCCGAAAACCUUUUGCGACAAGUCGAGCUUUGUAGACAGUAACAUUACUAUCAGCGUCGGUCUUCUUCUUAAAAAUCCAUUUAUUCUCAAUCGCUUGCCGAUCAUCGGGCAAGUCAACCAAAGUCCAUACUUUGUUCUCAUACAUGGAUCCCAUCUCAGAUUUCAUGGCUUCUAGCCACUUUGCGGAAUCUGGGCUCACCAUCGCUUCUUCAUAGUUCGUAGGUUCAUCAUGAUCUAGUAGCAUGACCUCCAGAACAGGAUUACCGUACCACUCUGGUGCGGAUCUUACUCUGGUUGAUCUACGAAGUUCAGUAGUAUCUUGAUCUGAAGUUUCAUGAUCAUUAUCAUUGGCUUCCUCACUAACUGGUGUAGGUGUCACUGAAACAGUUUUCUGUGAUGAACUACUUUCCAGUAAGGGAGCAGGUACAGUUACCUCGUCAAGUUCUACUUUCCUCCCACUCACUUCUUUCGAGAGAAACUCCUUCUCUAGAAAUGAUCCAUUCUUAGCAACGAAUGUUUUGCCUUCGGAUCUGUGAUAGAAGGUGUACCCAACAGUUUCCUUUGGGUAUCCUAUGAAGACACAUUUCUCCGAUUUGGGUUCGAGCUUAUCAGGUUGAAGUUUUUUACAUAAGCAUCGCAGACCCAAACUUUAAGAAACGACAACUUUGGUUUCUUGCCAAACCACAGUUCAUAAGGUGUCGUCUCAACGGAUUUUGAUGGUGCCCUAUUUAACGUGAAUGCGGCCGUCUCUAAAGCAUAUCCCCAAAAUGAUAGCGGUAAAUCUGUAAGAGACAUCAUAGAUCGCACCAUAUCUAGUAAAGUAUGAUUACGACGUUCGGACACACCAUUACGCUGUGGUGUUCCGGGUGGCGUGAGUUGCGAAACUAUUCCACAGUUUUUCAAAUGUACACCAAACUCGUAACUCAAAUAUUCUCCUCCACGAUCAGAUCGUAGAAACUUUAUUUUCUUGUUACGAUGAUUUUCAACUUCACUCUGAAAUUCUUUGAACUUUUCAAAUGUUUCAGACUUAUGUUUCAUUAAGUAAAUAUACCCAUAUCUGCUUAAAUCAUCUGUGAAGGUGAGAAAAUAACGAUAUCCGCCACGAGCCUCAAUAUUCAUCGGGCCACAUACAUCGGUAUGUAUGAUUUCCAACAAAUCUGUUGCUCUCUCCAUAGUACCGGAGAACGGUGUUUUAGUCAUCUUGCCCAAGAGGCACGGUUCGCAAGUACCAAGUGAUUCAUAAUCAAGUGGUUCCAAAAGUCCAUCGGUAUGGAGUUUCUUCAUGCGCUUUUAUACCGAUAUGACCUAAACGACAGUGCCACAAAUAAGUUGCACUUUCAUUAUCAACUCUGCAUCUUUUGGCUUCAACAUUAUGAAUAUGUGUAUUACUACUAUCGAGAUUUAGUAAGAAUAGACCACUCUUCAAGGGUGCAUGACCAUAAAAGAUAUUACUCAUAUAAAUAGAACAACCAUUAUUCUCUGAUUUAAAUGAAUAACCGUCUCGCAUUAAACAAGAUCCAGAUAUAAUGUUCAUGCUCAACGCUGGCACCAAAUAACAAUUAUUUAGGUCUAAUAUUAAUCCCGAAGGUAGAUGUAGAGGUAGCGUGCCGACUGCGAUCACAUCGACUUUGGAACCGUUUCCCACGCGCAUCGUCACCUCGUCCUUUGCUAGUGCCCGCUUAUUCUGUAGUCCCUGUUUCGAGUUGCAAAUAUUAGCAACAGAACCAGUAUCAAAUACCCAGGUGCUACUGCGAGCUCUAGUAAGGUACACAUCAAUAACAUGUAUAUCACAUAUACCUUUGUUCACCUUGCCAUCCUUCUUAUCCGCCAAAUACUUGGGGCAGUUCCGCUUCUAGCGACCAGUCUGCUUGCAGUAGAAGCACUCAGUUUCAGGCUUAGGUCUAGACUUGGGUUUCUUCUCUUGAGUAGCAACUUGCUUGCCGUUCUUUUUGAAGUUCCCCUUUUUCUUCCCUUUGCCCUUUUUCUUGAAACUAGUGGUCUUGUUAACCAUCAACACUUGAUGCUCCUUCUUGAUUUCUACCUCCGCAGUUUUCAGCAUUGCGAAGAGCUCGGGAAUUGUCUUGUUCAUCCCUUGCAUAUUAUAGUUCAUCACGAAGCUCUUGUAGCUUGGUGGCAGUGAUUGGAGAAUUCUGUCAAUGACGCAAUCAUCCGGAAGAUUAACUCCCAAUUGAAUCAAGUGAUUAUUAUACCCAGACAUUUUGAGUAUAUGCUCACUGACAGAACUGUUCUCCUCCAUCUUGCAGCUAUAGAACUUAUUGGAGACUUCAUAUCUCUCAAUCCGGGCAUUUGCUUGAAAUAUUAACUUCAACUCCUGGAACAUCUCAUAUGCUCCAUGACGUUCAAAACGUCGUUGAAGUCCCAAUUCUAAGCCGUAAAGCAUGGCACACUGAACUAUCGAGUAGUCAUCAGCUUUGCUCUGCCAGACGUUCAUAACAUCUGGCGUUGCUCCAGCAGCAGGCCUGGCACCCAGCGGUGCUUCCAGGACGUAAUUCUUCUGUGCAGCAAUGAGGAUAAUCCUCAAGUUACGGACCCAGUCCGUGUAAUUUCUACCAUCAUCUUUCAACUUUGCUUUCUCAAGGAACGCAUUAAAAUUCAACGGAACAAUAGCACGAGCCAUCUAUCUACAAUCAACAUAAACAAGCAAGAUACUAUCAGGGACUAAGUUCAUGAUAAAUUUUAAGUUCAAUUAAUCAUAUUACUAAAGAACUCCCACUUAGAUAGACAUCCCUCUAAUCCUCUAAGUGAUCACGUGAUCCAAAUCAACUAAACCAUAACCGAUCAUCACGUGAGAUGGAGUAGUUUUCAAUGGUGAACAUCGUUAUGUUGAUCAUAUCUACUAUAUGAUUCACGCUCGACCUUUCGGUCUCCGUGUUCCGAGGCCAUAUCUGCAUAUGCUAGGCUCGUCAAGUUUAACCUGAGUAUUCUGCAUGUGCAAAACUGGCUUGCACCCGUUGUAGAUGGACGUAGAGCUUAUCACACCCGAUCAUCACGUGGUGUCUGGGCACGACGAACUUUGGCAACGGUGCAUACUCAGGGAGAACACUUCUUGAUAAUUUAGUGAGAGAUCAUCUUAUAAUGCUACCGUCAAUCAAAGCAAGAUAAGAUGCAUAAAAAGAUAAACAUCACAUGCAAUCAAUAUAAGUGAUAUGAUAUGGCCAUCAUCAUCUCGUGCUUGUGAUCUCCAUCUCCGAAGCACCGUCAUGAUCACCAUCGUCACCGGCGCGACACCUUGAUCUCCAUCGUAGCAUCGUUGUCGUCUCGCCAACCUUAUGCUUCCACGACUAUCACUACCGUUUAGUAAUAAAGUAAAGCAUUACAUCGCGAUUGCAUUGCAUACAAUAAAGCGACAACCAUAUGGCUCCUGCCAGUUGCCGAUAACUCGGUUACAAAACAUGAUCAUCUCAUACAAUAAAAUUCAACAUCAUGCUUUGACCAUAUCACAUCACAACAUGCCCUGCAAAAACAAGUUAGACGUCCUCUACUUUGUUGUUGCAUGUUUUACGUGGCUGCUACGGGCUUAAGUAAGAACCAAUCUCACCUACGCAUCAAAACCACAACGAUAGUUUGUCAAAUAGACUCCGUUUUAACCUUCGCAAGGACCGGGCGUAGCCAUACUUGGUUCAACUAAAGUUGGAGAGACAGUCGCCCGCAAGCCAUCUCUGUGCAAAGCACGUCGAGGGAACCGGUCUCGCGUAAGCGUACGCGUAAGGUUGGUCCGGGUCGUCUCGUCCAACAAUACCGCCGAACCAAAAUAUGACAUGCUGGUAGGCAGUAUGACUUGUAUCGUCCACAACUCACUUGUGUUCUACUCGUGCAUAUAACAUCAACAUCAUUAACCUAGGCUCGGAUGCCACUGUUGGGUUUCGUAGUAAUUUCAAAAAUUUUCCUACGCACACGCAAGAUCAUGUGAUGCAUAGCAACGAGAGGAGAGUGUUGUCUACGUACCCAACGCAGACCGACUGCGGAAGCGAUGACGCGACGUAGAGGAAGUAGUCGUACGUCUUCACGAUCCAACCGAUCAAGUACCGAAACUACGGCACCUCCGAGUUCGAGCACACGUUCAGCUCGAUGACGAUCCCCGGACUCCGAUCCAGCAAAGUGUCGGGGAAGAGUUUCGUCAGCACGACGGCGUGGUGACGAUCUUGAUGAACUACAGCAGCAGGGCUUCGCCUAAACUCCGCUACAGUAUUAUCGAGGAAUAUGGUGGCAGGGGGCACCGCACACGGCUAAGGAAUCGAUCACGUGGAUCAACUUGUGUCAACUUGUGUGUUUAGAGGUGCCCCUGCCUCAGUAUAUAAAGGAGCCAAGGGGGGAGGGUGCGCCGGCCAAGAGAGAGAGGCGCAGGAGGAGUCCUACUCCUACCGGGAGUAGGACUCCCCCCCAAUCCUAUUCUAACUAGGAUUCCCAAGGGGGAAAGAGGGAGAGGGGUGGCCGGCCACCUCUCCUAGUCCUAAUAGGACUAGGGGAUGGGGGGAGGCGUGCAGCCCCCUUGGGCUGCCCCUUUCUCCUUUCCACUAAGGCCCAUGAUGGCCCAUAUGGCUCCCGGGGGGGUUCCGGUAACCUCCCGGUAUUCCGGUAAAAUCCCGAUUUUACCCGGAACACUUUCGAUGUCCAAACAUAGGCUUCCAAUAUAUCAAUAUUUAUGUCUCGACCAUUUCGAGACUCCUCGUCAUGUCCGUGAUCAUAUCCGGGACUCCGAACAACCUUCGGUACAUCAAAAUGCAUAAACUCAUAAUAUAACUGUCAUCGUAACUUUAAGCGUGCGGACCCUACGGGUUCGAGAACAAUGUAGACAUGACCGAGACACGUCUCCAGUCAAUAACCAAUAGCGGGACCUGGAUGCCCAUAUUGGCUCCUACAUAUUCUACGAAGAUCUUUAUCGGUCAGACCGCAUAACAACAUACGUUGUUCCCUUUGUCAUCGGUAUGUUACUUGCCCGAGAUUCGAUCGUCGGUAUCCAAUACCUAGUUCAAUCUUGUUACCGGCAAGUCUCUUUACUCGUUCCGUAAUACAUCAUCUCACAACUAACAUAUUAGUUGUAAUGCUUGCAAGGCUUAUGUGAUGUGUAUUACCGAGAGGGCCCAGAGAUACCUCUCCGACAAUCGGAGUGACAAAUCCUAAUCUCGAAAUACGCCAACCCAACAUCGACCAUUGGAGACACCUGUAGUACUCCUUUAUAAUCACCCAUUUACGUUGUGACGUUUGGUAGUACCAAAAGUGUUCCUCCGGUAAACGGGAGUUGCAUAAUCUCAUAGUCAUAGGAACAUGUAUAAGUCAUGAAGAAAGCAAUAGCAACAUACUAAACGAUCAGGUGCUAAGCUAAUGGAAUGGGUCAUGUCAAUCAGAUCAUUCUACUAAUGAUGUGACCUCGUUAAUCAAAUAACAACUCAUUGUUCAUGGUUAGGAAACAUAACCAUCUUUGAUUAACGAGCUAGUCAAGUAGAGGCAUACUAGUGACACUCUGUUUGUCUAUGUAUUCACACAUGUAUUAUGUUUCCGGAAAAUACAAUUCUAGCAUGAAUAAUAAACAUUUAUCAUGAUUAUAAGGAAAUAAAUAAUAACUUUAUUAUUGCCUCUAGGGCAUAUUUCCUUCAAAGCCAACUUGCAAGGAAGAAGGAAGUAGCUAGGAAGGAUGUGGAGAGGGCAUUCAGAGUGCUUCAAGCUCGUUGGGAAAUUGUUCAUGGAGUUGCAAUGACGUGGGAAUCAUAAACUUUUUGGCAGCUCAUGACAUGUUGUGUUGUUUUGCACAAUAUGAUUGUCGAGGAUGAGGAUGAUGGUGUAGCCCAAACCAAUGAUUUUGAAGCACAUUAAGAACAAGUUCAAAUCCCGGAAGAUCAAGAUGCAGCUCAGCUUAUGAACUUUCUACAGAUGCAUCAAAAUCUUCGAGAUCAUCAGGUGCACGCGCGGCUACUCAAUGAUCCCAUGGAGCAUAUGUGGACCCACAAUGAAAAUUUAUAGAGAAUUAUUUUGUAAUAUAUAAAAAUACUGGCGGAAGAAAUACCAGGAGGGGGGCCACCAGAGAGUGACAAGCUUCGGGGGCAUGCCCUAUGAGCUUGUGGGCCCCCUGGCAGGCCUCCAAUGCCCAUCUUCUGCUAUAUGAAGCCAUUUUCCUAAGGAAAAAUAAAUCAUAAGAAGACUUUCAGGACGAAGCGCCGCGGUCUCAAGGCGGAACCUGGGCAGGAUCACUUUUGCUAUUCGGCGGAGCGAUUCCAGGAGGGAGACCUCCCUCUAGGAGGGGGAAAUCGGAGCCAUCGACAUCACCAAUGAUUCUCUCAUCAUGGGAGGACCAAUCUUCAUCAACAUCUUCACCAGCACCAUCUCACCUCAAACCCUAGUUCAUCUCUUGUAUUCAAUGUUUGUCUCAAAACCUCAGAUUGGUACCUGUGGGUUGUUAGUAGUGUUGAUUACAUCUUGUAGUUGAUGCUACUUGGUUUAUUUGGUGGAAGAUUGUAUAUUAAGAUCCUUAAUGAUAUUCAAUACCCCUCUGAUCUUGAACAUGGAUAUGAUUUGUGAGUAGUUACUUUUGUUCUUGAGGACAUGGGAGAAGUUUUGUUAUAAGUAAUCAUGUGAAUUUGGUAUUCGUUCGAUAUUUUGAUGAUAUGUAUGUUGUUGCUUCCUUUAGUAGUGUCAUGUGAACGUCGACUACAUGACACUUCACCAUACUUGGGCCUAAGGGAAGACACUGUGGAGUAGUAAGUAGAUGAUGGGUUGCUAGAGUUACAGAAGCUUAAACCCUAGUUUAUGCGUAAUUCCAUAAGGGGCAAAUUUGGAUCCAUCUAUUUCAUGCUAUGGUUAGAUUUAUCUUAAUUCUUCUUUCGUAGUUGCGGAUGCUUACAAGAGGGGGUAAUCAUAAGUGGGAGGCUUGUUCAAGUAAGAACAACACCUAAGCACCAAUCCACCCACAUAUCAAAUUAUCAAAGUAGCGAACGUGGAUCAAAUAAACUUGAUGAAAGUAAGUAGAUGAUAAUUCCCAUGUGUCCUCAAGAAUGCUUUGCUUAUUAUAAGAGAAAGUUCCUGCUUGUCCUUUUCUAUAAAAAGGAUUGUGAUACCUUGCUGCACAUUUGUUACUAUUGCUACUUGUUACUUGUUACAAAUUACCUUGCCAUCAAACUCUGUUAUCGAUAAUUUCAAUGCUUGCACAGAAUACCUUGCUGAAAACCGCUUGUCAUUUCCUUCUGCUCCUCGUUGGGUUCGACACUCUUACUUAUCGAAAGGACUAUGAUUGGUGCCCUAUACUUGUGGGUCAUCAUGCUCCCAUGACAAAAAGUAGACUAGCCCGAUGAGGCUGUUCAGCCGAGCAGUGGACAUCGACGAUGCCUUCCACUCCCCCUUUGUGUUGAGGGGACAAUGAUCUUGCCCUUACCCCUGAUGCUGCCCUUGCUAGCAGCAGUGGCCUUGCCCGAGGAGCCACCUGUGCGUCACCUCCAUCAAUUUCGGGGCCAUUGGUUGCAGGACCUAACAUGGUGUAGUGGAGUAAAGAAGAGAGCUUGGAGUUCGAGGAACAACAAUUGCACCAGGAGGAAGAAGACAUGGGCGAUGGAAAUGAAGGAAGUUUCAUUUGCCUUAGCAUGGGUUCCUUAUAAGCCCCUGGAUGAAACGAAAUGGCGCCACUAUUGUCAUGACAACGGCCGUGAAAUCAUGCCGCAUCCCCACUAUGCAUGAGAAUCUAGGCAUCGCAUUAGUUACACUAGUACAUGGGGCAUCACCGUGUGCUAACCGAUGGGACGUGACCUAGGUGGGGAUUAGGACCCCUCAUGUUCUCUGCAUUGAUUGGCAGUCAAUAUAAAGUAGUCUAGAUCAACCAACUACCAGGUUCGAUGUGAUCUCGGGCCAAUGUCCCCUUCGUCAAGAUUCAAAACGCCUUGUGGGAGAUCCGCUCGUGGAAGCCAGCUUCGUAGGGAUGUUUUUGCGGAGGCCGAAUAUCUACUUCAACGACUCAAAGAUCGGAGGUAGGUGUUGGAAAUAUGCCCUAGAGGCAAUAAUAAAAUGGUUAUUAUUGUAUUUCAUUGUUCAUGAUAAUUUUCUAUUGUUCAUGCUAUAAUUGUAUUAACUGGAAACCGUAAUACAUGUGUGAAUUCACAGACCACAACAUGUCCCUAGUGAGCCUCUAGUUGACUAGCUCGUUGAUCAAUAGAUGGUUAUGGUUUCCUGACCAUGGACAUUGGAUGUCAUUGAUAACGGGAUCACAUCAUUAGGAGAAUGAUGUGAUGGACAAGACCCAAUCCUAAGCAUAGCACAAGAUCAUGUAGUUCGUUUGCUAAGAGCUUUUCUAAUGUCAAGUAUCAUUUCCUUAGACCAUGAGAUUGUGUAACUCCAGGAUACCGUAGGAAUGCUUUGGUUGUACCAAACGCCACAACGUAACUCGGUGGCUAUAAAGGUGCACUACAAUAUCUCUGAAAGUAUCUAUUGGGUUGGCACGAAUCAAGACUGGAAUUUGUCACUCCGUAUGACAGAGAGGUAUCUCUGGGCCCACUCGGUAAUGCAUCAUCAUAAUGAGCUCAAUGUGACUAAGUAGUUGGUCACAGGAUCAUGCAUUACGGAACGAGUAAAGUGACUUGCCGGUAACAAGAUUGAACGAGGUAUCGGGAUAUCGACGAUCGAAUCUCGGGCAAGUAACAUACCGAUUGACAAAGGGAAUUGUAUACGGGAUUGCUUGAAUCCCCGACAUCAUGGUUCAUCUGAUGAGAUCAUCAUGGAACAUGUGGGAGCCAACAUGGGUAUCCAGAUCCUGCUAUUGGUUAUUGACCGGAGAGAUGUCUCGGUCAUGUCUACAUGCCUCCCGAACCCGUAGGGUCUACACACUUAAGGUUCGAUGACGCUAGGGUUAUAGGGAAAGUUUGUAUGUGGUUACUGAAUGUUGUUUGGAGUCCCGAAUGAGAUCCCGGACGUCACGAGGAGUUCCGGAAUGGUUCGGAGGUAAAGCAUUAUAUAUAGGGAGUGAGGUUUUGGCCACCGGAAGUAUUUCGGGCGUCAUCGGUAAUGUACCGGGACCACCGGAAGGGUUCCGGCGGUCCACCGGGAGGGGCCACCAGCCCCGGAGGCUUGCCUGGGCCAAGAGUGGGAAGGGACCAGCCCCAGAGUGGGCUGGUGCACCUCCCACCAAGGCCCAAGGCGUAGCUAGGAGGAGAGAGGGGAAACCCUAGGCGCAGAUGGGCCUGAAGGCUCACCCUAGGGCGCGCCCCCUUCUCUCCCCCUCUUGGCCGCCCCCUCCAAGUCCCAUCUAGGGCUACCGCACCCCUAGGGUGGGAACCCUAGAUGGGGGCGCAGCCACCUCCCCUCCUCCUAUACAUAGUGGGGUUUUUGGGGCUGCCAAACACAUGAGUCUCUCUCUCUCUCUCUCUCUCUCUCAGCGCAGCCCUACCUCUCCACAUCCCCGUCCUCCGUAGUGCUUGGCGAAGCCCUGCUGGAAACCAUGCUGGUCCACCACCACCACGCUGUUGUGCUGCUGCUGGAGUUCUCUUCCCCAACCUCUCCCUCCUCCUUGCUGGAUCAAGGCACGAGAGACGUCACCGGGCUGCACGUGUGUUGAACACGGAGGCGCCAUUGUUCGGCGCUUAGAUCGGAAUCGACCACAAUCUGAAUCGCUGCGUGUACGACUCCUCCAACUGUGUUCUUGUAACGCUUCCGUAUCGCGAUCUUCAAGGGUAUGAAGAUACACUCACCUCUCUCUUGUUGUUAGAAUCUCCAUAGAUUGAUCUUGGUGAUGCGUAGAAAAUUUUGAAUUUCUGCUACGUUCCCCAAGAGUGGCAUCAUGAGCUAGGUCUAUUGCGUAGAUUCUAUGCACGAGUAGAACACAAGUAGUUGUGGGCGUUGGUUUUGUUCAAUAUGCUUACCGUUACUAGUCCUAUCUUGUUUCGACGGUAUUGUGGGAUGAAGCAGCCCGGACCGACCUUACACGUACACUUACCUGAGACAGGUUCCACCGACUGACAUGCACUUGUUGCAUAAAGGUGGCUAGUGGGUGCCAGUCUCUCCCACUUUAGUCGGAUCGGAUUCGAUGAAAAGGGUCCUUAUAAAGGGUAAAUAGCAAUUGGCAUAUCACUGUUGUGGCUUUUGCGUAGGUAAGAAACGUUCUUGCUAGAAACCCAUAGCAGCCACAUAAAACAUGCAACAACAAUUAGAGGACAUCUAACUUGUUUUUGCAGGGUAUGCUAUGUGAUGUGAUAUGGCCAAAAAGAAUGUGAUGAAUGAUAUGUGAUGUAUGAGAUUGAUCAUGUUCUUGUAAUAGGAAUCACGACUUGCAUGUCGAUGAGUAUGACAACCAGCAGGAGCCAUAGGAGUUGUCUUAAUUUAUUGUAUGACCUGCGUGUCAUUGAAUAACGCCAUGUAAUUACUUUACUUUAUUGCUAAAUCGUUAGCCAUAGUGGUAUAAGUAAUAGUUGGCGAGACAACUUCAUGAAGACACGAUGAUGGAGAUCAUGGUGUCAUGCCGGUGACAAAGGUGAUCAUGCCGUGCCUCAAGAUGGAGAUCAAAGGCGCAAGAUGAUAUUGGCCAUAUCAUGUCACUUUAUGAUUUGCAUGUGAUGUUUGUCAUGUUUACAUCUUAUUUGCUUAGAACGACGGUAGCAUAAGUAAGAUGAUCCCUCAUAAAAAAUCAAGAAAGUGUUCCCCCUAACUGUGCACCAUUGCGAAAGUUCGUUGUUUCGAAGCACCACGUGAUGAUCGGGUGUGAUAGAUUCUAACGUUCACAUACAAGGGGUGUAAGCCAGAUUUACACACGCGAAACACUUAGGUUGACUUGACGAGCCUAGCAUGUACAGACAUGGCCUCGGAACACAAGAGACUGAAAGGUCGAACAUGAGUCGUAUAGUAGAUGCGAUCAACAUGAAGAUGUUCACCGAUGAUGACUAGUCCGUCUCACGUGAUGAUCAAACACGGACUGGUUGACUUGGAUCAUGUAUCGCUUAGAUGACUAGAGAGAUGUCUAUCUGAGUGGGAGUUCAUUAAAUAAUCAAAUGAACUUAAUUAUCAUGAACAUAGUCAAAAGGUCUUUGCGAAUUAUGUCGUAGCUUACGCUUUAGUUCUACUGUUUAAGAUAUGUUCCUAGAGAAAUUUUAGUUGAAGGUUGAUAGUAGCAAUUAUGCGGACUGGGUCCGUCCUCAUUACUAUGCAGAAGGCUUAUGUCCUUAAUGCACCGCUCGGUGUGCUGAACCUCAAGCAUCGUCUGUGGAUGUUGCGAACAUCUGACAUACACAUUUUGAUGACUACGUGAUAGUUCAGUGCGUAAUGCUAACGGUUUAGAAUUGAGGCGCCAAAGGCGUUUUUUUUGAAACAUCGCAGAACAUAUGAGAUGUUCCAAGAGCUGACAUUGGGAUUUCAGGCUCGUGCCCACGUCAAGAAGUGUGAGACCUCCGACAAGUUUCUUAAACCUGCAAGCUAAGGGAGAAAAGCUCAAUCUUUGAGCAUGUGCUCAGAUUGCCUGAGUACGACAAUUGCUUGAAUCGAGUGGACUUAUCUUCCAGAUGAGAUAGUGAUGGUUCUCCAAAGUCACUGCCACCAAGCUACUAGAGCUUCAUGAUGAACUAUAACAUAUCAGGGAUAGAUAUGAUGAUCCUUGAGCUAUUCGUGAUGUUUGACACCGCUAAAGUAGAAAUCAAGAAGGAGCAUCAAUUGUUGAUGGUUAGUGAAACCACUAGUUUCAAGAAGGGCAAGGGUAAGAAGGGAUACUUCAUGAAAUGGCAAAUCAGUUGCUGCUCUAGUGAAGAAACCCAAGGUUGAAUCCAAACCCGAGACUAAGUGCUUCUGAAAUGAGGGGAACGGUCACUGAAGCAGAACUACCCUAGAUACUUGGUAGAUGAGAAGGCUGGCAAGGUCGACAAAAGUAUAUUGGAUAUACAUUGUAUUAAUGUGUACUUUACUAGUACUCCUAGUAGCACCAGGGUAUUAGAUACCGGUUCAGUUACUAAGUGUUAGUAACUCGAAAUAAAAGCUACGUAAUAAACAGAGACUAGCUAAAGGCGAGGUGACGAUAAAUUGUUGGAAGUGUUUCCAGGGUUGAUGUGAUCAAACAUCGCACGCUCCCUCUACCAUCGAGAUCGGUGUUAAACCUAAAUAAUUGUUAUUUGGUGUUUGCAUUGAGCAUAGACAUGAUUGGAUUAUGUUUAUCACAAUACGGUUAUUCAUUUAAGGAGAAUAAUGGUUAUUCUGUUUAUUUGAAUAAUACCUUCAAUGGUCUUGCACCUAAAAUGAAUGGCUUAUUGAAUCUCGAUCGUAGUGACACACAUGUUCAUGCCAAAAGAUAUAAGAUAGUAAUGAUAGUACCACAUACUUGUGGCACUGCCAUUUGAGUCAUAUUUGUCGUGGAUUUGUCACGGCAGAUGUCCUCAUGAAAGGACUUAGUUGUGGAGCCAUCGCAACGGGUUAACUUGAAGGGGUUAAAGUGGACACAAAGACACAAGGGUUUAUACUAGUUCGGCCCCUUCAAUGAAGGUAAAAGCCUACGUCUAGUUGUGAUGGAAUUGAUGUGGUUUCGAUGGCUAGGGAGCAAACAAGCUUCACCUAGACUCGAGUUGUUGUUGUCUGUCUUUGAACCGCCGCUGGGUCGUCCCCUUAUAUACACGGGUGACAUCCGUCGGUCCACAGAGUCCCACACCGGUUCAUACUCGUAUCCCGGUUGGUCUCUCUCUAUUCCUAACUUACAAUACAAGUUUACAUAUCAAGCCGGUUUACGACUACAGGUUCUAAACCGACUACAGGCCUUGGGCCUUCAUCUGCUUAAUCACCUUUACAUUACUAAUGAAGCUAACCCGGCCCAGGUAGGCCGGUUCACGCCCAGUGGUAAUAUCCCCAACAUUAGGCCCCAGAUUGAUUUGAAUUGGUUCAUGUCAAUCCUUCACAAAAAUCUUUGUCUUCAACAUCUUCUGGUAAUUGGUAAACCGCCAUGUCGUCAUCAUCUCUGGUUGCUGUAAACCGGCAUGACGUCAUCAUGAAGUUAAUAUUUAUAACGCCUUCUGCGAUACCCAAGGUAGCAACUCCACGUCCGAAUCUUGUGGCUCCUGGAUUCGCGCACCUGACACACGUCCUUUGCCUUAUAAAUAGCACCGAAGGGUCAUUUCCUUUUCUCCCCUUUGUCUCUUUCUCUUCAUCUUCCUCGCGUCACCCGCCUCGGAGCUCCGCCAUCGCCAUUAACCUCUGCCUCGUCUUGGGCCGCUGAAGGAAAUAUGCCCUAGAGGCAAUAAUAAAGUUAUUAUUUAUUUCCUUAUAAUCAUGAUAAAUGUUUAUUAUUCAUGCUAGAAUUGUAUUUACCGGAAACAUAAUACAUGUGUGAAUAUAUAGACAAACAAAGUGUCACUAGUAUGCCUCUACUUGACUAGCUCGUUAAUCAAAGAUGGUUAUGUUUCCUAACCAUGAACAAUGAGUUGUUAUUUGAUUAACGAGGUCACAUCAUUAGUAGAAUGAUCUGAUUGACAUGACCCAUUCCAUUAGCUUAGCACCCGAUCGUUUAGUAUGUUGCUAUUGCUUUCUUCAUAACUUAUACAUGUUCCUAUGACUAUGAGAUUAUGCAACUCCCGUUUACCGGAGGAACACUUUGGGUACUACCAAACGUCACAACGUAACUGGGUGAUUAUAAAGGAGUACUACAGGUGUCUCCAAUGGUCGAUGUUGGGUUGGUGUAUUUCGAGAUUAGGAUUUGUCACUCCGAUUGUCGGAGAGGUAUCUCUGGGCCCUCUCGGUAAUACACAUCACAUAAGCCUUGCAAGCAUUACAACUAAUAUGUUAGUUGUGAGAUGAUGUAUUACGGAACGAGUAAAGAGACUUGCCGGUAACGAGAUUGAACUAGGUAUUGGAUACCGACGAUCGAAUCUCGGGCAAGUAACAUACCGAUGACAAAGGGAACAACGUAUGUUGUUAUGCGGUCUGACCGAUAAAGAUCUUCGUAGAAUGUGUAGGAGCCAAUAUGGGCAUCCAGGUCCCGCUAUUGGUUAUUGACGGGAGACGUGUCUCGGUCAUGUCUACAUUGUUCUCGAACCCGUAGGGUCCGCACGCUUAAGGUUACGAUGACAGUUAUAUUAUGAGUUUACAUGUUUUGAUGUACCGAAGGAGUUCGGAGUCCCGGAUGAGAUCGGGGACAUGACGAGGAGUCUCGAAAUGGUCGAGACGUAAAGAUUCAUAUAUUGGAUGAUAUGGUUAGGCCAAGGGGUCAAGCCCAUGAGGCUUUAGGUCGGUGCAAAAGGAGUUUUGCGGAGCCCAGGGGGCCAAACGCCGGAGACCCUGGCGUCUGGCCCUGGGCCAGACGCCGAGGCCCGUGGCGUCAGGGCCAGACGCCAAGGAUUGUGGCGUUUGGUCCUGGAGUCCGAGUGGGACUCUUGCCUUUCGGGCAAAACCGACUUUGAGGAGGCUUUUGCUCCAAGUUUCGACCCCGGGGCUCAACAUAUAAAUAGAGGGGCAGGGCUAGCACCAAAACAACAAGAAGUUGAUCCACGUGAUCUAUUCCUUAGCCGUGUGCGGCGGCCCCAGCCACCAUAUUCCUCGAUAAUACUGUAGCGGAGUUUAGGCGAAGCCCUGCUGCUGUAGUUCAUCAAGAUCGUCACCACACCGUCGUGCUGACGGAACUCUUCCCCGACACUUUGCUGGAUCGGAGUCCGGGGAUCGUCAUCGAGCUGAACGUGUGCUCGAACUCGGAGAUGCCGUAGUUUCGGUGCUUGAUCGGUUGGAUCGUGAAGACGUACGACUACUUCCUCUACGUCGUGUCAUCGCUUCCGCAGUCGGUCUACGUUGGGUACGUAGACAACACUCUCCCCUCGUUGCUAUACAUCACCAUGAUCUUGCGUGUGCGUAGGAUUUUUUUUUUUUGAAAUUACUACGUUCCCCAACAGUGGCAUCCGAGCCAGGUUAUUUAUGUUGAUGUUAUAUGCACGAGUAGAACACAAGUGAGUUGUGGACGAUACAAGUCAUACUGCCUACCAACAUGUCAUACUUUGGUUCGGCGGUAUUGUUGGACGAGACGACCCGGACCAACCUUACGCGUACGCUUACGCGAGACCGGUUCCCUCGACGUGCUUUGCACAGAGAUGGCUUGCGGGCGACUGCCUCUCCAACUUUAGUUGAACCAAGUAUGGCUACGCCCGGUCCUUGCGAAGGUUAAAACGGAGUCUAUUUGACAAACUAUCAUUGUGGUUUUGAUGCGUAGGUGAGAUUGGUUCUUACUUAAGCCCGUAGCAGCCACGUAAAACAUGCAACAACAAAGUAGAGGACGUCUAACUUGUUUUUGCAGGGCAUGUUGUGAUGUGAUAUGGUCAAGGCAUGAUGCUGAAUUUUAUUGUAUGAGAUGAUCAUGUUUUGUAACCAAGUUAUCGGCAACUGGCAGGAGCCAUAUGAUUGUCGCUUUAUUGUAUGCAAUGCAAUCGCGAUGUAAUGCUUUACUUUAUUACUAAAUGGUAGUGAUAGUCGUGGAAGCAUAAGAUUGGCGAGACGACAAUGAUGCUACGAUGGAGAUCAAGGUGUCGCGCCGGUGACGAUGGUGAUCAUGACGGUGCUUCGGAGAUGGAGAUCACAAGCACAAGAUGAUGAUGGCCAUAUCAUAUCACUUAUAUUGAUUGCAUGUGAUGUUUAUCUUUUUAUGCAUCUUAUCUUGCUUUGAUUGACGGUAGCAUUAUAAGAUGAUCUCUCACUAAAUUAUCAAGAAGUGUUCUCCCUGAGUAUGCACCGUUGCGAAAGUUCUUCGUGCUGAGACACCACGUGAUGAUCGGGUGUGAUAGGCUCUACGUUCAAAUACAACGGGUGCAAAACAGUUGCGCAUGCAGAAUACUCAGGUUAUACUUGACGAGCCUAGCAUAUACAGAUAUGGCCUCGGAACACGGAGACCGAAAGGUCGAGCGUGAAUCAUAUAGUAGAUAUGAUCAACAUAGUGAUGUUCACCAUUGAAACUACUCCAUCUCAUGUGAUGAUCGGACAUGGUUUAGUUGAUUUGGAUCACGUGAUCACUUAGAGGAUUAGAGGGAUGUCUGUCUAAGUGGGAGUUCUUAAGUAAUAUGAUUAAUUGAACUUAAAUUUAUCAUGAACUUAGCCCUGGUAGUAUUUUACAAAUUAUAGAUCAAUAGCUCGCGUUGUUGCUUCCCUGUGUUUAUUUUGAUAUGUUCCUAGAGAAAAUUGUGUUGAAAGAUGUUAGUAGCAAUGAUGCGGAUUGGAUCCGUGAUCUGAGGAUUAUCUUCAUUGCUGCACAGAAGAAUUAUGUCCUUGAUGCACCGCUAGGUGACAGACCUAUUGCAGGAGCAGAUGCAAACGUUAUGAACGUUUAGCUAGCUCAAUAUGAUGACUACUUGAUAGUUUAAGUGCACCAUGCUUAACGGCUUAGAAUCGGGACUUCAAAGACGUUUUGAACGUCAUGGACCAUAUGAGAUGUUCCAGGAGUUGAAGUUAAUAUUUCAAGCAAAUACCCGAGUUGUGAGAUAUGAAGUCUCCAACAAGUUCUAUAGCUAAAAGAUGGAGGAGAAUCGCUCAACUAGUGAGCAUGUGCUCAGAUUGUCUGGGUACUACAAUCGCUUGAAUCAAGUGGGAGUUAAUCUUCCAGAUAAGAUAGUGAUUGACAGAAUUCUCUAGUCACCAUCACCAAGUUAGUAGAACUUCGUGAUGAACUAUAAUAUGCAAGGGAUAACGGAAACAACUCCCAAGCUCUUCGUGAUGAUGAAAUCAAUGAAGGUAGAAAUCAAGAAAAACAUCAAGUGUUGAUGUUUGAUAAGACCACUAGUUUCAAGAAAAGGGCAAAGGGAAGAAGGGGAACUUCAAGAAGAACGGCAAGCAAGUUGCUGCUCAAGUGAAGAAGCCCAAGUCUAGUCCUAAGCUUGAGACUAAGUGCUUCUACUGCAAAGGGACUGGUCACCGGAAACGGAAUCACCCCAAGUGAUUGGCGGAUAAGAAGGAUGGCAAAGUGAACAUAAGUAUAUUUGAUAUACAUGUUAUUGAUGUGUACUUUACUAGUGUUUAUAGCAAACCCUAAGUAUUUGAUACUAGUUCAGUUGCUAAGAUUAGUAACUCGAAACGGGAGUUGCAGAAUAAACAGAGACUAGUUAAGGGUGAAGUGACGAUGUGUGUUGGAAGUGGUUCCAAGAUUGAUAUGAUCAUCAUCGCACACUCCCUAUAAUUACGGGAUUAGUGUUGAAACUAAAUAAGUGUUAUUUGGUGUUUGUGUUGAGCAUGAAUAUGAUUUGAUCAUGUUUAUUGUAAUACGGUUAUUCAUUUAAAGUAAAAGAAUAAAUUGUUGUUCUGUUUACAUGAAUAAAACUUUAUAUGGUUACACACCCAAUGAAAAUAGUUCAUUGGAUCUCGAUCUUAGUGAUACACAUAUUCAUAAUAUUGAAACCAAAAGAUGUAAAGUUAAUAAUGAUAGUGCAACUUAUUUAUGGCACUGCCGUUUAGGUCAUAUUGGUGUAAAGCGCAUGAAGAAACUCCAUGCUGAUGGGAUUUUGGAAUCACUUGAUUAUGAAUCACUUGAUGCUUGCGAACCAUGCCUUAUGGGCAAGAUGACUAAAACGCCGUUCUCCGGAACAAUGAAGCAAGCAACAGAUUUGUUGGAAAUCAUACAUACCGAUGUAUGUGGUCCGACGAAAGGCUUACAGCAGGUAUCAUUAUUUUCUGACCUUCACAAGAUGAUUUGAGCAGAUAUGGGGAUAUCUACUUGAUGAAACAUAAGUCUGAAAUAAUUGAAAGGUUCAAAGAAUUUCAGAGUGAAGUGGAAAAAUCAUCGUAACAAGAAAAAUAAAGUUUCUGCGAUCUGAUCACGGAGACGAAUAUUUGAGUUUCGAGUUUGGUCUUCAAUUAAAACAAUGUGGAAUAGUUUCAUAGCUCACGCCACCUGGAACACCACAAUGUUAUGGUGUGUCCAAACGUCGUAACCGCGCUUUAUUGGAUAUGGUGCGAUCUAUGAUGUCUCUUAUUGAUUUACCAUUGUCGUUUUGGGGUUAUGCAUUAGAGACAGCUGCAUUCACAUUAAAAGGGCACCAUCUAAAUCCGUUGAGACGACACUAUAUGAACUUUGGUUUAGCAAGAAACCCAAGUUGUCGUUUCUUAAAGUUUGGGGCUGCGAUGCUUAUGUGGAAAAGUUUCAUCCUGAUAAGCUCGAACCCAAAUCGGAGAAGUGCGUCUUCAUAGAAUACCCAAAGGAAAUUGUUGGGUACACCUUCUAUCACAGAUCCGGAGGCAAGAUAUUCGUUGCUAAAAAUGGAUCCUUUCUGGAGAAGGAGUUUCUCUCGAAAGAAGUGAGUGGGAGGAAAGUAGAACUUGAUGAGGUAACUGUACCUGCUCCCUUAUUGGAAAGUAGUUCAUCACAGAAAUCAGUUCCUGUGACAAAUACACCAAUUAGUGAGGAAGCUAAUGAUAUUGAUCAUAAAACUUCAGAUCAAGUUACUACAGAACCUCGUAGGUCUUCCAGAGUAAGAUCUGCACCAGAGUGGUGUAGUAAUCAUGUUCUGGAAGUCAUGUUACUAGACCAUGAUGAACCUACGAACUAUGAGGAAGCGAUGAUGAGCCCAGAUUCCGUGAGAUGGCUUGAGGCCAUAAAAUCUGAGAUAUGAUCCAUGUAUGACAACAAAGUAUGGACUUUGAUUGACUUGCUUGAUGAUCAGCAAAGCCAUGUUAAAUAAAUGGAUCUUCAAGAGGAAGACGGACACUGAUAGUAGUGUUACUAUCUACCAAGCUCGACUUGUUGCAAAAGUUUUUCAACAAGUUCAAGGUGUUGAAUACGAUGAGGUUUUCUCACUCGUAUCGAUGCUUAAGUCUAUCUGAAUCAUGUUAGCAAUUGCCACAUUUUAUGAAAUCUGGCAAAUGGAUGUCAAAACUGCAUUCCUUAAUGGAUUUAUUAAAGAAGAGUUGUAUAUGAUGCAACCAGAAGGUUUUGUCAAUCCUAAAGGUGCUAACAAAAUGUGCAAGCUCCAGCGAUCCAUCUAUGGACUGGUGCAAGCAUCUCGGAGUUGGAAUAUACGCUUUGAUAAGUUGAUCAAAGCAUAUAGUUUUAUAUGGACUUACGAUGAAGCCUGUAUUUACAAUAAAGUGAGUGGGAGCACUACAGCCUUUCUGAUUAGUAUAUGUGAGUGACAUAUUGUUGAUCAGAAAUGAUGUAGAAUUUUUCUGCAAAGCAUAAAGGAGUGUUUUAAAGGAGUUCUUUAAAAAGAAAAGACCUCAGUAAAAAGCUACUUAUAUAUUGAGCAUCAAGAUCUAUCGAGAUAGAUCAAGACGCUUGAUAAAGAUUUUCAAUGAGUACAUACCUUGGCAAGAUUUUGAAAUAGUUCAAAAUGGAACAGUUAAAGAAAGAGUUCUUGCCUGUGUUGCAAAGGUAUGAAAUUGAGUAAGACUCAAAUCCCGACCACAGCAGAAAAUAGAAAGAGAAUGAAAAGUCAUUCCCUAUGCCUCAGUCAUAGGUUCUAUAAAGUAUGCUAUGCUUUGUACCAGACCUAUUGUAUACCUUGCUCUGUAUUUGGCAAGAGGAGUACAAUAGUGAUCUAGGAGUAGAUCACUGGACAUUGGUCAAGAAUAUCCUUAGUAAGGACUAAGGAGAUGUUUCUCAAUUAUGGAGGUGAUAAAAGAGUUUGUUGUAAAAGUUACAUCAGUGCAAAUUUUUACACUGAUCCAGAUGACUCUAAGUCUCAAUCUGGAUACAUAUUGAAAGUGGGAGCGAUUAGCUAGAGUAGCUCCGUACAGAGCAUUGUAGACAUAGAAUAUUUGCAAAAUACAUACGGCUCUGAAUGUAACAAACCCGUUGACUAAGCUUCUCUCACGAGCAAAACAUGAUCACACCUUAGUACUCUUUGGAUGUUAAUCACAUAGAGAUGUGAACUAGAUUAUUGACUCUAGUAAACCCUUUGGGUGUUGGUCACAUGAUGAUGUGAACUAUGGGUGUUAAUCAUAUACAGAUAUGAAUAUUGGUGUUAAAUCACAUGACGAUGUGAACUAGAUUAUUGACUCUAGUGCAAGUGGGAGACUGAAGGAAAUAUGCCCUAGAGGCAAUAAUAAAGUUAUUAUUUAUUUCCUUAUAAUCAUGAUAAAUGUUUAUUAUUCAUGCUAGAAUUGUAUUUACCGGAAACAUAAUACAUGUGUGAAUACAUAGACAAACAGAGUGUCACUAGUAUGCCUCUACUUGACUAGCUCGUUAAUCAAAGAUGGUUAUGUUUCCUAACCAUGAACAAUGAGUUGUUAUUUGAUUAACGAGGUCACAUCAUUAGUAGAAUGAUCUGAUUGACAUGACCCAUUCCAUUAGCUUAGCACCCGAUCGUUUAGUAUGUUGCUAUUGCUUUCUUCAUGACUUAUACAUGUUCCUACGACUAUGAGAUUAUGCAACUCCCGUUUACCGGAGGAACACUUUGGGUACUACCAAACGUCACAACGUAACUGGGUGAUUAUAAAGGAGUACUACAGGUGUCUCCAAUGGUCGAUGUUGGGUUGGCGUAUUUCGAGAUUAGGAUUUGUCACUCCGAUUGUCGGAGAGGUAUCUCUGGGCCCUCUCGGUAAUACACAUCACAUAAGCCUUGCAAGCAUUACAACUAAUAUGUUAGUUGUGAGAUGAUGUAUUACGGAACGAGUAAAGAGACUUGCCGGUAACGAGAUUGAACUAGGUAUUGGAUACCGACGAUCGAAUCUCGGGCAAGUAACAUACCGAUGACAAAGGGAACAACGUAUGUUGUUAUGCGGUCUGACCGAUAAAGAUCUUCGUAGAAUGUGUAGGAGCCAAUAUGGGCAUCCAGGUCCCGCUAUUGGUUAUUGACCGGAGACGUGUCUCGGUCAUGUCUACGUUGUUCUCGAACCCGUAGGGUCCGCACGCUUAAGGUUACGAUGACAGUUAUAUUAUGAGUUUACAUGUUUUGAUGUACCGAAGGAGUUCGGAGUCCCGGAUGAGAUCGGGGACAUGACGAGGAGUCUCGAAAUGGUCGAGACGUAAAGAUUCAUAUAUUGGAUGAUAUGGUUAGGCCAAGGGGUCAAGCCCAUGAGGCUUUAGGUCGGUGCAAAAGGAGUUUUGCGGAGGCCAGGGGGCCAAACGCCGGAGACCCUGGCGUCUGGCCCUGGGCCAGACGCCGAGGCCCGUGGUGUCAGGGCCAGACGCCAAGGAUUGUGGCGUUUGGUCCUGGAGUCCGAGUGGGACUCUUGCCUUUCGGGCAAAACCGACUUUGAGGAGGCUUUUGCUCCAAGUUUCGACCCCGGGGCUCAACAUAUAAAUAGAGGGGCAGGGCUAGCACCAAAACAACAAGAAGUUGAUCCAUGUGAUCUAUUCCUUAGCCGUGUGCGGCGGCCCCAGCCACCAUAUUCCUCGAUAAUACUGUAGCGGAGUUUAGGCGAAGCCCUGCUGCUGUAGUUCAUCAAGAUCGUCACCACGCCGUCGUGCUGACGGAACUCUUCCCCGACACUUUGCUGGAUUGGAGUCCGGGGAUCGUCAUUGAGCUGAACGUGUGCUCGAACUCGGAGGUGCCGUAGUUUCGGUGCUUGAUCGGUUGGAUCGUGAAGACGUACGACUACUUCCUCUACGUCGUGUCAUCACUUCCACAGUCGGUCUACGUUGGGUACGUAGACAACACUCUCCCCUCGUUGCUAUACAUCACCAUGAUCUUGCGUGUGCGUAGGAAUUUUUUUUUGAAAUUACUACGAAACCCAACAGUCGCUGCAUCAACCUGAAUGUUCCAGAGUACUGCGGUAUCUUUCCGCAUCCUCCUCGAUUCCGGUAAGCCUUCUGCUCUUCUUAACAUAGAUCUAUUCUAGGGUUUCAUAUUCUUGCUGUGCUCCUCACUUGUUCAUGCUCGUACCUAGAUUCCUGGAUAGAUCUGUGAAACCCGGCUCUGAUUAGCAGUAGCCUUUUAGCAUCCACCUGUAGUUUCACGCUCAAGUCCAUAGAUCUCAUCUACAUACCUGCCCAUUGAUUCACUUCCGCUCUGCUUUAAUCUUUUGAAUAUUUUCUGUUUUUCUGAACUUGCUUCAGAUGCAUUACUACGAUAGGACCUUGUGAAACCUGUUUCUGCACACUUAGCCAUCCGCAGCCUCAAUUGCUUUCAAUGCUUAGAUCAGGCGGUUUAACUUAGUAUAGAAAAAGUUAAUAAACCGGUAUAUACCAUUAGUCCCCUUGUUGAACCGCCAGAACUCUUUGGCCAUAUGAUGCCACUUCAUAAAAAUCCGAUUUAAGUAUACUGCCCCCGGUUUAGCCUUGUUCAUACCAGUGCCUUCUUUUAUCCAACAUGUUCUUGAACCGGAAUCACCUAUUUCUUGUAGAUCUCACCAUGGCCAAACAAGUAUAUGAGUGCAACUGGGUUCCUUCUCGUGUCACAGAAACCCAGUUGGAUGAUUUAGUCUCAAUCGGUGCUUUAGAUAGCAAAGAGACUAUCCACUGGAGGGUUCCUGGUAAUGAAUGUCCUCCCACACCUCAAGAGGGAGAGGUUGUGAUCUUUGCGGAUCACUUAGCCCGGGGCUUCAAACCGCCCGGCUCCAAAUUUUACCGGGACGUACUAGCCAAUUUUCAACUUCGCCCGCAAGAUAUUGGCCCCAAUUCUGUUACCAACCUAUGUCACUUCCAAGUGCUCUGUGAGGUGUACCUUCAAGAGAAACCCACAGUUGAAUUGUUCAGAGACUGCUUCCACUUAAAUCGCCGCACAGAAUUCACUAACGGUCCCAAUACCGAAUUGGGUGGUAUGGCAAUUCAGAAGAGGAAAGAAAUCACUUAUCCCCAUGCCAAACUACAUAGUCACCCCAAGGAAUGGAAUGCAACAUGGUUUUACUGCAAAGAUACUUCCCCUGGUGAUGAAAAUCCUUUGCCUGGCUUUCGUCCGGAACGGCUCAGCAAUACGCACCCCUUCCCACAAAGGUUAAGUGCCAAGGAGAGGAGUAAAUACGCUCCACAAUUAUCCAAGCUCCGAGCCUUCAUGGCCAACGGUUUAACAGGAGUUGAUCUCGCACGCUGUUGGAUAUCAUGGAGCCUACUGCCUCUCAGCCGGCGCUCCGGUUUGAUGUGCAAAUAUACUGGCAGCAUUGAUGACCCACUCCAACACACCAACAUCCAGCUCUCCGAUGAUGAAGUCACAGAGGCUGUGAAGAAAAUGCUGAAUGAACCGGAGCAUCUAUGCGCUCAAACCGGCCUGCCCCCUUUCUGUGCUACUAACAAACCGCCAGCUGUAAGAUUUUGAUUGUACUUUUUACUGAACCUGUUAUUGCUAUCUCUGUCUGACAUCAACUGCUGCUUACCCAGGGUGAUAAUCUGUUUUGGAGUAAGAAGCUUCCACAAGACAAACCGGAGAAAGCAGAUCGGCCAAUCCGGCCAAAGACCAAGGUCGUCAAGAAGCCUGCCAAAAAGAGGAAAACCACUGCUUCAUCUGAUCCGGCUGUUGAUGAUGAUGUGGGUAACUCGGACCCUGAGGUAGAACUUGAUUCAUUAGGCCUACUUUUUACCCGCCUUAUUGAUGAUGAUACUUGUCAGGACGACGCUGAAGCCAGUAAUGCUAAUGUCGCUGAGGUAAUUACUCUUUCUUCCGAUUCGGAUCCUUUGCCUUCGCCAAAAUUUCGCCAGGCAAACCGGAAAGUUAAAUUUUCUCAUCCCCUUGCUUAUUUGGAUCCCAAAUUUCUUAUGAAGACUCAGCAACAUGAAGCUCGCCGCACAACCCAGCACAGCGGCCAGGUAGUUACCUCCGCCGGUUUACCGAACAGUCCGGUUCGAAAACGCCGCUCCGAGGUCUCCGACCUUUUUAUUAAUUUACGUCCUAAAGCGGGUUUCGUCCGUCAACCUCCUAAUCCGUCCGACUCUGAUUAUCAGGUUACUUCCCAUUCUUCCUCUGGUGAAUCGUCGGCCACUCAGCUGCCACCCCUUAAAACGGUUCUUGGGUAAGCUAGACUGAACAUAUGCUUCUGGUAUACCACGUUACAACUUAUGCUGUUCCUUGACUUUUUGUUUCUCUUUCAGGGCUAAACCUAAACCAAGCAAGAAAGCCCGCCUGAAUAAAGCGGCCGAGGAAGAUGCUGCCCUUGAACAGGAAAAAACACCAGAUCUUGAAGCGUUCGUUCCUGAAGAUAUUCCCAAUGAUCCUCCUUUGCAAGAUGAUGCUAUUAUUGAUAAAAGGCCUAUCGAUACCUCAGUCCCUGUUGAUCAGCCCGCCAGCUCCGUCCGGAUCGAUGGAUCUCGCAGUCCUUCAAAGCCUGCUGAUAAACCGACCACGCCAACGCAAACCGGCGAGCCCAAGGAUGAUGACGUUGUAAUUACCGGCGUAGGUCGCUUUGAACCCGGGAAUCCCGUCGCUUUGGCCAAGCAUACUGUGAAAGAAGAUUCUUCUGGCAUGAACAAAGGCAAAUGGUAUGUUAAUCUGGAAACAUAUGCUGCUCUAAGUGCCCAAGAUGUUCACUCUGGUUAUCUGAACCGGCUAUAUAAUAGUCGUGACUGUGAAGCUGGCCUGGUAAAGAUAAUGAGAGAUAAAUUUGAGGCAACUUCCUUGCGCUUCUUCUUUCCUUAAUUACUGCUACUGUAUUAAUCCUCCUAGCCCCCAAGGGCCGGUUUGUAAUCUUCUUCAAACCGGGACUUGAAUAUAGUCCUCAAUACUUUGAACUCCAUCAAUGUAGCCCCCAAGGGCCGGUUCAACUUAGUAUAGUUAAACCGGGACUCCAAUAAAGAUUCUAACAUCAGAACAUAAUUGAGCAAAUAGCCAUUAGCCCCCAAGUGCCAAGUUGAAUACCUGUAUUGAGCUUGGGAUUUUGCGAUUUAGUAACAGAUGAAAAUUGAAGGUGCAUUAGCCCCCAAGUAUCAAGCAUAUAACUUGUUAUGUGGUUGGUACUUCAAAUUCUUGUACCGUUUGUUGAAAGCCAAGCACUGUCUUUAUGCAGGCUGAAGUGCAGAUCAAAGAAGACCGGAUUACUGAUCUGCAGGAAAUUUUGAAAACCCAGCAAGCUGAAACCGACAAGGCAAGGGAAGAACUAACCAGUGCUUUGAGUAUCACAGAAUAGCUGAAGGAGGGCUUUGAGAAGGAGCGGACUGAUUGGGCCACUGAGAAGGCUGAUUUAAUAAAAAGAGCUGAAAAUGCUGAAGCUGCUCUUAAACCGGUGGUAGAUGAGCUGACCGCCGUAAAGCGGCAAGUACAUUCCAUGACCGCUGCUAUCUUUGGUAAGUCCCUUUUGAUUUCUUGAACAACUCUGGCCUUCUUAUAAUAAAUCCGGUUUGUGAUCUUUCUUGUAUUGUUACAAGUACACGCAUUGGUCACUUAGGGUCAGAUGUUCGAAAGAAAUUGAAGGCUGCCUACACUUUAAUUGAACAGCUGUAUACUGGAGCGCAACGGAUCAUCACCACUGCAUGGCAUAACAAUCCGACACCUUCCUUAAUCCAAGACACUCUUAAUAGGUUGUCAAUGCUUCCUGCUCGGAUUGAAGAACUAAAGAAAUCUGCUGCUCGAACCGGAGCCAUUAAUGCCUUGAUCCGGGCAAAAGCUUGGGUGCCGGAUUUCGAUCCUGUUGAAGCAGCUCAAGGCUAUCCCAGCUUGAAGGAAGAUGGCUCAGAGUUCAAUGAAGAUGAUUUGAGGGCGAUAAACCGUGUAGUACGCCCUCUGGCUUGUCAAUUGGCUGAAGAGGCAGACUUGUCGCAUUAUCAAGCUCAGUACAAUGACCAGAACAAACGAGUGCCUGCACCAACUCCUGAAGCGGAAAAUCUGAUUCCUCCAAUCCGUAAGCAUACUUACGCUCCUGAUAUUGAACCGUCUUCUCUGAUCCAUGAAGAGGCUGUCUUUCAAGCUUUAAUGGGAAUCGACUGGUCCACUGUUGAUUUCCAGCCAAUGGAUAGAGAUGAGGAAGCUGAAGCAGCGCGGGACGACCCACAACCAUCAGACCGGUUUGAUGAGCAAGCUUGAACCGGAAACCGGUUUACAUAAUUGCUUCAUUAUGAUCCGCCGGAACAACAAUGAUCUUAUUUGGGCACCGCGUUGCCUUGUAAUAGGAUAGUCAAUACUUCUGUCUCGAAAUAUGCCUUCGUGCAUAAGUACUGAUACUUUUGCUUGAAAUCCUUAAUUAUAUUUCCUGCAAUCAGAAAAAUCUUGAACUGCGGUGGCGGUUAUACCGCCAACCGGUUUAUAACCUUGAUAUAUAUAUAUAUAUCAAUGUAUUUAAAACAUAUAAUCAAAUAUGUGAUACCAAAUACCUGCCAUCGCUGGGCAUGAAGUUGGCUUAGCCAGGCUUGAAACGGAGUAUUUAUAAACCGUUACCAUCAAAGGGGAGAAAACAACUCCCUUGUAAAUCGUGCUGGGUCAUUAUGAGCCCCCCUGCUACUUCAUGAUGUUAACAGGAAAGUUAAAGCGGGCAUAUUUCUCCGGAAUACAAAUGAACCGAUUUCCGUCAGCUGAACCGGUAAAAAGGUGUUGUUGGUUCAAAGGAAACACAACAACAAAUUGAAGAAUAGUCAUAAAAGAAAUAUGGCAGCAAAGGCAAUGAUAAAAACCGUUUGCAAAAACAUGCUUUACUGAGCUGAUCAGAUGGUAUUACCAUGGUCGGACAGGACCAAGCCCCCAAUAGGAGUGACAAUGGUUCAAGUCAGCCAGGUCCCCAAAUGAAACCGUGGCAAUUAUGCCGAUCAAGAGGCGUGGCAAUGGUUCGGGUUCGACCAAGCCCCCAAGUGAUUUUGUGGCCUUAGGCCGAUCAAGAGGCAUGACUGGUUCAGACUUGACCAUGUCCCCAAGUGAUCUGGUGGCUUUCGCCUAUCAAAAGGUGUCGCGUUGGUUCGUACACGACCAAGGCCCCAAGUGAUAUCACAAAACUAUUUUGAAAAGCAAAUUUCAAGGGGUAAACCGGAGGCCGUUUUAAAACAGAACCACUCCAUGUAACCACGCAUGAUAUGAAAGGACAGAGACCCCGCUUUAGCUGAGGCUCCGGUUUUAUUAUUUCAAUGAUAAUAUGUACACUGCCAUAAUAUGUACAUAGAUAGAGCCGAUGGCUCAAGUGUAGUAAGGCCGAAGAUGAGCUAUAUUCCACGGCCUGUUGGUCUCCUCCUCUGAUGUGCGUGAGUCUUUAUGCUCUCGAAUAUCAAUCAGAUAGUACGACCCGUUGUGCAGAUUCUUGCUAACCACGAAAGGUCCCUCCCAAGGUGGGGAUAACUUGUGCAUAUCCGUCUGAUCUUGGAUGAGCCGAAGCACCAAAUCUCCUUCUUGAAAAGUUCUGGUUCUGACCCGACGACUGUGAUAGCGACGAAGAUCUUGUUGAUAAAUUGCCGAGUGAGCAGCCGCUAUGUCACGCUCCUCAUCUAAUAGGUCCAAAGCAUCUUGUCGUGCUAUCUCAUUGUCCGCUUCAACAUAAGCCGCCACACGAGGCGAAUCGUGCCGGAUAUCACUAGGGAGAACCGCCUCUGCUCCGUAGACCAUAAAAAACGGUGUGUAUCCCGUGGAUCGGUUGGGCGUAGUGUUGAUACUCCAUAGUACAGAUGGUAGUUCUUCAACCCAACAUCCCGGUGUUCUUUGCAAUGGAACCAUAAGCCGGGGUUUGAUGCCUCGCAAGAUCUUUUGAUUAGCUCGUUCUUCCUGCCCAUUGGACUGGGGGUGAGCCACUGAUGAUACGUCCAGUCUGAUGUGCUCACGUUCACAGAAUUCCUUCAUAGCACCCUUGGAUAAAUUGGUACCAUUGUCAGUAAUGAUACUGUGUGGAAAGCCAAACCGGAAAAUCACUUUUUUAAUGAACUGAACUGCUGUAGCUGCAUCACAUUUGCUGACAGGCUCCGCUUCAACCCACUUGGUAAACUUGUCAACUGCCACCAAAAGGUGGGUUUUCUUAUCCUUGGACCUUUUAAAAGGUUCAACCAUAUCCAACCCCCAAGUCGCAAACGGCCAAGUAAUUGGAAUCAUCCUCAAUUCUUGAGCCGGCACAUGAGCACGCCUUGAAAAUUUCUGACAGCCAUCACACCGUUUAACCAAGUCCUCCGCAUCAGCAUGAGCCGUCAACCAGUAAAACCCGUGACGAAACGCCUUAGCCACCAGAGACUUUGAACCGGCGUGGUGACCACAAUCCCCUUCAUGGAUUUCGCAUAAAAUUUCACAACCUUCCUCAGGAGAGACGCAGCGUUGAAAUGCCCCUGAUACACUGCAAUGAUGCAAUUCGCCAUUGAUAAUUGUCAUAGAUUUGGAUCGUCGGACUAUCUGCCUGGCUAGAGUCUCAUCCUCUGGCAACUCUCCCCGGUUCAUGUACGCCAGAUAGGGAACUGUCCAAUCUGGUAUAACAUGCAGGGCUGCCACCAAUUGAGCCUCCGGAUCAUGAAUAGCCAAAUCCGCUUCACCUAGGAGCUUGACUGACGGAUUGUGCAACACAUCAAGAAAGACAUUAGGUAGGACCGGUUUACGCUGAUAGCCCAACCGGCUUAAAGCGUCCGUCGCUUCAUUUUUUCGACGAUCCACGUGAUCCACCUGAUAACCCUUGAAGUGACCUGCAACAAUAUCCACCUCACGACGAUAUGCAGCCAUGAGUGGGUCUUUAGAAUCCCAAGUGCCAGACACCUGUUGAGCUACGAGGUCCGAGUCACCGAAGCACUUAACCCGACUUAGAUUCAUCUCCUUAGCCAUCCGGAGACCAUGGAGCAAGGCUUCAUACUCAGCUGCAUUAUUAGUACAAGGGAACAUUAAGCGGAGAACAUAACAAAACUUAUCACCUCGUGGGGAAGUUAACACGACUCCAGCCCCCGAGCCUUCCAAUUGCCUGGAUCCAUCAAAAUGGAUAGUCCAAUAUGUGUGAUCCGGUUUCUCCUCUGGUGCUUGCAACUCGGUCCAAUCAUUGAUGAAAUCAACAAGUGCCUGAGACUUCACCGCCGUCCGGGGUACGUACUUCAAUCCGUGUGGCCCAAGUUCUAUAGCCCACUUGGCAAUCCGGCCGGUCGCCUCCCGGUUCUGUAUGAUAUCGCCCAAGGGAGCUGAACUGACCACUGUGAUAGGGUGCCCUUGGAAAUAUUGCUUCAGCUUCCGGCUUGCCAUGAAAACUCCAUAUACCAGCUUCUGCCAAUGCGGAUACCUUUGCUUGGAUUCAAUAAGCACCUCGCUGAUAUUAGUAAACCGGCCGCUGAACCGGAUAUUCCUUGCCUGCCUCCUUGCGUUCUACCACAAUAGCCACGCUAACUGCACGAGCAUUGGCCGCUACAUAUAACAAUAACGGCUCCUUAUCGACCGGAGCUGCAAGAACGGGCAGAUUGGCUAAUUGCCGCUUCAAGUCCUCCAAUGCUUCAUCAGCAGCUGGACUCCAGACGAAUUGAUCUGUCUUUCUCAACAUCUGGUAUAAAGGGAUGGCCUUCUCUCCGAGGCGGCUGAUAAACCGGCUCAGUGCGGCGAUCCGACCCGCCAAACGCUGAACAUCGUUGAUACACUUCGGUUUAGCCAGGGAGGUGAUAGCCGUAAUCUUCUCCGGAUUAGCCUCAAUUCCUCUGUUGGACACAAGAAAGCCCAGCAACUUGCCUGCCGGAACACCAAAGACACAUUUGGCAGGGUUAAGCAUCAUCUUAUAAACCCGCAGGUUGUCAAAGGUUUCCUUUAAAUCAUCAACCAGCGUCUCCUUCUGCCUUGACUUGACUACAAUAUCAUCCACAUAGGCGUGCACAUUGCGGCCGAUCUGUUUAUGCAGGCAAUUCUGUACACACCGUUGAUAAGUGGCUUGGGCGCUCUUGAGCCCAAAAGGCAUAGAUACAUAGCAGAAGGCUCCAAAGGGAGUAAUAAACACCGUCUUCUCCUGGUCCUUAACCGCCAUUUUGAUCUGAUGAUACCCAGAAUACGCAUCCAAAAAACUCAAACGCUCACAACCCGCCGUGGCAUCAAUAAUCUGGUCAAUGCGGGGGAGGGCAAAAGGAUCCGCUGGACAAGCCUUGUUGAGAUCCGUAUAAUCCACACACAUACACCAAGUGCCAUUUUUCUUAAGAACCAGCACCGGAUUAGCAAGCCACUCUGGAUGGAACACUUCAAUGAUAAAACCAGCUGCUAAGAGCCUGGCUACCUCCUCCCCAAUAGCUUUGCGCCUCUCUUCGUUAAACCGGCGGAGAAAUUGCUUUACCGGUUUAUACUUAGGAUCCACAUUAAGAGUGUGCUCAGCGAGUUCCCUUGGUACACCUAGCAUGUCAGAAGGCUUCCAUGCAAAAAUGUCCCGAUUCUCACGGAUAAACUCGAUGAGCGCGCUUUCCUAUUUAGGGUCCAAGUUGGCACUAACAGUGAACUGCUUGGACGAAUCGCCAGGCACGAAAUCAACAAGCUUAGUCUCAGCCGCUGAUUUGAACUUCAGAUCUUAAUCAUGCUCCGUCGUUGGCUUCUUCGAAGGGGUCAUGUCCGCCGGAUCAAUAUUGUCCUUAUAAUAUUUUAACUCCUCCGUGGCACAAACCGACUCCGCAUAGGCCGCAUCACCUUCCUCACAUUCCAAAGCAACCUUGGGGCUCCCAUGAACCAUUAUUGUCCCUUUGUGACCCGGCAUCUUGAGCUGCAAAUAGAUAUAACAAGGCCGUGCCAUGAACUUGGCAUAAGCCGGCCGCCCAAACAAGGCGUGAUACGGGCUCCGGAUCUUCACCACGUCAAAGGUUAGUGUCUCGGACCGGGAAUCAUGCUCGUCCCCAAAAGCCACCUCCAGGGCUAUCUUACCAUCCGGAUAUGCUGACUUGCCAGGCACCACACCAUGGAACACCGUAUUAGACGGUCUAAGAUCCUUGUCGGUUAGCCCCAUGCGGCGGAAUGUCUCAUAGUACAGGAUGUUAAUACUGCUCCCUCCAUCCAUGAGUACCUUGGUGAAUUUAUAACCUCCCACCUGAGGGUCUACCACUAAUGCCAAUUGGCCAGCGCAAAUAACGCGGUACGGCCGGUUCAACAGAGUUCACUACUCGCUUAUGAAGUUUCCGGUCGCGCUUAUCCGAGCUAGUUGUGAAAACAUGAUACUGCCCAUUGUUCAACUGUUUUGGCUGGCACUGAUAACCCGACCGCUGCUGCUGCUGGUUGUAACCCCCUUGACCAUUCUGAUUAUCCUGGUCAUUAUUACCGCCCUGAUUGAAACCUGAACCGGAAGCUCCAUCAUGACCCGGCCCAUGGAAACCAGAUCCUGAGCCACCACCUCUGCGCCGCUGACCCUUGUUCCGCGCAUUAGUGUUAGCCACAAAGUCCAGGCUGCCAUCCGCCUUACGUUUGCCUCCGUUUCCAUGGCCCGCCGGUUUAUAUUGAUGCCCCUUAGAGUUGCCAUUCUUCUUUCCCUUCCCUGCUUCGUCAUCGUCAGUCUCAGGAUCCUUGGUACUAUCAGAAUCAGCAUACUUCACUAAAGCCGCCAUGAGAGUUCCCAUAUCAUUACAGAACCGCUUCAUACGCCCUAACUUUUGUUUUAGAGGCUUAAACUGGCAAUUGCCCUCCAGGGUUAAGAUCGCAGAGUCAGCAUUGAUCCUGUCCGACGAGUGCAAGACUUCAGAAACGCGACGUACCCAAUGAGUUGUUGACUCUCCAUCCUCCUGAACACAAGCCGCCAAGUCUACUAUGGAUUUAGGCUGCUUACACGUAUCCUUAAAAUUUUGGAUAAACCGGGUCCGCAACUGGGCCCAUGAACUGAUAGAAUUAGGCGGCAUGCCCUUCAACCAAGUACGGGCUGUGCCUUCAAGCAUCAUGGUGAAGUACUUUGCACAUGCGGUCUCAUCCACAUCCAGCAUCUCCAUUGCCAUCUCGUAACUCUCUACCCAUGCUUCUGGAGAUAAAUCAGCGGUGUAAUUCGGCACCUUGCGCGGGCCCUUGAAGUCCUUGGGCAGGCGUACAUUGCGUAAAGCGGGGACUAAACAGGGUACUCCCAAGCUAGAUGCGACCCCUGGCCCGACAGAGGUGGUUGGACGAACCGGUGUAAGCUGAUCCGCCUCGUUUUGUGCUGCUAACUCGGCCUCCCUUCGUGCCCAGGCCCGGUCUCCUACAUCCUGAGCAUCGUGAACACCGUCGGCCGGGUUAUUGCCACGGGCCACUUCACGGCCCCGCUCAUUGCUUGAUAUGGCCGGUUCAUCCAGGCACCUACUAUAACUUCGGCUUGGACGAGGUGUUGAAUGAAUCCGAUCACGGCUGUAUGAAUAUGCCUCCUGUUGAAUCAAAGCGGUCCGAAGAAGUUCCUUAACCCGGUGCGUCUCUAUUGCUUGCGGAGAGUCUCCUUCGACCGGGAUAGCUUCUAAUCGUGCAGCAGCUGCGACAAGAUUGUCCAUAGGAUUAGAAUAAUGACCCGAAGGUGUCUGGACCGACGGAGGAAUCACAAUGUUCUGCCGUGGAGGUUCCAUCAGGCGGGGUUGGACCGUCGCUCCUGGCCCUGGUGCCUCGACCCAGUUUACCUCCAGGUGCCCCGGCGGAUUACUGGUUCCCGCUCCUGGAGUGUGAAAGAGAUUUCGAGGGUCGAACCCUAACGGCAGGCGUGAUCUGUGCUUCCGCUUCAAGACUUCCUGUGAUGCGUUCUGGUUGAGCAUAAGUUUAUAGGCCUGUGCGUCCAAAGUAGCCUGCUCUGCGGCCAUCCUGUCCUUCUCUGCUGCCAAGUCGACUUUGGCUUGUGCGAUCUGCUCUCUUACUUUUGCAAUCUCUGCAUCAUGGGCCUCCUGAUCCGCCGGAUUGGCCUCUGCCAUAAGUACAGCUAAUGCAUCAAACAGGUCAGACAAAACUUGAACAGGUGGGCGCACCAGGCCUCCUGCCCCUGCUGCCGCUGCUGAUCCGGAGAGCAUUGCUGCUGCGGUUGAGGAGUGAUUCGCCGCCUGUGUACCGGCCAUGAAUAUUCCAACCCGGUUGAUCUGCUCAGGGGGGUCCGGAAUACUGUCGCCAUCGGAACAACCCCUAAUCUGGUCAUCUUGCAACUGAUACAAUGAUUCUGUCUCGCCGGUUGAGGACUCGUCGCCGGAAUAGACGACGGUCUCGCUACCAUAUUCUGACUCGUUCCCACGUCCCCCUCCGUGGAUGACUCCCACAAAGGCACGCCUCACGGCCGGUUUAACCUGGGUAGAUCUCGCAUGCUGAGCCGUCUCGACGAGGUCGGUGCGGAUGUCUGGCUCAGGCCCAGGCUCACCAAUCUUGCCGAUAAAAACGUGUAUGCCACCAAAGGGGACCCGGUACCCGUACUCGAUCGAGCCGGCUUCAGGACCCCAUCCUGCAUCAUCGAUGUAGAGCUUGCCGCGACGACUCUUGGUCAUCCGGCCCACAGCAUAGCCUUCGAGUCCUUUGAGCUUGCCCUCCAAGAUCAUCAAACCAUCGUGCGAUUGCCCCAUGGUGAGCGCCAACUGUCGUGGAUUUGUCACGGCAGAUGUCCUCAUGAAAGGACUUAGUCGUGGAGCCAUCGCAACGGGUUAACUUGAAGGGGUUAAAGCGGACACAAAGACACAAGGGUUUAUACUAGUUCGGCCCCUUCAAUGAAGGUAAAAGCCUACGUCUAGUUGUGAUGGAAUUGAUGUGGUUUCGAUGGCUAGGGAGCAAACAAGCUUCACCUAGACUCGAGUUGUUGUUGUCUGUCCUUGAACCGCCGCCGGGUCGUCCCCUUAUAUACACGGGUGAUGUCCGUCGGUCCACAGAGUCCCACACCGGUUCAUACUCGUAUCCCGGUUGGUCUCUCUCUAUUCCUAACUUACAAUACAAGUUUACAUAUCAAGCCGGUUUACGGCUACAGGUUCUAAACCAACUACAGGCCUUGGGCCUUCAUCUGCUUAAUCACCUUUACAUUACUAAUGAAGCUAACCCGGCCCAGGUAGGCCGGUUCACGCCCAGUGGUAAUAUCCCCAACAAUAUUGGUAUAAAACACAUGAAGAAGCUCCAUGUUGACGGAUCUUUGGACUCACUCGUUUUUGAAAAGAUUGAGACAUGCGAACCAUGUCUAUUGGUAUAUACGCAUGAAGAAAUUCCAUGCAGAUGGAUCGUUUGGACUCACCUGAUUUUGAAUCACUUGAGACAUGCAAAUCAUACCGCAUGGGCAAGAUGACUGAAAGUCCUCAUUUUCAGUGAAAUGGAACGAGAAAUCAACUUGUUGGAAGUAAUACAUUUUGAUGUGUGCAGUCCAAUGAGUGCCGAGGCACGCAGUGGAUAUCGUUAUGUUCUUACUUCACAGAUGAUUUGAGUAGAUGCCAAGUGUAUUUACUUGAUGAAACAAAAGUCUGAAUUAUUGAAAGGUUCAAGUAAUUUCAGAGUGAAGUUGAAGAUCAUCGUGACAAAAGGAUAAAAUGUCUAUGAUAUGAUCACAGAGAUGAAUAUCUGAGUUGCGUGUUUGGUACACAAUUAAGGCAUUGUGGAAAUUGUUUCACAAUUAAUGCCGCUUGGAACACCAUAGUGUGAUGGUGUGUCCGAACGUCAUAGCUGCACCCUAUUGGAUAUGGUGCAUGCCAUGAUGUCUCUUAUCGAAUUACCACUAUCGUUUAUGGGUUAAGCAUUAGAGACAACCACAUUCACUUUAAAUAGGGCACCACGUAAUUCCAUUGAGAUGACAUCACAUGAACUAUGGUUUAGAGAAACCUAAGCUGUCGUUUCUUAAAAGUUUGGGGCUGCGAUGCUUAUGUGAAAAGGUUUCAGCCAGAUAAGCUCGAACCCAAGGCGGAUAAAUGCAUCUUCAUGGGACACCCAAAAACAGUUGGGUAUACCUCCUAUUUCAGAUCCGGAAGCAAAAGUGAUUGUUUCAAAAAAUGGGCCCUUUCUAGAGGAAAAGUUUCUCUCGAAAGAAUUGAGUGGGAGGAUGGUGGAGACUUGAUGAGGAUAUUGAACCGUCACUGCAACUAGUGUGUAGCAGGGCAUAGGAAGUUGUUCCUGUGACGCUUACACCAAUUGAAGUGGAAGCUUAUGAUAGUGAUCAUAAAACUUUGGAUCAAGUCACUACCAAAACUCGUAGGUCGACAAGGAUACGUACUACUCCAGAGUGGUACGUAAUCCUGUCUUGGAGGUCAUGUUGCUGGACAACAAUGAACCUAUGAGCAAUGAAGAAGCGACGGUGGGCCCGAAUUCCGACGAAUGGCUCGAGGCCAUAAAAUCCGAGAGAGGAUCCAUGUAUGAAAACAAAGUAUAGACUUUGGAAAAACUACUUGAUGGUCAUAAGGCUGUUGGGUACAGAUGGAUUUUAAAAGGAAGACGGACAAUGAUGGUAAGUAUCACCAUUGAGAAAGCUCGACUUGUCGUUAAGAUAUUUUCCGACAAGUUCAAGGAGUUGACUACGAUGAGACUUUCUCACUCGUAGCGAUACUAAGAGUCUGUUGGAAUUAUAUUAGCAAUUACUGCAUUAUUUAUGAAAUCUUGCAGAUAGGAUGUCAAAACAUUAUUUCCUCGAUGAUUUUCUUGAGGAAAGGCUGUAUGUGAUACAACUAGAAGGUUUUGUCAUUCCUAAAAGAUGCUAACAAGUAUGCAAAGCUCCAGCAAUCUUUCUGAGGACUGGAGUAAGCAUCUCGGAGUUGGAAUAUAUGCUUUGAUGAGAUGAUCAAAUAUUUUGGGUUUAUACAAAGUUUAUGAGAAACUUGUAUUUCCAAAGAAGUGAGUGGGAGCACUAUAGAAUUUCUAAUGAGUAUAUGUUGUUGACAUAUUGUUGAUCAGAAACGAUGUAGAGUUUCUGGAAAGCAUAUAGGGUUAUUUGAAAAGUGUUUUUCAAUGGAAAACCUGGAUUAAGCUAUUUGAACAUUGAGCAUCAAGAUCUAUAAGGAUAGAUCAAAAAAUCACUUAAUAGUACCUUCAAACGAACACAUACCGUGACAAGAUUUUGAAGGAGUUCAAAAUAGAUUGGCAAAGAAGGAGUUCUUGGCUGUGUUAUAAGGUGUGAGUAUUGAGUAAGACUCAAGACCUGACCAUGACAGAAUAGAGAGAAAGGAUGAAGGUCGUCCCCUAUGCUUUAGACGUAGGCUCUACAGUAUGAUAUGCUGUGUACCACACCUGAAGUGUGCCUCGCAUGAGUCAGUCAAGGGGUACAAGUGUGAUCCAGGAAUGGAUCACAAGACAACGGUCAAGGUUAUCCUUAGUAACUAGUGGACUAAGGAAUUUUCUCGAUCAUGGAGGUGGUAAAAGAGUUCAUCAUAAAGGAUUACGCCGAUGCAAACUUUGACACUAAUCUAGAUGAUUCUGAGUAGUAAAACGGAUUCGUAUAGUAGAACAGUUAUUUGGAAUAGCUCCAAAUAAAGCGUGAUAGCUGCAUCUACAAGAUGACAUAGAGAUUUGUAAAGCACACACGAUCUGAAAGGUUCAGACCCGUUUACUAAUAACCUCUCUCACAAGCGAGAUAUGAUCAAACCCCAUGGGUGUUGAAAUCAUUACAACUAGCGGGGUGACCCGCGCAUUUGCGCGGCUAGUUUUUGUUUAAAAUAUUUGUUGUUUUUCUCGACCUGUUUUUUUUCAUUGGAUCCAUCGUUAUAUCAGUUAUCGAAAAUGUUAUAGCCAACUUUCCUAUUUUGAGAUCAUAUUAUUAAAAUUAACUACAAAUACCAAAUUUGUAUAAAAUGUGUAGUUAAAUAUUUGGUCAUCUGGCAUCAAAAGAUCAAAAGAACAACGAAAUGUGUCCCACCAUGCCAAACCAUAAGCUUUCGUACUAUUCUCUAGCUUUAACUAUUCCAACUUUUUCUCAUUCAUUUUCAUUUAUCGUUGCACCCAUUAUACUUUUAGGGAUUUUCCUUCAGAAAAUAUAAACAUUGACUUGUAGUCAUGCCUUGUUAUCUCUUUUCCGUUGCAUGCCUCAUCACCAAUCGUAUUGCACAUGUGUAUUUUGUUAGUACAGUGGCAUAUAUCGACAUAUCCAUAUAUAUGCUUCACCAUCUUCUCAUUGUAAUGUAAUUAGCUUAACUUAUUCCAUGUCUAGAUGAACUUAAUCCAUGAGUAGUUGGGAAAUUAUUGAAUUGCUCUCUCACUCGGGAUCACCGAAGCUUCUUAGUCUGCGCACUUAUUUUGCAUGUAAUUUCAUGUUUUAAGAAAGAAUGAUCAAAUACAUAUUAGACACCAAAUAUUGCUUCCUUCUUCCCCUAAAACAUUCUCUAUCAUUCACGUCCAUCUAUAAGAAAAAAACCUAAAAAUUGGAGAUUAUGCAAUUAACUAUAUUAAAAAAAUAAACACAAAAUUCUUAUAAUCCCAUACUAAUUUUAAUAUUGCUCUCUUCUAGUACUCUCCCUCGGUCACUAUUUUCCCCUGCAACAAAACGUUGACCAAGCUACCAUGUUACCAUGUAUGAAAAUAUUGUAGUUUCAACGUGCAUCUGGAGAAAACAUGAGAAAACUCCGGCUAAAAUGUUUUUUCUAAAUGUAUUAUUGUUGCUAAAUUCAGUGAUAUGUGACAAACGGUGACCAGUAUCACUAAGAUUAGUGUCCUACCAUAGCUAAUCAUUUCAUCAGCUAUUAUAGACCUAAACUGUCAUCACCAUUGUACGUCUUGCAGUUGCAUCUCCAAAUAGCACAAUAUCAUGCACAAAGGUCUUUCACACAUCUUCUAAAUGCUUGUGACAGUAUCCUCUUACUCAAACUAUUUAUGUAAACCGGCCAUCUAAGGCUAAAUAACUAUUUGAACAUAUCAUAAAAAUAUGUAUUUUUCUUAUGUUGCUUAAUUUUAUAAUUGAUUCUGUUUUUCGUCCGUGUUGUUCUGCAUCAAGUUAUUUUCUAAUCAGACUGGACUCAGAUAGAAAUUUAUUUGAAUUUAAACUACAUGUUCAACUGUACUGGUUAAAUUUGAUAUUUAAGCCGUAUUUGAAUUUUAUGUAAUGAAAAUUGAUUUGAUAAAUUGCUUACUAUUAUUAUUUUGACCUUAAAUGACUAAUAUGUUCGACAUCCCACUAUUAAUUUAUUUAUUUUUGCGGAUUCCACUAUUAGUUGAUUAUUGGUUUCUUUUAUUUUGCUGGAAAUUGAUUAUUGGUUUCUAUCCGUUUGAUGCAAUAUGUGUAUGUGUGUGGUCAUGCAAUGCUAAUUCGGCAUAGUUUAAAAAAAUAUGAUCUUGUAUGUUUACGUGCUAGGAGGCUAGGCAUGUUGCAGAUUUACAUGCGCGUGAUUUUUAUUUGUCAAAAAAUUAUUCGCUUAUAACUCCUUUUCCUAAUAUAUGUACGUGAACCAAUUUUGUAGGUGUGGAUGUUGGACUCGGCCUGUACAUUUUAUGUGCGCUUUUUUUUGUCCCUCUGAUUCAGGCCGUCACACCUUCCCGUAAGUUUCCUUUCUAAUUAGUAGCUCAUCUGGUUUGGCACGUACACAGGUUAGACUACGUAACCUUUGGGUCUUUCCAGAUUUACAUAUGAAUGUUCCUAUUUGUCUGAAAAUCCUUCCUGUAUGAGUCCUUUUCCUAAUAUGUAUGUCAUUCAAGUUGGACUCGGUCCUUGGCUUCAACCAAAUAUACAUAUAAUAUAUGCAUCGUGGUAGCGUGACGUGUCAAACUGUACCAAUGUGGUAAUAUUCAUACGUAACGCUACAUCUUUUAAAUCUUAGCUGUUAAUAGCUGUAAUUUACGGCCAAGAUAAUUUAACCUAUGUGGAUGAACGUGAUGGCUUGUUUGACUUCUGCAAUAUAUAUAUAUAUAAUAGAUAGAUCACAUAGUGAGGUGAACUAGAUUAUUGACUCUAGUGCAAGUGGGAGACUGUUGGAAAUAUGCCCUAGAGGCAAUAAUAAAAUGGUUAUUAUUGUAUUUCCUUGUUCAUGAUAAUUGUCUAUUGUUCAUGCUAUAAUUGUAUUAACUGGAAACCGUAAUACAUGUGUGAAUUCAUAGCUAACAACAUGUCCCUAGUGAGCCUCUAGUUGACUAGCUCGUUGAUCAAUAGAUGGUUAUGAUUUCCUGACCAUGGACAUUGGAUGUCAUUGAUAACGGGAUCACGUCAUUAGGAGAAUGAUGUGAUGGACAUGACCCAAUCCUAAGCAUAGCACAAGAUCGUGUAGUUCAUUUGCUAAGAGCUUUUAUAAUGUCAAGUAUCAUUUCCUUAGACAAUGAGAUUGUCUAACUUCCGGAUACCGUAGGAAUGCUUUGGCUGUACCAAACGUCACAACGUAACUGGUUGGUUAUAAAGGUGCACUACAGGUAUCUUCGAAAGUGUCUGUUGGGUUGGCACAAAUCAAGACUGGGAUUUGUCACUCCGUAUGACGGAGAGGUAUCUCUGGGCCCACUCGGUAAUGCAUCAUAAUGAGCUCAAUGUGACUAAGUAGUUGGUCAUGGGAUCAUGCAUUACGGAACGAGUAAAGUGACUUGCCGGUAACGAGAUUGAACGAGGUACCGGGAUACCGACGAUCCAAUCUCGGGCAAGUAACGUACCGAUUGACAAAGGGAAUUGUAUACGGGAUUGCUUGAAUCCCCAACAUCGUGGUUCAUCCGAUGAGAUCAUCGUGGAACAUGUGGGAUCCAACAUGGGUAUCCAGAUCCCGCUGUUGGUUAUUGACCGGAGAGAUGUCUCGGUCAUGUCAACAUGCCUCCCGAACCCGUAGGGUCUACACACUUAAGGUUCGAUGACGCUAGGGUUAUAGGGAAAGUUUGUAUGUGGUUACCGAAUGUUGUUCGGAGUCCAGGAUGAGAUCCCGGACGUCACGAGGAGUUCCGGAAUGGUCCGGAGGUAAAGAAUUAUAUAUAGGGAGUGAAGUUUUGGCCAUCGGAAGUAUUUCGGGCGUCACCGGUAAUGUACCAGGACCACCGGAAGGGUUCCGGGGGUCCAUCGGGAGGGGCCACCAGCCCCGGAAGCUUGCAUGGGCCUAGAGUGGGAAGGGACCAGCCCCAGAGUGGGCUGGUGCGCCUCCCACCAAGGCCCAAGGCGCAGCUAGGAGGAGAGAGGGGAAACCCUAGGCGCAGAUGGGCCUGAAGGCCCACCCUAGGGCGCGCCCCCUUCUCUCCCCCUCUUGGCCGCCCCUCCAAGUCCCAUCUAGGGAUGCCGCACCCGUAGGGUGGGAACCCUAGAUGGGGCGCAGCCACCUCCCCUCCUCCUAUAUAUAGUGGGGUUUUUGGGGCUGCCAAAACACAAGUCUCUCUAUCUUGGCGCAGCCCUACCUCUCAACAUCCUCGUCCUCCGUAGUGCUUGGCGAAGCCCUGCUGGAAACCAUGCUGCUCCACCACCACCACGCUGUCGUGCUGCUGCUGGAGUUCUCUUCCCCAACCUCUCCCUCCUCCUUGCUGGAUCAAGGCACGGGAGACGUCAUCGGGCUGCACGUGUGUUGAACGCGGAGGCACCAUUGUUCGGCGCUUAGAUCGGAAUCGACUGCGAUCUAAAUCACUGCGUGUACGACUCCUCCAAUCACAUUCUUGUAACGCUCCUGUAUCACGAUCUUCAAGGGUAUGAAGAUACACUCACCUCUCUCUUGUUGCUAGAAUCUCCAUUGAUUGAUCUUGGUGAUGCGUAGAAAAUUUUGAAUUUCUGCUACGUUCACCAACAAUAGGUUGUCACAUAGCUGGGGAAGCCGGCCUCAAGAUCCCUUGUCGGCCUAAAAACCUAGAGGAACACGUUAUACAUUAGCCCAAUGGGCAGUCGACGCGUUCUAUUUUUUGGGGAGCUUCAUGAACUAGCCAAGACCUCGUCAUGCUAUCGGAAGACGAAGCGCUUAUCUCUGGCUCAGCCCGGAAGCUACCAAGUCCAUGGGCUCAUGCAAGGACUACUGACGACGUUACCACCCUAGGGUGCCUCAAGGCACCUUAAGUAGGCCCACCAUGCUAGCCCAAGCCCCCUAAGUCGCUAUACGACCAUGACCAUUAGCCCGGACUGGGGGACGUCUAGAAGGAAGGAACCGACAUCUUGGCGUACAAGGUAAGACUAGAUAUAUAUCCAGGAGUACUUUCCAACCUUCAUAGACGACUAGGAUUCCUAUAAACCUUAAGCCUAUGUAUCCUUUACAGGACGAGGCUAGAGAGUCACUACGUGAUGGCUCAAGAAUUUAUGAUUAUUUGCAAUGAGUUUUUAGUUGGUUUUCACCGGAUUUAUACCACUUCUCGCUUAUUCCUAACAUAAAUCCUAAGAGAGAGAAGAAAAAUAUGUUUUUCCAUUGUUUGGUAGGAAGCACUACAAACUUUGCUCUAUUUUGCGAUGCUUCACUUGUGUCAUGUAUAACCCAUUUUCAUCAUGGAAAAUACUCUGGUGAUGUUUUCCGAUCGUCGCGCCCACCAUCACCAAAGCGCCAUCAUAGAAUUUUUUUAACGGUACCAAUUUUUUCAUCACGCAAGUUGGAAUAUUAGGUGACGGGCAAAAAAAUGUCACCAGUGAACGUGUUCGGUGACGGCCUAGAAUGUCACCUAUUAUGGCCCAAUUGGUUGCCUAAAAUCUUUUUGGCGAUGAUAAUCCCGUCACUGGUGAUCUGUCCGGGAGGGGGGGGGGUGACGGUGUCCUGGACUAGGGGGUACUCACCAUGUCGUCUCCUGAUUAGUUAGAUUGGACCGAGGACCCCCAUGGCCGUAUACUCAUGGGCCAGUUCGGACAACCCCUGCCGCAUACAAGGAGACUCCACAAGACUUGGCGCCCAAGACAAGGACUCUCCUAAACCCUAGGCCUCCGGUGUCUCAUAUAAACCGAGGCCAGGCUAGUCAAUAGACAAUCUCAUAUUCAUUACUACAAUCUCGUGGUAGACACAUGUACUCUGUACUACACCCAUAUGAGUACAAUCAAAAGCAGCAUGUAGGGUAUUAUCUCAUCAAGAGAGCCCGAAGUUGGGUAAAACCCCGUGUCCAUGUUAGCAUCGCUCCAAGAUGCCUAGCUUAGGACCCCUACUACGAGAUACGCCGGAUAUUGAACCGACAUUGGUGCUUUCAUUGAGAGCCUGCUGGGUGUUCGUCGUGGAUCGAUGGGAUGAUCAGGUGAUGUUUUUUCAGUAAGAUCGGUUUCAUAUAGAUGAUCUUUUUUGCAAAAUCAUUGCUGCCAUGUCGUACUACUUUGCCUACAGGCAGAUCGCGAUCAAAAUAACAUAGCGGCGGCUGUGUGUCCGUCAUCGGGCAGUACGUCGGAUCUUAGAAGCUUCCGCUUUUGCGGACUCAAUCUAGGUCAAUGCAGAAGAAAUUGUGUACAGCAAUCUAAUAAUGGCGUUUCUCUCGAGGAGAGUACGUAUGCAUAGUACUUUCGUGGAGCAGUACACCAGGGCCGAGAUGAAUUCGGCUAUGCGCGUCGGCGGACCAGACUUCAGCUCGGUGGAGCAAAUCAGGAAGAUUCCUUUCCUUUUUUUUAAUUCAGCUCCCAAUUCGGCCGCAGGUUGUCUGCUACCUUUGUCUGAAAAGUGCAAACCGAUAGUACCAUCUUAAGGCUAGCCAUAGUGGGGGUUACAUAAGUAGUAUCAUGCGCUUGGGACUCGCAAAUAUGCUUAUAUGGCAGGCAAUUAAAAAAGAGAGAGAUGGUUAUAGUAACAUAGGUAGAUACCAUAACAUAAUAAAUGUGAUGCUACCAUGUAUCAUGUAUGGCAAUAAAUGAGACCUUCUGUGAUACUAAUAUAUGAUACUAUGCACUAUAGAGGUAGUAACAUAGACUAGUAACAUAUGCAUGUUAGUACUAGUCUAAGUUACUCCCCAUUAUGACCAGCCUAACACAUCUAAGUACUCCUUUUCCAAGCACGGUCUUCAAGAUCUGGGCUACACACACCACUCCACAUAUUGGUAAAUACUAUAGUUCAAUUAGUACUACUUCUUGGAAAGAUCAAUACGGUCUGGUGCUAGUUCAAUUCGGACCAGUUUUUCUGUUAUUUGCUUUGAUCUUGCUAUAGCUCUGGUCUGUUACAGUCGACGGAUCAAGCAUGUUUUAUUUUUCUUAGCUAUUAUUUAGCACAUAAGUUGUUACACGCGGGAUAUCUCUUUGUUGGUUGUACUGUAUUAUUUUUUGCAGAAAUAUUUUGCUGACGUUUGUACAAAUGUUUUCUGUCUGCGUCAAUCGGGUGAGCCGACCCACGCGUCAGAACCUUCGUCAGACCAACAUUCACGUUCAGAUCGGCCGUUCCGUAUAUUGAUCGGCCCGACGCAGUCUUGAGACACUCCGGCAAGGGCUGCGGCCAUCUAGGGAUUUUUGCAGCACCAUUUUUAAAGAUCUAAUUAACAAACAAUGCAAACUAGCCCUGGACUAGCGCUUCAUCAUCGCUUGGAUGUGGAUUUUUUUUGUCCGCAAUCUGGCGAGCGCCAUAUCUGCAACCGGGUCUUCUCUACAAAAAAUACGUCGUCACUCCUCCGUCUUCAUUGACCUAGGCGCCAGGCUAUGUUUCUUUUAUCUACUUUGCGUAAACUUAAUUAUGCAAAGAAUUUUUUCUUUCAAUUAUUAUUGUUACUUGCUUGCACUAUUCUACGUGUGUAGGCAAUCAACUCGACCACGUCACGCAGUCAAUUCUAUGGGCCGACGCCGUCGUCCUGUCUGCAUCGAUCAAGUUGUGGCGUCGCCUCAGCGCGCGUCCCUUUUGUCAACAUCUCCGCGACAACUCUGUCGGGACGACCUUGGCGUUCAGGCCAUAUUUCUUUAAUUAUUUACUUUACUUAAAUUCACUAAGUAGAGGAUUUUUUAUGUAAAUAAAUAAAUAUAUAUUAUUAUUAUCUCUGGCUUGCACUAUUUUACCUAUGCAGGCAAUUGACUUAGAUCGGGCCGCACUAUCCCCGCGGCAUGGUGUCCUCGUCGCCCAUCUCCAUCGACCGAAUUGUGUCGUCGCCUUGGAGUGCUGCCCUGUGUUGGCAACCCCGCAUCAUCGCUUCAUCAACAUACUUGGCCGGAGACUCCAGUGUCAUCUGACGACCUGCUCCAUCACCUCAGCUAGACUGGGGGCUUCGCCUCUUCGGAGUGCCGAGCUCUUCGCUUAGCCACGUCGGGCUUGGGGGCUGAGACCUUGCCCCGCACCAAGCUCGGACCGCGUCAUCAAUGCCGAACACAUUAACCAACUAAGUCGCUUUCAUGCUCAAAAACUCCCAGUUUUAAAUUUUGUUCGGUUCGACCAAGCAUUAUACUUUUUUGGCAAAAAGUUGCUUGUGAAAAACUUCCUUGUCGAAACCUUGUUUGUGACACACAAAUUCAAAUACCCCAUUUAACUGGGGGCUUCCUUUAUGGAGCCUUUCCUCUUGCAUAUGAUUAUACUUGUACGGCUUCGUUCCUUGUUUGUGUAUUACGCCACAAUAUGCACCAUAUUGACUUAAGUGUUCCGCAAGCUGGGUUGCCUCGCUCAUGUGCUUACCCCUACGUUCCCGAUUGUUCGGCUAGGGAGUAAAGAGAGCACCUCUACGAUUGUCACGAUCGGGUCCUCCGAGCUCUGACCUCAGACUGGGUGAAGCCGAAAGCUAGCGCUCUUAUUGUUUUCAAUUAUGGUCGGCACACAACGGAACUCAUGAGUACAAAAAAUCUAUUGCACAAGUCUCAUAGUAACAAUGAGCAACCGAAGAAAGGUAUCGGUGGGGGUACUAUUUUCUUCGAAGAUGCUUCUUACACUUCGUCAGUAAUAUAUCAUAAGUUCCCUGAGCGCGCUUUGUCUGUUACAGCCUUAUGGCCUGAUUGCCUGGUUAUCGGAAACACUGUCGAUAUUCUCGACAGGUAGAGUACAUAACACUUUUCGGCCCUUGGCCGAAGAGGGAGAAGCCGACGGUCGGUUAAGAUGCAUUUAAAGUUUGGGUGAACACAUAUAUGAUAUAAGUACUUCGGAACAUACAAUCAUUAUACAUAAAAUUCUUUUACCCAAGUCACUCGGGGGCUCUUAAAUUUAUGCGAGCUGUUUUAUGAUAAGUGUUCUUCUUCUUAGUCGUUGCAAAGUCUUUUUUCUACCACUCCUUUUUUCUAUGCGAGUGUGUGGUCAAUAGCCAGAGAGCCUAAUUUCUCUCUCAAAGCCGCUAAAGUUUGCUAAGUUGGCCUAACGAGAAGUACUCCGCCUUCGGGAUAGGAGGUUGAAGCCGUAGGCUGACUCGCUUGAAGUCUUGAGAUAGGGUGUGUCAUGUAAAAGCACGACAAAAGCACAAUUUUUUUUCUAAGACCAAUUUUCUGAUUGGCACCGAACAAUUGAUCUAGUUCGGACGUCGAGUUUUUACUGACGUUUUUUGGUUUUCCAAUCCUAUGGCACUUUUCAACCAUUUGUGUGUUUUCCGCAUAAGUCUCGCAGUGCAACGCCGGACACCUUUAGAGAUUCGGCAAAAAUUCUUGGAUAUUUCUAUAUAUGCAUCAGUUUCAAAUCGUGUCUUCGGUCAAUAGUUGGGUUGCCCGGCUCCUGUGCUUGCCUCCUACGUUCCGCUUUGUUCGGCUAGGUGUGCAAAGUGAGAACCAUUGUGAUUGUGCUUCCAGCUCGCAUGGUUCAGCACCUCAGUGGAGAAAGCCGAAAACUGACUGUCACAAUAAGCGUAAACUGGUCAGCGGUCCGAUGACUGUAUUAAAUGACGGGCCAUUCAUAACAUUGGCUGAAGUGUUUAUGGCUUGACCUCGGCUGUAGCCGAACACUAAUCGGGGGGCUACUUGCUGGCCUCCCAACUUUAAGCUCCUAUGACUAAGUGAAAGUUAUAAAGCCCGCAUAUCUGAUUGCCUGGUUUCCACCAACACAACCGCCUUCGGGCACCAAGACGUCAGCUAAGGGUUGUUUUGUUAUUUCGGAAACACCCCGCGUCGCGUCUACAAGGGGGUAGAAGCCGACGAUGGGCCACUUUCAGAUUAUAAACGGUCGCAACGGAAGUGAAAAUUUGGGUUCAUUUAGACCACAGAGUUUGGAAGCUUUCCCCGAACUAAAUCAUCAGUAUUUUCCUCCCACAUUGAUCGGAGUUGAGGUUUCAUGAUCAUGCUUAGCACGACAACCCAAAUAAAGGAACCGAUAGCGGGACUAUUUUCUUUGGAAGAUGUUUCUUAUGUUAAACAAUAAUAUAACAUGUCUCUUUGCGUACCUUUGUUUAUAAAACCAUAUGGCCGGAUUGCCUUGUUUGCCAUAAAUCUUUGCCCUCAUAAAGGCUUUAUAAAGUAGGACAAACACUCCUCGGCUGCUUGCCGAGGAGGUUGAAGCCGAUGGUCGGUCAACAAAGUUUUGUACAAUGCGGAUCCGAGCAUUAAUGAUGUAAAGUACUUGGAUACAUAGAGUCAUUACACAUCAUUUGUGAUUUUACUAUGGAUAUCGAUCCUUAAUUCGGCCUCCCGUGCCUGCAUUCAGGCUCGGGGGCUACUAGGCUUCGGGCUUAUUAUUUACAAAUAUUAAAGGGGUACAUCGAUCCACUGAUCUGGUGUUGCCACCCGACCAGUGUCUCGGGGGCUACUGCAUUGACAAUCCAAUGCAGAAAAUUUAAAGUGCAAUAUAGUUUUCGAGGAGAUUAUUAUCCUCAGGUUGGUCGGCCGCACCCAACCUGAGUCUCGAGGACUUUGCACACCGUGUUUAUAUUCCUGAGUAUGCUGCCGAGCCGGGAAUUGAUCCUCGGGCUGAUUUUAUGAAUCAACCUGAGUCUCAGGGGCUACUAGGGUCAGCGGUUUGAUUUUUUCCUUCAGGUGCAUCCUGGAUAUUAGGCCAACACGCACCUUGAGGGCUACUGGCUAUACAUCUCGUCAGAGAUUACAUUACACAAUUCGGAAUUAAAUUCAUAAAAAUCAGCCCAUGGCCAAGGUGGUGCACCACCUUGGAAGUAGCCCGGCUAAACUCCUGCAACCUUUUUGAACCAAAGUGAUCUAUGACACCUCGGAUAUAGUCCGGUAUUGGAGCUCGGACAUAGUCCGGUGUUGGAGCUUGACAUAGUCCGGCGUUUGAGCUAGGACACAGUCCGUCGUUCGAGCUUGGAAGCGGUCGGGGGUUGCUGCUUGGCUGCAAAAGAUAUCUCAAAUGCAGUCCGGCGUUGGAGCUCGGAUGCAAGAAGAUACCGCCCCACGGGAACAACUUCAAAUCCAAGGUGUGGCGUGAAAAACAACAAGGCAUUGAUAAAGGCCGAUAACUUAAAGGGGCUCCUCGGAUACCCGACGUGUAAACUCUUCGGAUCCACUUCGGAAAUCCUCAAGAUCGAAGAUGAGAAGAUUUAUUGAACCAGUUUUCAAGAUCGACGACCGAAGAUGAAGAACAGUCUGGAAGAAUCGAGGAGCGUCCCCAAUUUGAAGACCGGUUCAGGGGGCUACUGACGGUGUCCUGGACUAGGGGGUACUCACCACGUCGUCUCCUGAUUAGUUAGAUUGGGCCGAGGACCCCCGUGGCCGUAUACUCAUGGGCCAGUUCGGACAACCCCUGCCGCAUACAAGGAAGACUCCACAAGACUUGGCGCCCAAGACAAGGACGCUCCUAAACCCUAGGCCUCCGGUGUCUUAUAUAAACCGAGGCCAGGCUAAUCAAUAGACGAUCUCAUAUUCACUACUACAAUCUCGUGGUAGACACAUGUACUCUGUACUACACCCAUAUGAGUACAAUCAAAAGCAGCAUGUAGGGUAUUAUCUCAUCCAGAGAGCCCGAAGUUGGGUAAAACCCCGUGUCCAUGUUGCCAUCGCUCCAAGACGCCUAGCUUAGGACCCCUACUACGAGAUACGCCAGAUAUUGAACCGACAGGGGGGGUGCUACUUGUGACCUGCGUUCGGAUAUCCUCGAAGAGGAGAGGAUGAUGCAAUACAAUAAAUAUAAGUAUUCCCCUCAGCUAAGAACCAAAGUUAUCAAUCCAGUAGGAGAACCACACAACACCUCGUUAGCAGUACCUGCACACAAAAUAACAGAUACUUGCACCCAACGCGAACAAGGGUUGUCAAUCCCUUGAUGGUUAAUUGCAAGGAUCAAAUCUCGUAGUGAUAGGUAGAUAAAUGAAACACAAAAUAAAAUAAAGUAAAUAAAAUUGCAGCAAGGUACUUUUGGAUUUUAAUAUAUGAUAAAAGUAGACCUGGGGGCCAUAGUUAUCACUAGAGGCUUCUCUCUUGAAAAUAGGAUACGAUGGGUAAAAAAAUUACUAAUGGGCAGUUGAUAGAAAAGCGAAUAAUCAUGAUGAUAUCCAAGGCAAUGAUCAUGUAUAUAGGCAUCACGUCCGAGACAAGUAGACUGACUCCUGCCUGCAUCUACUACUAUUACUCCACACAUCGACCGCUAUCUAGCAUGCAUCUAAAGUAUUAUGUUCGUAAAGAAUGGAGUAAUGCCUUAAGCUAGAUGACAUGAUGUAGACAAAGUAAACUCACUCAUGAAUAAAGCCCAUCUUUCUAUCCUCAAUGGCAACAAUAAAAAUAACUAUCUUGUCCCUUCUGUCACUGGGAUAUAGAUCACCGCAAGUUUGAACCCAUCACAAAGCACCUCCCCCAUUGCAAGUAAAAUCAAUCUAGUUUGGCCAAACCAAAACAAUAGAUAAAAGAGAAAUACAAAGCUAUAGUAAUCAUGCAUAAAAGAGUUCACAGAAGACUCAAAUAAUAUUCAUGGAUAACCUGAUCAUAAACUCACAAUUCAUUGGAUCCCAAAAAACACACUGCGAAAAGUGAUUAAAUCAAAUAGAACUCCAAGAACAUCGAGGAGAACAUUAUAUUGAAAAUCAAAGAGAGAGAGAGAGAGAAAACUAUCUAGCUACUAGCUACGGACCCACAGGUCUGUGGUAAACUACUCACACAUCAUCAGACGGGUAGCAAGGUUGAUAUAGAGGCCUUCCGUUGUCGACCCCCCCUUUGGCAGAGUGCCGGAAAAGGCCUCCAGAUGGCAUCUCGUGAGAACAGAAGCUUGCGGUGGCGGAAAAAGUAUUUUGGGUGGAUCUCUGUUGGUUUCCCAAUUUUAGUGAAUUUAUAGAGGCAGAAUUAGGUCAAAGGGAUGCACAUGGGCCCCACAAGCCACCAGGGCGCGCCCUCGUGCCUUGUGGGCUACUCGUUCAUCUUCUGGCCCUCUCCCGAAGCUUCCAGGGUCUCUUAUGUCCAGAAAAAAUUGUCAAAAAGUUUCGUGGCAUUUGUACUUCGUUCGGUACUGAUAUUCUGGAAAACCAAAAAUAGGCAAAAACAACAACUGACACUUGGCACUAAGUUAAUUGGUUGACAUAUUAAUGCAUAUAAAACAUCCAAUAUUGAUACUAUAAUAGCAUGGAACAAUAAAAAAAUUAUAGAUACUUUGGAGACGUAUCAAGCAUCCCCAAGCUUAAUUCCUACUCGUCCUUGAGUAGGUAAAUGAUAAAAACAGAAUUUUUGAUGUGGAAUGCUACCUAACAUGUUCAUCAUGUAAUCUCUAUUUUGUGGCAUGAAUAUUAAGACCCAAAUUAUUCAAAGCAACAAUCUAUAUUUUGACAUAAAAACAACAAUAAUAAGGCAUACCAACAAAAAAUCAUGUCUUUCAAAAUAUCAAUGCUAAAGAACGUUAUCCCUACAAAAUCAUAUAGCCCUGUCAUGCUCCAUCUUCUUAACACAAGGUAUUUAUCACGGACAACCCCGAUGACAAGUUGAGCAAUUGGUUCAUACUUUUUAACGCGCUUCAGCUUUUUCAACUCUCACACAAUACAUGAGCGCAAGCCAUGGAUAUAGCACUAUGAGGUGGAAUAGAGUACAAUGAUGGAGAUAAUAUUUAGAAAAAAGGAGAAAGUCUCACAUAGGCGAGGCUAAUUAACGGGCUAUGGAGAUGCCCAUUAAUUGAUGUCAAUGAAAGGAGUAGGGAUUGCCAUGCAACGGAUGCACUAAGAUCUAUAAGUGUAUGAAAUCUCAAAAAUAAAACUAAGUGGGUGUGCAUCCAACUUGCUUGCUCAUGAAGACCUCGGGCAUUUGAGGAAGCCCAUCAUUGGAAUAUACAAGCCAAGUUCUAUAAUGAAAAAUUCACACUAGUUAUAUGAAAGUGAAAGCAUAGGAGACUCUCUAUAUGAAAAACAUGGUGCUACUUUGAGGCACAAAUGUGGAAAGGAUAGUAACAUUGCCCCUUCUCUCUUUUACUCUCACUUUUUUGUUGGGCUCUUUUUGGCGUCUUUUUAUGGGCUCUUUUCGACCUCUCUUUUUUUGUCCGGAGCCUCAUCCCGACUAGUUGGGGAAUCAUAGCCUCCAUCAUCCUUUCCUCACUUGGGACAAUGCUCUAAUAAUGAAUAUGAUCAUCACAGUUCUAUUUACUUACAACUCUAUACUAGAACAAAGUAUGACUCUAUACGAAUGCCUCCGGCGGUGUAUCGGGAUGUGUAAUGAUCUAGCAUAACAUGUAUAAACAUGAUGAAUGGUGGUUGAGCCAAAAAUACUAUGCCAUCUAUAUGAUCAUGUAAAGCAAUAUGACAAUAAUGAUGCGUGACAUAAUAAUGCGGAACAGUGGAAGUUGCAUGGCAAUAUAUCUCGGAAUGGCUAUGGGAAUGCCAUAAUAGGUAGGUAUGUUGGCUGUUUUGAGGAAGAUAUAAGGAGGCUUAUGUGUGAUAGAGCGUAUCAUAUCACGGGGUUUGGAUGCACCGGCGAAGUUUGCACCACAUCUCAAGGUGAGAAAGGGCAAUGUACGGUACCGAAGAGGCUAGCAGAUUGCAGAAAUGUGAGAGUGCGUAUAAUCCAUGGACUCACAUUAGUCAUAAAGAACGCACAUACUUAUUGCAAAGGUUUUUCGCCCUCGAAGCAAAGUACUACUACGCAUGCCCCUAGGGGGAUAGAUUGGUAGGAAAAGACCAUCGCUCGUCGUGGACCGCCACUCAUAAGGAAGAUAAUCAAUAAUAAAUCAUGCUCCAACUUCAUAGCAUAACGAGAGACUAUAAGUGCAUGCUUCGGGAAUCACAAACCUUAACACCAAAAUUGCUAAUAAACCACAAUUACUCACUAGCAUAACCCACAUAUUACCACCUUUAUAUCGCAAAACUAUUACAAGGAAUCGAACUUAUCAUAUUCAGCAAUCUACAUGAAAGUUUUUAUUAUAUCCCUCUUGAAUACCUAUCAUAUUAGGACAAAAUUCAUAACUUGUACUAAUUGCCAUUACUAUCAACCCUAAAAAAUAAUAAGUGAAGCGUGAGAGUGCAAAUAUUUCUUUAAAAUAUAAGCACCGGCGUGCUAAAAAAGAUAUAAGUGAAGCACUAGAGCAACUGCCUAGCUCAAAAGAUAUAAGUGAAGCACAUAGAGAAUUCUAACAAAUCAUGAAUAAUGUGUGUCCCUCUAAAAAAUGUGUGUUCAACAAAUAUGAUUGUGACAAACUAAAAAGCAAACAAAGCAAUGACUCAUAUAAUACACGACGGUCCAAGCAAAACUCAUAUGAUGUGAUGAGUAAAAAUAUAGCUCCAAGUAAAAUUAUCGAUAGUUGGUAGAAGAAAGAGGGGAUGCCUUCCGGGGCAUUCCCAAGCUUAGAUGCUUGGGAGUCCUUGAAUAUUACCUUGGGGUGUGAUACGUCUCCAACGUAUCUAUAAUUUUUGUUUGUUCCAUGAUGUUAUAUUAUCAAUCUAGUAUGUUUUACAAUCAUUUUAUAGUCAUUUUAUAUCACUUUUUGGUACUAACCUAUUGACAUAAUGCCAGUGUCAGUUGUUGUUUUCUGCAUGUUUUUUACAUCACAGGAAAUCAAUAUCAAAUGGAGUCCAAAUGCAACGCAAAUCCUUGAGGAUAUUUUUGGGCCAGAAGAAAGCCAAUGGGCCAAGGAAGCACCCGAGGGACUGCUCGAGGUGAGCAGCACUCACCAGGGUGCACCAGGAGGCCCAUGCGCGCCCUGGGGGGUUCUGCCUACCUCGGGUGCCCCCGAACCGCCUCUUUGCUCUAUAAAUACCCAAAUAUUCUAGAAACCCUAGGGGAGGCGACAAAAUAUUGAUCCAGCCGCCAUAGAGUCCAGAACCACCAGAUCCAAUCUAGACACCGUCAUGGAGGGGUUCACCACUUCCAUUGGUGCUUCUCCUAUGAUGCGUGAGUAGUUCUUUGUAGACCUACGAGUCCGUAGUUAGUAGCUAUAUGGAUUGCUCUCUCUCUCUCUUGAUUAUCAGUACAAUGGUCUCUUGGAGAUCCAUAUGAUAUAAGUCUUUUGGCGGUGUGUUUGUUGGGAUCCGAUGAACUUUGAGUUUAUGAUCAGAUCUAUGUUUUUAUCCAUGAAAGUCAUUUGAGUCUUCUUUGAUCCCUUAUAUGCGUGAUUGCUUAUAGCCUCAUAUUUCUUCUCCGAUAUAUGGGUUUUGUUUGGCCAACUUGAUCUAUUUAUCUUGCAAUGGGAAGAGGUGCUUUAUAGUGGGUUCGAUCUUACGGUGCUUGAUCCUAGUGAUAGAAGGGGAACCUACAUGUAUGUAUCGUUGCUACUAAGGAUAAAAAGAUGAGAUCUAUAUCUGCUGCAAUAGAUAAACAGAUAUCUUCUACAUCAUGUCAUUUUUAUUAAUGCAUUACCCCGUUUUCUCUUGAACUUAAUACACUAGAUGCAUGUUGGAUAGCGGUCGAUGUGUGGAGUAAUAGUAGUAGAUGCAGGCAGGAGUCGGUCUACUGCUAUGUCUUGAGCUUGCGUUGGUUUUCCUUGAAGAGGAAGGGGUGAUGCAGCAAUAGUAGCGUAAGUAUUUCCCUCAGUUUUUGAGAACCAAGAUAUCAAUCCAGUAGGAGGCUCCUCAAAAGUCCCACACACCUACACAAACAAACAAAGAACUCGAAACCAACGUAAUAAAGGGGUUGUUAAUCCCUUCACGUCCACUUGCAAAAGUGAGAUCUGAUAGAGAUAGUAUGAUAAGAUAAAUAUAUUUUUGGUAUUUUAUAAUAUAGAUGCAAAAAUUAAAAGAAGCAAAUAAAAGUAGAUUGAACGCUUAUAUGAUAAAAGAUAGACCCGGGGGCCAUAGGUUUCACUAGUGGCUUCUCUCAAGAUAGCAUAAGUAUUACGGUGGGUGAACAAAUUAUUGUCGAGCAAUUGAUAGAAAAGCGAAUAAUUAUGAGAUUAUCUAGCCAUGAUCAUGUAUAUAGGCAUCACGUCCGUGACAAGUAGACCGACUCCUGCCUGCAUCUACUACUAUUACUCCACACAUCGACCGCUGUCCAGCAUGAAUCUAGAGUAUUAAGUUCAUAAGAACAUAGUAACGCAUUAAGAAAGAUGACAUGAUGUAGAGGGAUAAACUCAAGCAAUAUGAUAUAAACCCCAUCUUUUUAUCCUCGAUGGCAACAAUACAAUACGUGCCUUGCAACCCUUUCUGUCACUGGGUAAGGACACCGCAAGAUUGAACCCAAAGCUAAGCACUUCUCCCAUGGCAAGAAAGAUCAAUCUAGUAGGCCAAACCAAACUGAUAAUUCGAAGACACUUGCAAAGAUAACUCAAUCAUACAUAAAAGAAUUCAGAGAAGAUUCAAAUAUUUCUCAUAGAUAAACUUGAUCAUAAACCCACAAUUCAUCUUAUCUCGACAAACACACCGCAAAAAGAGUUUACAUCGAAUAGAUCUCCACAAGAGAGGGGGAGAACAUUAUAUUGAGAUCCAAAAAGAGAGAAUAAGCCAACUAGCUAAUAACUAUGGACCCGAAGGUCUGUGGUAAACUACUCACAACUCAUCGGAGGGGUUAUGGUGUUGAUGUAGAAGCCCUCCAUGGUCGAUUCCCCCUCCGGCGGAGCGCCGGCGAAGGCUCCAAGAUGGGAUCUCGCGGAUACAGAAGGUUACGGUGGUGGAAAUUGUGUUUCGGUUGCUCCCUGGAUGUUUUCGGGGUACGUAGGUAUAUAUAGGAGGAAGAAGUACGUCGGUGGCCGCUCGAGGGGCCCAGGAGACAGGGGGCGCGCCCAGGAGGGGUGGGCGCACCCACCUAUCUCCUGGCCGCCUCGUUUGUUGCUUGACUUGCACUCCAAGUUCUCCGGAUCACAUUCGUUCCAAAAAUCACGCUCCCGAAGGUUUCAUCCUGUUUGGACUCCGUUUGAUAUUCCUUUUCUUCGAAAUACUAAAAUAGGCAAAAAAACAACAAUACGGGCUGGGCCUCCGGUUAGUAGGUUAGUCCCAAAAAUGAUAUAAAUAUGUAAAAUAAAGCCCAUAAACAUCGAAAAGGGGUAAUAUAAUAGCAUGGAACAAUAAAAAAUUAUAGAUACGUUGGAGACGUAUCAAGCAUCCCCAAGCUUAAUUCCUGCUCGUCCUCGAGUAGGUAAAUGAUAAAAACAAUUUUUUUGAUGUGGAAUGCUACCUAGCAUAAUUCUCAAUGUAAUUCUUCUUUAUUGUGGCAUGAAUGUUCAGAUCCAAAUGAUUGAAAAUAAAAUUUCAUAUUGAUAAAGAAAUAGUAACACUUCAAGCAUACUAAUCAAAGUAAUCAUGUCUUCUCAAAAUAACAUGGCUAAAGAAAGUUCGUCCCUACAAAAUCAUAUAGUUAGGCUAUGCUUCAUUUCUGUCACACAAAGAUGUUCCCAAAUUCUACACCCCCGAUGACAAGCCAAGCAAUUGUUUCAUACUUAAAUAAUCCCAAACUUUUUCAACCUUCACGCAAUACAUGAGCAUGAACCAUGGAUAUAGCACUAUGGGUGGAAUAGAAUAUGAUGAUGGGGAUUGUGUGGAGAAGACAAAAAAGGAGAAAGUCUCACAUUGACGAGGAUAAUCAACGGGCUAUGGAGAUGCCCAUCAAUUGAUGUCAACAUGAGGAGUAGGGAUUGCCUUGCAACGGAUGCACUAGAGCUAUAAUUGAAUGCUCAACAAAGGAAAACUAGUGGGUGUGCAUCCAACUUGCUUGCUCACAAAGACCUAGGGCAUUUGAGGAAGCCCAUCGUAGGAAUAUACAAGCCAAGUUCUAUAAUGAAAAAUUCCCACUAGUAUAUGAAAGUGACAACAUAUGAGACUCACUAUAUGAAAAACAUGGUGCUACUUUGAAGCACAAGAUAUGAGACUCACUACAUGAAGAACAUGGUGCUACUUUGAAGCACAAGUGUGGAAAAAGAGAUAGUAACAUUGUCCUUUUUUUCUUUUUUUACUUUGGCCUUUAUUUUUUUCUUUUGUUUUUUACUUUUUUUUUUCUAUUUUCGUUUUGGGCAAUGCUCUAAUAAUGAUGAUCAUCACACUUUCGUUGAUUACAACAUAUGAAUUACAACUCGAAACUAGAACAAGAUAUGAAUCUAUAUGAAUGCCUCCAGCAGUGUACCAGGAUGGUGCAAUGAAUCAAGAGUGACAUGUAUAAAAAAUUAUGCAUGGUAGCUUUGCCACAAAUACGAUGUCAACAACAUCAUCAUGCAAUGGCAAUAUGACAAAAGUGAAGUAUGUCAUGAUGAUGAUGAACGGAACAGUGGAAAGUUGCAUGGCAAUAUAUCUCGGAAUGGCUAUGGAAAUGCCAUAAUAGGUAGGUAUGGUGGCUGUUUUGAGGAAGAUAAAAGUAGGUUUAUGUGUGAUAGAGCGUAUCGUAUCACGGGGUUUGGAUGCACCGACGAAGUUUGCACCAACUCUCAAGGUGAGAAAGGGCAAUGCACGGUACCGAAGAGGCUAGCAAUGGUGGAAAGGUAAAAGUGCGUAUAAUCCAUGAACUCAACAUUAGUCAAAAGAACUCAUAUACUUAUUGCAAAAAUUUAGAAGUCAUCAAAAAUCAAGCACUAUGCGCAUGCUCCUAGAGGGAUAGAUUGGUAGGAAAAGAACAUCGCUCAUACCCGACCUUCACUCAUAAGGAUGCACAAGCCAGGUACACUUCAUGUUUCAAAUUUGUUACACAACUUUAACCAUACGUGCAUGCUAUGGGACUUGCUAACUUCAACACAAGCAUUCUUUAAAUUCAUAAUCACCCAACUAGCAUGACUUUAAUAUCACUACCUCCAUAUCUCAGAACAAUUAUCAAGUAUCAAAUCAUCCAAUUCACUUCCUAUGAUAGUUUUUAUUAUACCCAACUUGGAUGCCUACCAUUCUAGGACCAAUUUAUAACCAUAGCAAAUACCAUGCUGUUCUAAAAGACUCUCAAAAUAAUAUAGGUGAAGCAUGAGAGACUAGCAAUUUCUAUAAAAUCAAGCCACCGCCAUGCUCAAAAAGAUAUAAGUGAAGCACUAGAGCAAAAACUAUCUAGCUCAAAAGAUAUAAGUGAAGCACAUAGCAUAUUCUAAUAAAUUUAAAUCAAGUAGGCUUAUCCCAAAAGGUGUGUACAACUGUCAGGACCCCGAUCCUAAGUCACACCGAUCUAGCAUGUAACACAUCAUAUCACUUUGCGGCCUCACGCACGGUAUUCCCACGGGUGCCACCUUACCUGGCCCGGGACCGUUUGAGACUUUUGGCUCACGUAUAUGAUAGUGUUGCUAGCAUCCAUAUGACAAAGAACCCGGGCUGACAUGGCUAGUCGUGAACCCAAAGUGGCACUAACUUACAGGGACAGGCAUCCAUGAUCCAACAUCGAACGUGUCGGUCAUCAGCGAGUGAAUCCAGGCUGUAGCACUGGGCUAGCAGGACUCCGGUGAACCGGGCUGUAGCGGGCUAACAGGACUCCAGUAUUCAUCGCGUGACAUUUCCCCGAAGGGACAGACACAGGAACGAAGAAGGACACAUGCCGGCCAGCCUAAGUGUUCCGGAGCAGUAGCAAGCUACCAUGGCUCAGUGGAAACACUAGGAGACAUUUCCCGGUAAGAGAGGCUACUAAGGAUAAACAACUAGAUAGUCAGAUCCCACACAUACCAAGCAUUUCAAUAACAUACACACAAUAUGCUCGAUAUGUGCAAUACAACCUGGCAUCACAACAUGACUCUACAACUCAAGUAUUAUUCAAUAGGCUCUGAGGAGCGAGAAAUUACAAACAUGGGUCUCAUGACCCAACAAUCAGAGCAUACAAGUCAAAGCACAAGCGGAAGCUAUCAUGUCUGAGUACAGACAUCUAUAAAUGAAAAAGGCUGAAAGCCUGAUUAUCUACCAGAUCCUGCCGAGGGCACAAGAUCGUAGCUGAGGUAACAAGCUAAACGUCGAAGUCCACGCGGUACUACUAGCGAGACUGAAGUCUCUCUGCAAAAACAUAAAUUAAGCAACGUGAGUACAAAUGUACCCAGCAAGACUUACAUCAGAACUAACUACAUAUGCAUCAUUAUCAACAAAGGGGAUGGUGGGGUUUAACUGCAGCAAGCCAGCUUUGACUCGGUGGCUAACCUGAACUACGACUGCAAGUAACUCUUUUGAGGUGGCGCACACGAGUCCACAUAUUCACCAUAUCAAUACACCACUAUGGAUCCGCUCCCGUCUCCCUACGAGAAUGCCAUCCAUAGCACUCACGCUUAUCUUGCGUAUUUUAGAGUAUCCACUUUCACUUGUCUAUGAACUAUGCAAGGGGUCCAAGUUUCCAUAUCCGAGGAAUCCGGCUAUUCGAAUAGAUAAUGAUAACCCUGCAGGGGUGUACUUCUUCACACACGCUUCUGCCACUUAUCGCCCUGUACACGUCAUGUAUCUCGGCAACCUUCAAGCGGAAGCCGGGCGAGGGAGUCGGCCACGACCUGACUAACCAAACAAGUCUCUCGUCCAGGUUUAUCGCCUAUUCGGGUUCUAUCCGCAAGGAGAUCCGGCCGGGGUGUCGCUCACGGCCCCAAACGAUGUGAGCAGGGUUCCCAAGCCCACCAUCCGGGUGCCACUUGCUACACCGUGCCACUGUGCCUAGUCUGUCCCAAGCCCACCUGUACCGGGUGCCACUUGGUAGACUACUAACACUACCUACAAACACCAGAAACUAGUUGCAACUCCUAGACAGAGAUCAUGCUGAUUAAUAAGUCGAGAGGGGUCGAGUUACCGGAACCCAAUGUGUGGUAGUAACUAGUCAUGGAUCACAAACACAGAACUCAGUUCCUGAGGAUGGCUGCAAUGAGACAACCCACCAUGUACUCCUACAUGGCCUCUCACCGCUACCUUUACCAAAUCGUGUUCACAAACUUAGCUCUCAACGGUAGGACAUGUUCACACACCUCUGAUUCAUCCCCGAUGAAUCAGACCUGACUCAACUCUAAGCAGUAGCAGGCAUGACAAACAAGCAUGAAUGAGUAGGCACAACAGGGCUCAAACAACUCCUACUCAUGCUAGUGGGUUUCAUCUAUUUACUGUGGCAAUGACAGGUCAUGCAGAGGAUAAAAGGUUCAGCUACCGCAGCAAGUAACAGAUGAACCGUUGUUGUCCUAAUGCAGUAAAAGAGAGCAGGAGCGAGAGAGUGGGAUUGUAUCGGAAUGAACAAGGAGGUUUUGCUUGCCUGGCACUUCUGAAGAUAAUAUAGCUCUUCAUCGGUGUCAUCGAACUCAUCGUCGGAACCACGUCUAUCGAGAGGGGGCAAGUUCCGGCAACACAGAAGGAAACAUAAUCAAUGCAAUGCACAAUAUGAUGCAUGCUCAUGACAUGGCAAUAUGAAUGUGUUUUGGGCUAAUGCACCUAGCUAUGAUUUAAAUGAAGUUGGUUUGAAUACAUGAUUCAAAUUCCAACUCCAUAUAUGAUUAUUUAAAUGCCCUAUAUUUGUUUUGUCCAAAACAGAGGACAAACUUUGUUCAAACAUGCAUGAAAAUGGUACAUAUGGAUUCCUUGAAUUUUUCUGAUAAUUUUUCAUAUAUAAUUUAUUUAAUUUGGAGUUACGGUUGAAUUUCUAUGAUUUUUUGAAGUUUGGGAUAUUUUCUGGAUUUUUCUGAAUAAAAUAAACCCAAAAAACAUUACUGCGUCAGCCUGACAUCAUCAUGACGUCAGCAGGUCAACAGGGGCUGGUCCGGGUCAAACCUGACGUGUGGGGUCCAUACGUCAGUGUCAUAGUUAGUUAACAGGGGGUUAUUUGCUUAAUUAAAGGAUUAGGGGGGCUCGGGGCCCACUAGUCAGUGUUAGUGGCUAAUUGGGUUUAGUUAAUAUUUAACUAAAAUUAGCAGGGCCUGGCCCCACUAGUCAGCGACCCUGGGGGGUCAAACCCCAGGUCGAACAAGUCAAACCCGCCGGCGGUUAGUCGCCGGCGAGAUCCGCGGCGUACUUGUGCUCCGGGUUUCCUCUGUGGUGCUCCAAAUGGUGCGCGGCUAGGCGCGUUGGAGAGCUAGCUCGAUGGCGCGCCGGGCGGUGGCCGUGGCUGGGCCUGGGGUGGCCGGAGUCGACGGCGGCGAGCUCGGCUGCGGCUGCCAGAGUUCGGUCGUGCACGAGAGCGCGUUUGGAGCGCGAAAACGGGAGAAGCAACGCACUAGGGAUGCUCUACGUGGCCCUACGAGCUUGUUGGACUCGCCGGGGUGACCAAAUGGUCACUGAAGCUGCGUCGACGGCGAGCUCGGCGGCGGCGAAGGUUCGGCCAUGGUGGGGAGGAGGGCUACGGCGUGCGGGCAGCCAAACGGAGAGAGGGGAACGGUGGCGGAGCUCACCGCGGUUGCAACGGGCGUCGAAGCGGGCUCGGGGAAGCGACGACGAUGGCGAAUCGACGGUGAAGAUCCUCGGCGGCCGGUGGUGGAGAAGGCGACGGUGGCGGCGUUGCAGCGCGUCCGGGACCUCGUGGCUUGGUGGAGAGGAUGAGGGGGUCGAGGCGGAGCUUCUGCGCGUGUCGGAGAGGCGAGGGGGAGGCUGUGGCUGCGGCUAUGGCGAACGGCGGCGACCGGCGCGUUCGGACNNNNNNNNNNNNNNNNNNNNNNNNNNNNNNNNNNNNNNNNNNNNNNNNNNNNNNNNNNNNNNNNNNNNNNNNNNNNNNNNNNNNNNNNNNNNNNNNNNNNNNNNNNNNNNNNNNNNNNNNNNNNNNNNNNNNNNNNNNNNNNNNNNNNNNNNNNNNNNNNNNNNNNNNNNNNNNNNNNNNNNNNNNNNNNNNNNNNNNNNNNNNNNNNNNNNNNNNNNNNNNNNNNNNNNNNNNNNNNGAGCGCGCGCGCGUCGGGCACGCGCCCGUCCUCCUGUCGGGGAGGAAGACGACAGAGGAGGGGGCCGCCUGGUGGGCUGGGCCGCACCGGUGGGCUGCCAGCACAGGAGCUGGGCCGGUGGGCUGAGAGGUGAGCGUCAGGUAGUCCCUCUGCUCUUUCCUUCUCUUUUCUAUUUUCUGCAGUUUGUUUUGAUUUAGUUUUAGACACUAAAUCAUUUUUUUUAAAUUCUGUAGGUUUUUAUGUGGCUUGCUAAAAUAUAUACAAAGCCACUCACAAACUUCCAGAAUUAUUGGAGUCAUAUUUAAUAUAUAUAAAAUAUAAAUCCAAAGCAAAUAGUUAUUGGAUUAAUUCAAAUGGUCAAAAUAAAUAUCUCUGAGACUCCAAAAAUAUUGGUUUGAAUUUUACCUCUUACCAAUAUUUUUAUGAAAUAACAGGAACAUUUUCUUGGACUCAUUUGAGAAGAUUUAAAUGUUGGUUAUUUUUAGAGGUUUCCUGAGGCUUUGAAAAUUCCUCAAUUCAAAUUUAAAGAAAUUUAGACAUGAUGCAUGGAUGCAAUGCCACUAGUUACAAGCAAGCUCUAGGGCUGUGACAACUCACCCCCAUUAAACAAAAAUCUCGUCCCGAGAUUCAAGUGUAGGGUAAGGUGAAGGGGGAACGCAAACUAGCACAAUCUUCACGAUCCAGGUUGCACUUCAAAUGAACAUUGAUUCGUUCACCAUCAUUGUCUCGAAGUCUUGCUCUGAGAACUCCAACUAACAUGACAACGAGAGGAAAGGAAAGACCCUAAAAGAAUUGUUCUUCUCGAAGGUCGAACAACUCAGGAUUAACUCUCGUAAUGAGACAUAGCAACAUCUCUCGAGCUGAGAGACGAAGCACACAUCCAUAGGAAUGGAGUGAAGCAGAUGACGAAGGUUCACUAGGUGGACAACAAUUUCACACUUAAAAAGGUGGUGAACGAUUGUCAACGUAGCGAGGAGUUGAGUUGACAUGAUACCACAACGAGACAGCUUAGGAACCGUGACUCGUAGAUAUAUCCCCUUAGGUGGCAAAAGAAUUACCUUUGAUUCAGAGAUCAUUGAAACUCUUCAUACCAGCCUAAGGCAAUCACAAGCGAUCAUUUGGAGGGGGUCGGUAGAAUGGCAUACCCGGACUUGGAUGAUGUGGAUUACCUUGUUGAAGACAACGUAAUCGAUGAAUUUGCUUACCACCGGAAAUGGAAGAGACCCAUGGUAGAAUGGCACAUUGGCGGUGCAAGCUGGGAACAAAAUGCAAAUGCCGGGAAUGAUUCUGGUAACUGGGGAAGAACCCAGCAAUAGAGAGUGAAUUCACUGUUUGAGAAGAUCAUAGCAUUGCCGAGGAAACUGAGAGCAUCCCAAUUAGUGUCGAUGAUAACACCUAGCGCUUGUGCGUGCUCUCAAGAACUUGAGCAUUUCCAUAAUCAUCAAGAUUUUACCAAUAUCCGUGUCAAGGAUCCUGGCAACACAACUUGCUACCAUGAUGAAAGAUGAUGGAUGAUGAAGAUGCAAAGGAAGAUAACACUUUCUCAGAUUUCACCUUAGCGAGGCCAAGGAAACAAAAUCUGGAUGAUCGACCGAGAGACAUUUAUCACUCCGCUUCUAAUGUUCUCCUUGAUGUGCUAGUGUAUCCCAUUCAUAAGGUUUGAUAUCUAGAACAUCAAGUAAGGUCGGACUUCGGGAACACAAAAAUCAUAAGGCACAACUAGGGAGUAAAUCCUACGAAGUCCUUAUGGGAAGGUGGCCAACUUCUUCAAUCAAGAUACUACAAUAAUAGGUCUUCCGGCGGGGUGUGUUGGCCACGACAUCCACUUUACCGGUUAUCGCGAGACCAAUAUUAUAGUUCUUGGGAAAUGUUCCAACCAUCAUAUCUGCCUGAGAUUUAGAUCUGGUUGGUGUCAGAAUAUUCCAGACUCAUCCAGUCUAGAAAGAAAAAUUAAAGUUUGCAACACAAAUCGACGAGAUGACGUUGCGAGAUUCUCGGAAAAUGGACUACGAUAGCAAGCUCCAAAAUAUGAGCUGGUCUUGCUACAAACAUGUGAACACGCUGUCCUAGACAAACAUGAUCACAUGGUAGUCUUACAAUAAAACACUACCGAGUUCUGGUAGGAACCAUCAUCGGGGAUAUAGGAAUCUUGUGCAUGAACUAGUAUUUGCACAGCAACUCCUUUUCCUUGAACAAUUCAAUCAGUGGCUUGGUAUGCUAGGGAUACAUAUGGAAUGAAGAUGAUCAGUCUAUCAGACCAUAGAAUACUUCGCACAUGCAUGACUGACUUGGGAUGAUUCCAGAGGAGCAAAAACAAACUUUCUUGAAUUCACGACGGCAACUUACAUCAAAUGCACGUGAAUCAAAGGAAGUCACUUCUUUCAUCCAACAUACACUUCAUAAACGGGGCAUGAAGAAAAUGCUUACACAAGUUUCCAACACUAGCUUAAUGUUCAACAAAAUCAUGGAGGAGAUAAGGAUGUUGUCAAUGGGCUCAGCAACAAUUCAUCCGGGUUUCCUUUUAGAAGGAAUUCCAUAGUUAAGUGAACACGGUGAUAGCAUUGGUCAGACCAAAGAAUAUAAUGGUGUAUGCUCGAGGAAAAACCACGAGUAAGACAACAUUAUGAAUAUCGUUGGUUCUGAUUUGAUUUGACGAUAGCCCAUACUCAAUCAAAGGUUUGGGUAAGAUAAUAGAUCCAACAAUUGAUCACAAGGACCAAUUGAUGAAGAUAUCAUCUUUCUUCAACACACACUACGCAAGAAUAUCCUUUGGAACGAACUAAGUCAGGCAAGCUUUUAUCUUCCAACUCUCCAAGUUGUUGUCUAGCUUAACCAACUAGCUCAGGGAUAUCUAACACCGAUUCUUGGAGAAGGGGUGGUUUACAGGAAACCAUCUUGAUCACGAACUCAACAUAGCGGUCAGGUGGCGACCUGGUGAUACUUCCGAGAAGAUAUUCGGAAAAUCACGAACCACCGAUAUGUUACUAAGCUCAAGAACAACCUUGCUUUUGAGGGCAAGACGAUAUGAUCAAAUGAGUGAGGACUUGACAAGAUCCUAACUCAUCAAUCGAAGGGUGCACCGAAAUAAGGGCUAGGUAGCACGAUCAGUCUUAGAAGGAUGAUUCAAAAAACCAACACGCUAAGAAUGAAAUUAUUGUCCUUUAACUACCAAGCAACGAGGUUGCUAGGAGUAUUGAUUUCACAUGCCAUGAUUCAUUUGUCGGCAUUCCGGUUACAAUAACUCAGGAACCGAGGAAUGAACAAUGAUGGCAAGAAGUAUCACUAUACCAAGAGUUCAUAGGAUGGUGUGCAAUUCCUAUAACAAUCCCGAUAUAAAAGAUGGUAAUACUCCAAGGUAGAACAGACCAGAAGCUGGAUUGCAACUUGACCUGCGGAAUACAAUUGCUUUGACCCAAUCCUAGAUAUGGAUGAGGGUCUGGAGUUUAUUUCUCCUAUUCAUCCUGAAUGGAAUGGCUUGACGGACCACAAGAGUAAUAGGCAUCGAUAAACGAAUGCACGCAUACUCUUGACUAUCAAUUGAUAGAUGAGGGUCGGAAGACAACUAAGAGGGACAACUCAAAGAACAUAUAAUUUUCUGAGUUAUGGAUGCAUAGAUUAGUAUGUCGAACCAAGUUCAACAUGUUUCUUCCGGAUAAGCCAUGCAGAGAGGUAGGACCGGCAGAGUCACAAUAUAGAAUGGAGAACUCAUCAAGAGCACUCUGGUUGUGAUCUUUAGGUCCAACAAACUCCUGCCGUAAGUCGUUCAUAGUAUUUGGAAGAAGGAAAAUACCAUGAACCUCGAGGACUAUCGCAAAGGUUACUAAUAUCCUAAAGGAACUAGCAACACUAUCAACAUGAUGUAAGUAGGGUGAAUCUCGAGUUCAAGAACCCAGGAAUAGAAUACCUACUCCUAAGUAGCAUCACGAGAUGCUUUCGAGAAUGAUGGCCAGAAUCUUCACACUGGGAACACAAAACAUUGCUAGAUUACUAGGUGACUCCCUAAAACACCUAGGGUCAUAAUAGUAACUCCAACAUAUAUGUCGAGGCGAUAAAUUACCUCAACGCACCGGUUAGUGUGCUUAUUCUGACCAUGAAGGACAUCGGGAAUGGAAAGAAAGGAUUUGCAAAUGCAUCAGACUAUUUAGAAACCUGGGAUGACUCGGACGGCAUAACGGCUGUAAAUGCUCAGAAAAGAUUUGAGACAUUCACAAAAAUGGUGGCAUAACCACUCAGAAGCACAAUAUCAAGGUUUCGAGAUCAUCAGUUAACAUACGGGAGUAGUAGAAACUGAACAGAGGCUUAAGUCCAACAAUUCUAUAAGUCUACGGAUUAGUAACACGUGAUCCUGAUAGAAGAAGAGAAAGCCUAGUUCCUUAACCCCGUAGAAAGAUAAGAUGACUCAGAUCAGAACGGCAUGAGGUAUAAGGAGUAAAAAGAGCCUUACGUUCCAUCACACAAUCAAUUCCCUUAUAUAACUAAAGAAUUUCUAGACUCAACUUCGACCAGUUUGGCUUGGUAAUCCUACAGGCAGUCAAGCUCUGAUACCAAAGCUGUCAGGACCCCGAUCCUAAGUCACACCGAUCUAGCAUGUAACACAUCAUACCACUUUGCGGCCUCACGCACAGUAUUCCCACGGGUGCCACCUUACCUGGCCCGAGACCGUUUGCGCCUUUUGGCUCACGUAUAUGAUAGUGUCGCUAGCAUCCAUAUGACAAAGAACCCGGGCUGACAUGGCUAGUCGUGAACCCAAAGUGGCACUAACUUACAGGGACAGGCAUCCAUGACCCAACAUCGAACGUGUCGGUCAUCAGCGAGUGAAUCCAGGCUGUAGCACUGGGCUAGCAGGACUCCGGUGAACCGGGCUGUAGCGGGCUAACAGGACUCCGGUAUUCAUCGCGUGACAUUUCCCCGAAGGGACAGACACAGGAACGAAGAAGGACACAUGCCGGCCAGCCUAAGUGUUCCGGAGCAGUAGCAAGCUACCAUGGCUCAGUGGAAACACUAGGAGACAUUUCCCGGUAAGAGAGGCUACUAAGGAUAAACAACUAGAUAGUCAGAUCCCACACAUACCAAGCAUUUCAAUAACAUACACACAAUAUGCUCGAUAUGUGCAAUACAACCUGGCAUCACAACAUGACUCUACAACUCAAGUAUUAUUCAAUAGGCUCCGAGGAGCGAGAAAUUACAAACAUGGGUCUCAUGACCCAACAAUCAGAGCAUACAAGUCAAAGCACAAGCGGAAGCUAUCAUGUCUGAGUACAGACAUCUAUAAAUGAAAAAGGGUGAAAGCCUGACUAUCUACCAGAUCCUGCCGAGGGCACAAGAUCGUAGCUGAGGUAACAAGCUAAACGUCGAAGUCCACGUGGUACUACUAGCGAGACUGAAGUCUCUCUGCAAAAACAUAAAUUAAGCAACGUGAGUACAAAUGUAUCCAGCAAGACUUACAUCAGAACUAACUACAUAUGCAUCAUUAUCAACAAAGGGGAUGGUGGGGUUUAACUACAGCAAGCCAGCUUUGACUCGGUGGCUAACCUGAACUACGACUACAAGUAACUCUUUUGAGGUGGUGCACACGAGUCCACAUAUUCACCAUAUCAAUACACCACUAUGGAUCCGCUCCCGUCUCCCUACGAGACCGCCAUCCAUAGCACUCACGCUUAUCUUGCGUAUUUUAGAGUAUCCACUUUCACUUGUCUAUGAACUAUGCAAGGGGUCCAAGUUUCCAUAUCCGAGGAAUCCCGCUAUUCGAAUAGAUAAUGAUAACCCUGCAGGGGUGUACUUCUUCACACACGCUUCCGCCACUUAUCGCCCUGUACACGUCAUGUAUCUCGGCAACCUUCAAGCGGAAGCCGGGCGAGGGAGUCGGCCACGACCUGACUAACCAAACAAGUCUCUCGUCCAGGUUUCUCGCCUAUUCGGGUUCCAUCCGCAAGGAGAUCCGGCCGGGGUGUCGCUCACGGCCCCAAACGAUGUGAGCAGGGUUCCCAAGCCCACCAUCCGGGUGCCACUUGGUACACCGUGCCACUGUGCCUAGUCUGUCCCAAGCCCACCUGUACCGGGUGCCACUUGGUAGACUACUAACACUACCUACAAACACCAGAAACUAGUUGCAACUCCUGGACAGAGAUCAUGCUGAUUAAUAAGUCGAGAGGGGUCGAGUUACCGGAACCCAAUGUGUGGUAGUAACUGGUCAUGGAUCACAAACACAGAACUCAGUUCCUGAGGACGGCUGCAAUGAGACAACCCACCAUGUACUCCUACAUGGCCUCUCACCGCUACCUUUACCAAAUCGUGUUCACAAACUUAGCUCUCAACGAUAGGACAUGUUCACACACCUCUGAUUCAUCCCCGAUGAAUCAGACCUGACUCAACUCUAAGCAGUAGCAGGCAUGACAAACAAGCAUGAAUGAGUAGGCACAACAGGGCUCAAACAACUCCUACUCAUGCUAGUGGGUUUCAUCUAUUUACUGUGGCAAUGACAGGUCAUGCAGAGGAUAAAAGGUUCAGCUACCGCAGCAAGUAACAGAUGAACCGUUGUUGUCCUAAUGCAGUAAAAGAGAGCAGGAGCGAGAGAGUGGGAUUGUAUCGUAAUGAACGAGGUUUUGCUUGCCUGGCACUUCUGAAGAUAAUAUAGCUCUUCAUCGGUGUCAUCGAACUCAUCGUCGGAACCACGUCUAUCGAGAGGGGGCAAGUUCCGGCAACACAGAAGGAAACAUAAUCAAUGCAAUGCACAAUAUGAUGCAUGCUCAUGACAUGGCAAUAUGAAUGUGUUUUGGGCUAAUGCACCUAGCUAUGAUUUAAAUGAAGUUGGUUUGAAUACAUGAUUCAAAUUCCAACUCCAUAUAUGAUUAUUUAAAUGCCCUAUAUUUGUUUUGUCCAAAACAGAGGACAAACUUUGUUCAAACAUGCAUGAAAAUGGUACAGAUGGAUUCCUUGAAUUUUUCUGAUAAUUUUUCAUAUAUAAUUUAUUUAAUUUGGAGUUACGGUUGAAUUUCUAUGAUUUUUUGAAGUUUGGGAUAUUUUCUGGAUUUUUCUGAAUAAAAACAAACCCAAAAAACAUUACUGCGUUAACCUGACAUCAUCAUGACGUCAACAGGUCAACAGGGGCUGGUCCGGGUCAAACCUGACGUGUGGGGUCCACACGUCAGUGUCACAGUUAGUUAACAGGGGGUUAUUUGCUUAAUUAAAGGAUUAGGGGGGGUCGGGGCCCACUGGUCAGUGUUAGUGGCUAAUUGGUUUUAGUUAAUAUUUAACUAAAAUUAGCAGGGCCUGGCCCCACUAGUCAGCGACCCUGGGGGGUCAAACCCCAGGUCGAACAAGUCAAACCCGCCGGCGGUUAGUCGCCGGCGAGAUCCGCGGCGUACUUGUGCUCCGGGUUUCCUCGGUGGUGCUCCAAAUGGCGCGCAGCUAGGCGCGUUGGAGAGCUAGCUCGAUGGCGCAUCGGGCGGUGGCCGUGGCUGGGCCUGGGGUGGCCGGAGUCGACGGCGGCGAGCUCGGCUGCGGCUGCCGGAGUUCGGUCAUGCACGAGAGCGUGUUUGGAGCGCGAAAACGGGAGAAGCAACGCACUAGGGAUGCUCUACGUGGCCCUACAAGCUUGUUGGACUCGCCGGGGUGACCAAAUGGUCACCGGAGCUGCGUCGACGGCGAGCUCGGCGGCGGCGAAGGUUCGGCCAUGGUGGGGAGGAGGGCUACGGCGUGCGGGCAGCUAAACGGAGAGAGGGGAAUGGUGGCGGAGCUCACCGCGGUUGCAACGGGCGUCGAAGCGGGCUCGGGAAAGCGACGACGGUGGCGAAUCGACGGUGAAGAUUCUCGGCGGCCGGUGGUGGAGAAGGCGACGGUGGCGGCGUUGCAGCGCGUCCGGGACCUCGUGGCUUGGUGGAGAGGAUGAGGGGGUCGAGGCGGAGCUUCUGCGCGUGUCGGAGAGGCGAGGGGGAGGCUGUGGCUGCGGCUAUGGCGAACGGCGGCGACCGGCGCGUUCGGACACGAGAGAGAGGGAGCGAGGGAGAGGNNNNNNNNNNNNNNNNNNNNNNNNNNNNNNNNNNNNNNNNNNNNNNNNNNNNNNNNNNNNNNNNNNNNNNNNNNNNNNNNNNNNNNNNNNNNNNNNNNNNNNNNNNNNNNNNNNNNNNNNNNNNNNNNNNNNNNNNNNNNNNNNNNNNNNNNNNNNNNNNNNNNNNNNNNNNNNNNNNNNNNNNNNNNNNNNNGGGCGUUCCAUGGCGACGAGGAGGGCGCCAGGCAGGCAGAGAGGCUGGUGGCGUGGCGCGGCGGAACGCGCGCGCGUCGGGCACGCGCCCGUCCUCCUGUCGGGGAGGAAGACGACAGAGGAGUGGGCCGCCUGGUGGGCUGGGCCGCACCGGUGGGCUGCCAGCACAGGAGCUGGGCCGGUGGGCUGAGAGGUGAGCGUCAGGUAGUCCCUCUGCUCUUUCCUUCUCUUUUCUAUUUUCUACAGUUUGUUUUGAUUUAGUUUUAGACACUAAAUCAUUUUUUUUAAAUUCUGUAGGUUUUUAUGUGGCUUGCUAAAAUAUAUACAAAGCCACUCACAAACUUCCAGAAUUAUUGGAGUCAUAUUUAAUAUAUAUAAAAUAUAAAUCCAAAGCAAAUAGUUAUUGGAUUAAUUCAAAUGGUCAAAAUAAAUAUCUCUGAGACUCCAAAAAUAUUGGUUUGAAUUUUACCUCUUACCAAUAUUUUUAUGAAAUAACAGGAACAUUUUCUUGGACUCAUUUGAGAAGAUUUAAAUGUUGGUUAUUUUUAGAGGUUUCCUGAGGCUUUGAAAAUUCCUCAAUUCAAAUUUAAAGAAAUUUAGACAUGAUGCAUGGAUGCAAUGCCACUAGUUACAAGCAAGCUCUAGGAACAGAAAGCAAAAGCACGUUUCUGUUUUUUCUCGUGAGCGCAAAAGCACGUGAUUUAUAGAUUUUUUUCUCGUGAGCACAAAGUUUCUGUUUUUCAGGAACAGAAAGUAGAAGCAAAAUUUAUUACUAAACAGGAACAAAAACAAAAAACACAAAUAAAAUUGGGUUACCUCCCAACUAGCGCUAUCAUUUAACGCCCCUAGCUAGGCAUAAAAGCGAAGAUAGAUCUAAGUAGUGCCAUCUUUGGCACUUGAUUCAUAGCUAGCUCGCAUGAUAGUUUCAUAAGGUAAUUUGACUUUCUUUCUUGGAAAGUGAUCCAUGCCUUUCUUUAAUGGAAAUUGGAAUCUAAUAUUCCCUUCCUUCAUAUCAAUAAUCACGCCAAUCGUUCUAAGGAAAGGCCUACCAAGUAUAAUAGGGCAAGAAAGAUUGCAAUCUAUAUCAAGAACGAUAAAAUCUACGGGAACCAAAUUUCUAUUUGCAACAACGAGAACAUCAUUGAUCCUUCCCAUUGGCUUUUUAAUGGUGGAAUCCGCAAGGUGCAAAUUUAAAGAGCAAUCAUCAAGAUCAUGGAAACCUAGAAUAUCACAUAAAGUUUUCGGAAUCGUGGAAACACUAGCACCCAAAUCACACAAAGCAAAACACUCAUGAUCUUUAAUUUUAAUCUUUAUAGUAGUUUCACACUCAUCAUUAAGUUUUCUAGGUAUAAAAACUUCCAAAUUAAGUUUUUCAUCAAAAGAUUGCAUUAAGGCAUCAAUGAUAUGUUUGGUAAAAGCUUUAUUUUGACUAUAAGCAUGAGGAGAAUUAACAAUGGAUUGCAACAAGGAAAUACAACUUUCUAAAGAACAAUUAUCAUAAUCAAAUUCCUUGAAAUCCGAGAUUGUGGGUUCAGUACGAUUUAAAGUCAUGACCUCUCCAAUCCCACUUUUACCAAAUUUAGCAUCAAGAUCUAAAAACUCUGAAUUCUUGGGACGCCUUCUAAAUGAAGUUGACUCAUAUCCAGUCCCAUUAUUAUCAAGAUUCAUAUUGCAUACACAGCAAUAACUUUAAGAUUUUCAUCAUUAUUUUCAUGGAAACUAGAAGAACACGCCUUUACAAAGCAAUCUUUCUUAGCAUGCAAUCUAGCGGUUCUUUCCUUGCUCUCAUCAAUGGAAAUUAUCAUGGCUUUGUGAGACUCAUUGAUAUCAUGCUUAGGAGGAGUAGAUCUAAGUUUAAUAGAAUCAACAUCAAGCAAAAGUCUAUCAACGUUCCUAGCUAAAUCAUCAACUUUGAGCAAUUUUUCUUCAAGCAAAGCAUUAAAAUUCUUUUGCGAAAUCAUAAAUUCUUUCAUGCUAUCCUCAAAAUCAGAGGGCAUCUUAUUAAAAUUACCAUAAGAAUUAUUGUAGGAAUUUCCAUAAUUAUUAGAGGAAUUACUAGGGAACAUUCUAGAAUUAAAGUUUCCACUAUAAGCAUUGUUUCCAAAACUAUUGCUACCAACAAAAUUCACAUCCAUAGCACUACAAAAAAAAUACACUUCCGUGAUGAUACAUGUUUGUCACAGUAGGUCGCGUUUUUUGUCAUGCAUGUACAUCCAUGACGAUUUUAUGACAAAAUGAAGAUAGUCAUACCUCUGUUGUCGUAGAAGUGUUCCAUGACAUUACCAAAAUUAUCAUCACGGAAGUGUUCACUUCCAUGACGAUAAAUCGCGCGUCACAGAAGUGCUUUCGUCAAGGGUAACCGACAUGUGGCAUCCACCGUAAGGGAACACCGUUAAGCUGUCUGGUCGGGUUUUGGAUCCGAUAACCCGUUAACAGCCACGACCAAUGGGGAUUUUCCACGUGUAAAAUUAUCAUUGGCUGGAGGAAACACGUGUCGGCUCACCGUUGGGACAGAUGUCAUCCACUCAUUGGACAGAAGGCGCCUAUGAUAUGUCGACACGUGGCACGACCCAACAGAGGCCCAUUCCUAUGAGAAGGCCGGCCCAUUUGACUUGGUCAAAAGGUGGCGGGCCGGCCCAUGGAAAGCCUGUUGACGGCCUGUUCGCAUAUAGCCCAUUUACAGCCCGCUAACCCAAGGCCCGUUAAGCGCUAUCCAAAUUAGGCCCAGUAGCGUCAUCUGGGCCAUCCAAUAUGAUUCCAGCCAGUUUUCACUUCUGGCCCAUGUAUGGCCCGUGACGUCUUUUGGUCCAUAUGAGGCCCUAUGUAACUCUUGGCCUAUUAAUGGCCCGUGGUGAAACUGGCCCGCAACAAACAGUGUAUCACUUUACACCCAUUAACGGCCCGGGUGAAACUGGCCCGUAAUGAACAGUAUAUCACUUUAUACCCAUUAAGGGCCCAUUAUUCAGUUGGGCCGUUUCUAGCAAAUGUUAUCUUUCGGCCUUCUCAGAGCCCAUUUAUUCUUGGGCUCAUUUCCAGCAUUCGUUUACUUACGACCCUUUACUAUCAUUUUCUGCUUGUGGGCCAAAUUCAGCCCGUGGUUACAUCGGCCCGUUUGUGGUCCGUUAAUAUGUUGGGCCAUUUUGAUAGCGUCAUCAAAUACAGCCUAUUAACGAUGGCUUGUUAUGGUCAUACGGCCCGUAUAAGGCCCAUUGAUGAUAUGGCCUGUAUAAGGCCCAUUGAUGAUACGACCCGUAGAAGGCCCAUUGUUUCUAUGGCCCGUAGAAGGCCCAUUGUUUCUACGGCCCAUAGAAGGCCCAUUGUUUCUACGUCCCGUAGAAGGCCUACUAUUUCUACGGCCUGUAGGAGGCCCAGUGUCACUAUAGUAAAUAUUAGCCCAUGGUUAUUGUGGCCUAGUUUUAAAAAGAACUGCACUGACUACAAGCAAACAAAUAAACAAGACAACAAGGAAAUAAAUAAGCAAGCAACUUAUGCUAGGCUAUCACGGCUGUUACACAUAUUACAUCCACUGGGCAUCAAAGUUCGCCACCAGUGCAAAUAUAGGGAACAAAGCAACAUAUCAUAUACACUGGUUGUCAAAGUUGGCGACCAACGCAAAUAAAUGCCGCAGCAAAACAAAUCCAGAACUGAAACCACUUCAGAAAAUCUCAAGAAACAAUAUCCUGGGUACCCAUAAUGCUGGCAAGAUGCUUAGCAAGCUUAUUAACUUUCUCUUGUUUGGCGCUUAAAUACUCCAGCGCUUGCUGUUGCACCAGAAAAUAUGCAUCUGAAUUCUGUAGGGACUUCCUCAGUCCUUCAGCUUCCUAUCACAGCACAUUUGAUCGAUGUCUUUCAACUUGAAGUUGAGAUUCAAGAAGACGAACUGAUUCAGACAGCGAGUUUGAAGAGCUUGUGCCAACAGUAGUGGCCAGUAACUCGAACACUACAUCAAGACAGGACUUUUGGGUUCCCUCACUGUCGUCAAGAUAGUUUUUAUUAGCUUUCUUGGAGACCAACAGCGAUGUCUCACUAUCUUGAACCUUAUCUGCAUUACUUCCUUUACCAUUGGAUCACGCGGUACUGUUCUUCAAUAUUUUGUUCGCAUUCUAAAAGAGAAACAAGGAAACACAUCACAUGUUUACCAUGUUGUAUAUGAAACUCAUUUUGGUAAAUGAGUUUAGUAGUAAAGUGGACAGGAUAACAACAUGAAACAAACAUAUAUCUAUGUACCAUGGUCACUUUAUGGUCUAUAUCAUUCUAGUUUUUGUUGCCAAAUCAAGAUAGAGACACAGUUCAAAUAAUAUUUGUUCAAGACAAAGCAGAAUAGACAGAAUAUAAGUGUGGGUAACUAUAGAGCAAUAACAACACUUGUAAUAUGCAUGACAUGAGAACAUAACUGUUUAUUCAAUUGAAACUGAAAUCAACAUAGAGCAGGUUACAACAGGAAACAAGUUAAAGAAACAGGUUUAAAAUAUACCUGUUGCGCCAUUGGAGUUUCAAUUCCAUCCUUCAAAUUUGAAAAUAGUUGGUAUGAGUAAAUACAGUAAUGCAAGAGCAAAGGAGUAUGAACCAUAGCUAUAGAACCUGACCUGAGAACAAAUCUUCUUCUCCUCUAAGCGUUGAGUUGGGAUUCGGAGUGGUGGUCCUCGUGCUUUGGGCACUGCUGUUCCCUUACUAACCGCUCGUGUUUGGGUGCUCUGUGGUGGAGAUGGUGCUGUGUCAACUGAAACUGGGUUACUAUCUGCCGGGGUUGGGAUUAGAAGGGGUGUAGCUGGUUCUCUAUCCAACUGGGUAGGGGUACAAUCUGUGAGAGUCUGGGUUAUGUGUGGUGGAUCUGGUCCUUGGGCAAGUACAACCGUGGUUCUAUCUGCAUCAACUAGUAGCACUAUAUUUUCUAAAGACCGUGUUGUUACUCCCUUAGAUACUGCCAGCACGCUCUCCAAUUCAAAUGGCUGAUAAACAAGAAAGUAAUUGAAAGUAUAGACAUUGUAUGAUAGACAGGUGCAAUGGAUAGUGGGGAAUAAAAGAGGGCAUGAAAUAAUUCAUAUUUAUGUUGUCUAACCAAAUAGGAUAGCAUGCCACAAUUUCACAUAUAUGAUGGCUAACUAAACAGGAUAGCAUGACACAAUUUCACAUUAUGAUGGCUAACUAAAAAAGAUGGAAAGGCAUAGUUCAAAAUAUGAGAUUAUGUAAACAAGAUGACAUGACAUAACUAUAUAAUGUGUUUAUUAAAUAGGUUGGCAUGCCAUAAUUCACAUACAUUCAUGGAUAGACUGCCAUAAUUCUAAAUAUGAUGACUGUAAACACUAAACAGGAUGAGAUGAUAUAACUAUAUGAUGUCUUUAUUAAAUGGGUUGCCAUGCCAUAAUUUAGAUAGAUGAUGUGUAUGUACUAUGUAAACAUGAUGGCAUGAUGUAAUUCAAAUAUAUGAUUUAUAUAGUAAGCAAGUAAGCAGAUGACAAUUUAUAUAUGAUGUAAACACUAAGCAAUGCAAGACAACAUGCAUGACAUGGGUAAUAUAACCCUGCCAAGUUUGAGCAUAGACCUCAGGGGGGAAAUAGGACUGGUCAUCAGUCUCUGAAUCCUCCUCUAAGGAGCUCUCUGUAGCCAGCAAGAUGUCUGCUUCAGCAGGUAGCAUUGUCUGCUCUGAAUACCUUGUUUUCACUCCAGAUACUUCCAUCACCGCUUCAAAUGGCUGAUGCACAGGAAGAGUAGUUGAAUAUACAAACGUUGUCGACAAAUGGAACACGUAAUACAAAAAAAUGAUAGCAUGAUAUAAUUCACAUACAUGAUGAUUGGCUAAACAACAUGGCAUUGCAUAAUUCACAUAUAUAAUGCCUUUGCAACAAGAUAGCAUUGUAUAAUUCACAUAUAUAAUGUCUUGCAACAAGAUGGCAAUCCAUAAUUCACAUAUAUGGUAAUUAGACACUGAACAUGUGGCAUUCACACAAAGCAUGUCUAAACUAAUCAAAUGGCAUAGCAAUGCGAGACACCAUACGCACGAUAUGAGCAGCAUAACCCUGCCAAGUUAGAGCAUACACCUCGGGGGGAAUAGGACUGGUCAUCUGUCUCUGAAUCCUCCUCUGAGGAGCUAUCCGUAACCAGCGAGAUAUGCGCUUCGUCAGAUAGCAUAGUCUGCUCAGAAGACCUUGUUUUCACUCCAGAAUUUGCCAUAACUGUGUCAAAUGGCUGAUGCACACGAAGAGCAGUUGAAUGUACUAACAUUGUUGACAAAUGUAAUAUGUAACGAAAAAAAGGAUGGCCUGAUAUAAUUUACAUAUAAGAUGACUGGCUAAGCAGGAUGGCAUUGCAAAAUUCACAUAUAUGAUGCCUGGCUAAACAAGGUGGCGUUGCAUAAUUCACAUAAACGAUGAAUAAACUAAACAGAUGGCAUUUGCAUAAAGGAUGUCUAAACUAAGCACAUGACAUAUUUGAUGUAUAAAGUAAGCAAUGCAAGACACUAUAUGCAUGAUAUAACCAACAUCAGCAUGCCAAGUUAGAGCGAAGACCUCAGGGGGUAAAUAUGAGUUAUCUUCUCCUUCUGAAUCCCCCUCAGAAUAGAUAUCUCCCUCUCGAUUACAAUUCAAAAUGUGUGGAGGGGGGGCUGCCUUUGCGCCUACCAUGGAGCGACGUUUGCAUGAAAUUAUAUUGCCACGCAAGGCUCGUCUCUUUUGCUCUACAUGUUCAGUUCCAUUGUUUACAAUAACUGUCAUGCAUAGGAAUAAAACAUAGUGAGAUUAUGUAAGGAGUGCAUGCAGAAAUCCAGAGUGAUGGUAGCAACCUGUGGAUAGACCCAAAACCAAUAAUAGCAGGCAGAUAAUGGCUUCAGUUAAUAAAUAUAGAUAAUGGCUUCUUUACUAUUUGUUUCCCACCCAACAUGAAGCUCAUAGUAGACACUGUAGAUUAACCAGAUAGUAGAUAGAUACUAUUGAUAGCGGCCCCGAUAUGUACCCCACAACCAUUUAAAAACUCAAGUUUGACCAUUAGUUUGGACCUGACUCAGAGUCUAAUCGGUGAAUAGGACGAUAAAGUAGCAUGUAAUAUUAAGCGAUGCAUAACGUAAGCAGACACGAAAGAGUGCGACCUCUCUUGCGGACCCGUGUAGUCCUCAAGGUCAUCUGCUCGGUUAAUGAUGGUAAUGCAGUUUUCAUGGCUGCCAGCAGCGGGGAAGAAGAUCUGAGCCGGCGAAAGACAGUCUGGAGGCCGGAUCCCUGCUGUGCUGGACCCUUCUAUCAUUGGAGCAGCUGAGCUGGGGUGGACGACGACGCAUCAAGAGCAGGACAAACCACGCAAGGUUUUCUUUGACAACUAUUUGUAAGAGAAGGAAUUCUGUAAGGGCUCGUUUGAAUUGGAGGAUUCCAACAAUGCAGGGAUAGGAAAUAGACAGGAAUAGGAUAGGAAUGCACGUGCAAAACAGAGAAUUUAAAAACACAGGAUUUCUGCCAAUCUGGGUGUUAGAUUCACAACAAUUGGAAGAUCACAGGAUGCAAAGAAGCAUGGUGAGAUUAAGUCAAACCAUAAGAAAAUGUACGGUUAUAAUGCUAUUAUGCUACUAUCUCUUAGUCUUGUGCUUCAUGAAUAGGAAUUUGAAAAGGAGGACAAGUGAAAUUUAAAAUUCCUACAUUUUUUCUUUCAAGGAGACACUAAAGGAACAAAUCCGUGUGCUCAGUGGACAAUAUAUAUAACAUGUAGUGUAAAAAAGAGAUGCAACAAGUGUACAACCUCUUGGGCGAAGCCAUGUCGAUCUCAGCGUGAUUGGGUUGGCCGGUGAGGAUGCUCCGGCUGACUUUGCUGUCGGAGGAGGGGAAGAAGAUCUUAGGCGUCUGGAGAUGGAGCCCGAGGUACUGCUCCACUGUGAUGGAGGGUUUCGUUGUUGGAGAAGCUCUGCUGAGUUGUACGACGCCGAGGCUGAAGCAGGACAAGAGAGACAACGAACAACGUUAACCUGAGUGGAAUUCUAAUAGCAUCUCCAAUACAUGACGUAAAAUACAUAACCACAAAGUGCUAGAUGUAAAAUACAUCAACCGCUCAUCUCUGAACUUAACUGUGGAAACUGAACUUAACUGCCGAAAAUGAAAUUAACUGUCGAAACUGAAUUUAACUGUCGAAACUGAAUUUUGCUGUCAAAACUGAACGCACUAGCAAGGUGAGGCUACAGGUCGGUCGACUGACUUUUUCAUCUCUGGUCAGUCGAUUUUGCAGCCGUUGGAUAUGAAAUCAAGGGCCUGCGGUUCAUCUUCAACCUCCACCCCCCUGAGCCGCCAGCCACCACCGGCCAAACAGCAGCCCCGCGCCACCCGCGGCCGGUGGUGCGCUGCCUCGCCCGCCCCGAAAACACUCCCCAUCGCCGGUCCGCCGCCACUCCGGCCAUCCCUCUAGGCCCCCCCGUGCUGAGCUUUUUCUCCGGCGAUCCCCACGCCACUGCCCCGCCACCGCCGGCGACCACCGCCCCCAUCCUGAACCCUAAGAUAGAUAGUGGGGUACCUCUCCGGUGAGCCCCCCUCCCCGCUGCGGCUGGUUCUUCCUUCACCCUGGCAAGCCCACCCCUUGAAAAUCAACUGACCCAAAAGUCAAUUUAGUCGACUAAAGUGUAGCCAAAUUGGAGCAGCAUCUCAAGCAAGAGCAAGAGCGAGAUCAGCAGCGCGAGCAAGAGCAAUAGCAAGAGCAGACCAGGCAGGGGACUGAGAGCAAGAGCAGAGCAGCAGCAUGAGCGAGAUCUAAAGCAGCAGCAGCUCCUACUGAUGUGGACGUCGCCGCCGAGGGAGCGACGCCGUGGAGGAAGUGGCCGGCGACGCCGCCGUGGAUGGAGCCGCGCCGUGUCGGCUCAGGACCGAGUGCUGGCAGCACUGUGAGAUUGAAUCAAGAAGAAAAUGCGGCAAUUAGUGUACAACCUCUUUGGUGGCGCCGAUUAGGCCGCAGCUUCAUCCGAGGAAACGGUGAUGAUGAUGCUCUUUCGGUGGUGCAGGUGAAGACGGUGGUGUGGGAAUGGAGGUGGCGCGAAAGACGAGGGGAACGUCAGGGCGGAUCCUUUGAGGUGAGGACGGGGUGGCUGAACCGGUGGGAUGAUGAUAUCGACGACGGAUCCUCAUCCGGUACGGUGGAUGAGGGACAUCGAGGUGUUGCUGUGGACAACAUCGUCGGGCAAGAGGCUCCGGCUGGGUGGCGGACGGAGCAGGGUGUGGGGUUUCGUUGCGAGUUUUCGCGGCCUCGAUGUAUGAAUGGGUGUGCAGAUGGGAUGGCAGUGGGGAACCAUGGCUUAGAGACGCGCUUGUCCGAAAUGUGGGGUAAGUUACGAAAGUACCCCCCACUGAUUUGAGCCGGUUCUUUCGGUUCAGGGGUACCACGGGCAUUUCGCGUGUCGGGAUUUCAUAGGAGGUGGGAGUUUUCGCGCGUGUUGUAAUUUCGGAAUAGCAAGGCGCGGGUUGAGAUGGAGGGAGUUGUCGGAGCACAACGAGACAAAGAUAUAUUUUAAAUAUUUCAGGCUAACAAGGCGCGGGUUGAAAUUUCUGGACAAGCCUAACAUGUACUGUACCAAAUCAAUGCGCACUACAAAUGUCAUUCAAAACUUUGAAUUCAUGUUAUGUUCAAUUAAAAUAUUUCGCUACAUGUAUAAUGCAUGCAACCUACUACUCAAAUGAACGUUUUAGUGCAUUCCAAACAUAUAUACUACCACUUCAAUAUGAACUAAAUUUGAAUAAGAUCUACAGUAAUGAUUGUUGUGAAGUCAAAGCAUUUGUAUUCGUUUCUCAAUUUUAAUAAGAUCUACAAUCAUCAUUAUUGUCAAGUUAAACCAUCGUUUGUGUAUUAUCUUCACAGCACACCACAUGAUUAGUCUCGAGUUACAUAUGAACUAUGUGUACUAUAUGAACUCGAACUAGAUUUUUUGAAUUCAUUUUAUUUUGAUUUCAAAUCACAUUACAUUUCUAGCUCUAGCUAGAUCUUCAUAAUCUAAACCAUGUCUCAUAUGUAUAAUGUGUUUAUCACAUUAUGUAUGGUGCCCCGCCCCCUACGCCUACAAGUAUUUAGAUGUGACUUGGAAACACCACACAUUACCACAAAUUCAAAUAAAAUGUUAGAAUGUUCGAUAUAUAGUAUUGUUUAGAUUGCUCGACAUUUCGUUGUAAGCUGCAAACGCCGCACAUUAUCACAAAUCCAAAUAAAAUGUGAGAUUGUUUGAUGUAUAGUAUGGUUUAGAUUGUUCGGCAUUUAGCUGUGAGUUGCAAACGCCAUGCAUUAUCACAUUAUGGUAUAACAUGUGCACAACACGUGUAUCACCGCUAUAUUCAUGCAUGCAAUGUUUAAAACACUAUGAUCUCCUAUUCAAAUAUAUGAAUCCACUUUCAUAUCAAAUUAUGAUCUUUGUUAGUCUCUUACACCCACACAAUCCUCUAACCUUUGUAGCUACCACUAACUUUCUCUCAUGCAUGCACACGCCCUCCUCUCCCUCCCCCUCCCUCGACAUUCUAUCCACCAGGCACAUUCAUUUUUUUCUUUAGGUCGUUCUCCCAGAGCAUCCACAACUCCUUUUCGACACACACCGAUCGAUAAACCGCUCCUGCGAUGCCUGCCUACAGCAUACACACACAGCUUCAAUCUCCUCCUUUAUGUGUCCUUGCCUCGUGUCUCUCAUAUGGUCAGACACACGUGUAAACUCUCGCCCCUCUUUUCAUCGAUCUCACAACCGCACACUCCUCCCCCUAUCUAGCUAGUAGUUGGGCCUCUCGCAGCACCUCCUAGCUCCAUUCUCUCUGCCUAUCCGUCUCGUUGGGCCUUAUUUGCCUCUAACAAAUGGACGUACACCGACCGAUCUCUCGCUAUACAUAUAGCCAGCUAGGUCCUUAUAACUCGUUUUUACCCACACAUUAUCGAUCUACCUCAUUAGUUGUGUCUCUCCCUUCCUCCGACAAACAACAAUUGAUCUACCAAUCUAGUUAGGUUUGCUUACCAAACACAUGGUUCCCCUUCAUCAUCCAUGGAUGCAUCCCGACAGAUAUAUCACGCACAGGCACACACAGAAACACAUCCCCACUCUUAUUGAUAACAUUGUAGUUCCACCCUCAGUCUGUCUAGUAGGCCUCUCCCAACAUCUCCGAGAAGCAACUCCAUCACCCAUCCAGCACUCUACCCCUCUCCCUCCCUCUCCCUCCCUCUCUCUCUCCUCUCUCUCUCUGUCCCGUCAUAUUUCCUAUCCUUCAGUUAUGUAUGGAUGUCGACCGAUCUCCCUCAAGACAUAGCUGGGUCUCUCCUUCUCAACACAUAUACGAGUCGUUCUACCUCUAUAGUUAGGCCUCUGCCUACCCCUCCCCCCACCCCUCCCCCCACAUACACUGAUACAUCAAGCGCUCUAGUCAUGUCUCCCUGCCACACACAAACUUGACAUGUGCCCUCUAACNNNNNNNNNNNNNNNNNNNNNNNNNNNNNNNNNNNNNNNNNNNNNNNNNNNNNNNNNNNNNNNNNNNNNNNNNNNNNNNNNNNNNNNNNNNNNNNNNNNNNNNNNNNNNNNNNNNNNNNNNNNNNNNNNNNNNNNNNNNNNNNNNNNNNNNNNNNNNNNNNNNNNNNNNNNNNNNNNNNNNNNNNNNNNNNNNNNNNNNNNNNNNNNNNNNNNNNNNNNNNNNNNNNNNNNNNNNNNNNNNNNNNNNNNNNNNNNNNNNNNNNNNNNNNNNNNNNNNNNNNNNNNNNNNNNNNNNNNNNNNNNNNNNNNNNNNNNNNNNNNNNNNNNNNNNNNNNNNNNNNNNNNNNNNNNNNNNNNNNNNNNNNNNNNNNNNNNNNNNNNNNNNNNNNNNNNNNNNNNNNNNNNNNNNNNNNNNNNNNNNNNNNNNNNNNNNNNNNNNNNNNNNNNNNNNNNNNNNNNNNNNNNNNNNNNNGUAUCUCUCACACACACCCACGUAGGUGGGGGACAUGCACGAAGAGAAGAGGUGCAUGCACGGCGCACGUACUCCCGUCUCUUUCCCAACCACACCCGCGCAGGUACACGGUGGAGCUCAUUUCCGUACGAAAAAGGCAGCCCACAUGGUAAUUUGGCACAUGUACUGGUUGUCCACUUGGUGGUGGGAGGAUCGUCUACCACGGGUGAACAAACAAAUUGCGACUUGACGCAUUAUGUUAAAUUGAAAAAAGAGGAAAACCAUGUGGGGCAUACCUUAGAGGCAAGGCUCUAUACACUUGAGUACUUUUGAUGUGUCCCGUCAACUCGCAGAACAAGAAGAAGCUUGCUUAGUACGCCGUCUGCCCCGCCCACGGGCGCGGUGGCUCGCAGGAUGAGGUGAAGCUUGCUCCUCCCUAGCCCAUGCGCGCGGUGGCUCGCAGGACGAGGAGAAAAAUUUACUACUCCCUCCGUUUACUCCUCGUCCCUACUACCUCCGUCCUGGUUUAUUGGUCCUCAUUGUAAUAUGUGCCAAAUUUAACCAUAAAUUUAACUAACAAAAUGCUCAUGCAUGUCACAAAAAAUUAUAUAUUUGAAAACUAUGUUCGAAUAUGAACCCAGCGUUAUAAUUUUUGUUAACAUGCACUAACAUUUUGUCAGUUAAAUCUUUGGUCAAAAUUUAGCACAAACUACAUAGGGGACUAAUAAACCAGGAUGGAGGUAGUACUACCUUGGUUAUAGAGAUUAUAUCAUAUUGUUUGGAAUAUAUAUGUCCUUUAGUAGAUUUCAAUAUGAACUACUAGUACAUACUCCAAACACUGAUGUAUAUAGACGUAUUUUAGAGUGUACAUUCACUCAUUUUGCUCCGUAUGUAGUAGCACUCUCCCUCGCCCCUCGACCCUCGCCCGCGUGGUGGACGUGCAACAAUUCAUUCGGUCUCAUAUAGCCAGAACGAUAUAUACUGCAUUACCAUUAUUGCUCGACUUCCCGAAGAGGCGAAGAGCCAAUAGCAAGGUUAAUAUUUUGGAGAUGCCAAGCGCAAGGUUAUAGGAGAACGAGUAGUAGGUGCCGCGUGAUUUAUAAAUAAUUUUUUUUCUUCAGUGGCACGUACGCAAUAUGAUAGGUUCAUAUGGAGAGAAAAGGAAACCGCUCCACUAUAUACAUAGUCAGGACGGGCCAACCUACACGGUUGCUUGUUGGGGUUGAUCUCUUCACACUCUCGCACAAAACGACUGUGGCUACAUCUCUAACAUCUCGGCGGAUCACGUCCGCUUGGGGAAGGGGUAAUGCUUAGUGUAGAUGCGGUGGCCAUCGCCGGCGGCGAAAACCCACUGUCGGCACUCCCGAUCAGGGGUCCCCACCGUUCUCUCUCACAAAGCCGGUGAGGUUGCCUUCGUCCCUUUCUCACUGCCGCGACGUGGGCAGUUUCUACCUCCCGCCGCCCUCCUCAAGGUUGAGUUACGUCCCUCAGGUACAACUCCCUUUACAGGUGGCUUGCACCACUACUCCAGCUGCCCACAUCACUCCAUGUGGAUAUUUCUCUACUUCUUUGCCCCGCACAUACCUGAUACCUCUACUGGCUUCUACAUACUAUAUUUGUGAUGAGUUUAUGUCUCAUCAACUAGUCCUAGUAGUCUUAUUCUAAUCACGCCUUUUCAAUUUCUUUUCCACAGGGAUGCUCAUCUCGAUUUUGGUGAAACUGCACAAAAUGAACCGAUGGUCAAAAGGUUGCAAACUUCAUUUAUUAGGAAGCUCGAACGUUGCCAGCAAAUUGAAGCCUGGUCAGGGUUCACGGUUCAAGGGCUAGGGACUGCAUGGAUCGUUUUUUUCUUUAGCUGCCUCUGUUCCAAAAUAAGUGUCAACUUUAGUAGUAGUAUAACUUUGUACUAAAGUUUGCACAAAGUUGAGACACUUAUUUUGGAACGAAGGGAGUACAUAUUUGCUAUGAUCUGUCAAUCAUUGAGAUGCAAUAGCAUGCAUGUUAGUAUCCUUUGUAUUUGAUGAAAUGUUACAACGGGCAACCUUGGACGCAAGAUACAUGUAACAGGAGCUGGAAGCUUCAUAGCAUUGUACAAAUUUAUCUCGCUAAUAAAUUACAGUACGUACUAGUACUAUACUAGUACUUCCUCCAUUCCUAAAUAUAAGUCUUUGUAGAGAUUUCACCAUUAACCACAUGCGAAUGUAUAUAGAUGCAUUUUAAGUGUAGAUUCAUUCAUUUUGUUCCGUAUGUAGUUCACCUAGUGGAAUCUCUACAAAGACUUAUCUACUAGUAAUAGCUAGCCCCCACUACUAGGAAUUCUCUAUCCUCUCCUUGAGCCACAUCAUCAAAAUUGACGUAGCCGUUAGAUGAAGUAAAUCAGUCAUAAUAGCCGUAUGAUCUAGACGUUGAGAGGCUCCGCACUAAGCCACAUGCAAGCAUGCAGAAAUACCAUGGCACAUGCAUGUGAGUGGGUUUUAAAUCACAUCAACAUGUCUGCAUGCAAGCAUGCACCGGUAGCAUGCAUGUAAGUGAGCUUUUAAGUCCCAUUAACAUGUCAAAAAGAAAAAUAUAAUCUCAUUAUGCAGUAGGAGUUGGCUGAUCUUUUUUCCUUACGUGGGAUGAUCUAAAUGAUGAUGGGAGUCUAUUUAGUUUGGCUACCACAUUUGUCAUGAGGUUAUAGAUAUUUUUUUAUUUCUAUGAAAUCGAUAAUUUUGCGCAGAGAGAUAUACCGCUGUUCUGCGGCAACGCGCGGGGACUCAUCUAGUAAUAUUUAGGAAUGGAGGGAGUACUAUGUAAAGAGUUAGGUGUCGCACGGUGAUAGUGUGAGGUGGGCCAUGUAAUCACUGAGCCUGCGUGUUUUCACUGCUCUUGCACUCCUACGCUGUAAGAAUGGAGAAAAUUGUAAUCUACUACCUCCUUUCGCCGAAAGCGUGGGACAUCCAGCAGUCCUACCACCUCAGUAAUAAAGACCAAUGAGCCGUCAAAUCACAUAGACCCAACAGUAAGUUGGACGGACGAAGCAACCAUCACUCUUGCGCCAGUGAGAGGUCACAUCCGCUCUACCCGGGCAUGAAUGCGGCACCGAUUCUUUGGAGCGGUGCUGACCAUUUCGGGAGGGAAGCGCACGCGGGCGAUGGAGGGGCUUUGGGUGGGCUAGGCUGGUCAGGAGCGGGCGUAGCAGCUGUCCGCAUGUCCCUACCGGACACGCCCGAAAACGAGAGGAUGCACCAACUCUCGCGGCUAAAAUCGUACACUACACACCAUAUCUCUGUAGGAGUAGGUCGAUCUGUCGCACUCUCUAACACACACAUGCUGUUAAACACACGCACGCACAUGCACACACCUUGGUCCCGGUGCACCUUCUAACGUGACUUAUUACACCUAGACGGAGGGAGUAGUAAGUAUACGAGAUAGGGUGGCACACUAACUUAAGUCGAAUACAAGUGCCCAAAAUUUGUGGGCAUGCUAUAAUAAGGAUUCACUUAAAAUAGUACGUGAGCGAACAGAGGGAUCAAUUGGAUAGUGUUCCCGAGCAGUAGCGAGACUUGUGAGGUAGUAAGAUGCACUGCUGGUGCUUUUAAUUUUUCUUAUUAAUUUUUUGUUUCACCCUCUGACUGGUGGGACCCAACGUACUACGUGGAGAGAGGUAAGGUGACUAAGGCUGCAUUAUUUCUGCAUCGCUGUGGAUAGUCUUACCACCAAAGCCACAUGACACGAUUAUGAUUGAAAUCUGAAUGACUCCCACACACACAAAAAAAACACGGCAUGCCUGUCACACGAAUGCAGGAAUGUAUAAAAGGUUAUUUUCCUCUCGUUGAACAUAACGGGAGGGUUGUGUAGCUGGUUAGCCUGUUCGCUCAUCAAACUUGAGGUCUCGGGUUCGAUAACUAGUAUAUAUAUACACGCUGGAGCCUCAGCGCUUGUAGUUGCUCUCUUCACACUCUCUCACCCUCUCUAGAUCUAAACAAGACUUCGUUGGCCUCUCUCUCCCCUCACUGCUUCUCAAAGAGCCGGCAGGAUCCGUCCACCGGGAAGGGAAGGAGGCUUAACGCUGUUGCUGUCGGCGAGGGAGGGAAUCCACUACCGGCGCUGCUGUUCACUUUCCACCCAGCGGCGGUGCGGGAGGGCCUCCGACCCCUUAUUCUUCGCCGCCGUCCCGUCGCCCACCGAACCACGCCCCAAGAACCUUAAGGUGUAUUUUACUUACUCCACAUGCAUUGCUCUAGCUGCAUGUAUACCAUGAAUCUAGGACGUGGUUCAAAGAGGAAAGUAGUGGGAAAAGUUGUAUAUAGCAUGAAUCUAAGACGUGGUUCAAAGAGGAAAUGAAGGGGGGAAGUUGUAUAGCAUGAAUCUAGGAUGUGGUUCAAAGAGGAAAGGAAUGGGGGGAAAGUAGUGGGGAAAGUUGUAUCGCAUAAAUCUAGGAUGUGGUUCAAAGAGGAAAGGAAGGGGCGAAAGUACUAGUUCAAAAAGGAAAGGAAGGGACAAGGCUGUAGAGUUUGAGCAGGACUAGAUUUGCUGCGCUCACAUAGGGAAAGGUGUCUAAAGAUAACAAAACUGGGACCAACACAAAUAUGCUCCUUGGUUGUUUGUUCUUUGUUGCAACAGACUGUGCAUGACCACAGUACAUCGGUAGAUGUACAUGGUGUUGGUGCGUCCACUGUCCCGUGCAACUCAUUAGCUGUUGUUAAUCUAAGGCCCUGUUUGGUUAAAAACUCCCUAGUCCCUACCUACUUACCUGCUUGGUUCCAGGGACUAAACAUGGACUAGAGGUUAUUAAAUGACAUGAUAAAAGACCAUGUUACCCCUAGUAAUGAACUAAUAGAAACAAGGUGCGAUGCGUGGCAGGGGAAACUGUUGGAAAAAGUCCCAAAAAGACUCCCUCGGGGUCUUCUUUAUUUAGUCCCAAAUGCCCACUUUUAGUCCCGAAAAGUCCCUCCUGUUUGGUUUUGAUGUGACUGACACGGAAUUUUUUUAGUCCCUACACCAAAAUGUCCCUGUAAACAAACACCCUCUAAUAAUGCGCUAGAAAAUUGAUGCAAUGCCACAGUUAAAAGAAAAUUACAUGUUUAACGAAUAUUAUUGUUAAUAUAAUCUCUAUGUUAAUAUUAAUCAAUACCACCAUUUGAGAAAUGCUACUGUCUUGCUUUCUUUCCCAUUUAGAUAAGGUAGAUGCUUCUUUUUGUUGGCUUCUGUGUCAUCCACGGUUAUUGACCACUAAUCGUUUCCUUUGCACCGUUUAAACAGGGUUAUCUACUUCACCUCGUUGCCAUUGUGACCUUUUGUUGCAGUACACAAAACACUUUCGUUUUAAGAGUGUUUUGUGCAGUUCAACCAAAAUGUCACACCGAUAACGUUGCUUGAUUGCUUGAUCUUAGUGGAACUGCACAAGAGGAGAUCUUACUUCCUAUCCGUUAAGGCGAAUUUGGUUCAAAUCUUCUUCUUGUGAGUUGUUUGAAUUCCGCAUCAUGAGAGGUCAGUACUAGCCUUCUUUCACAUGAUUCUGCAGUGUGCUUUCAUAUGUUGUGCUACUUGUACGAUAAUGUUGCUUGGUUUUAGUGAACUGCACAAAUGGAGACAAGACUUCCAAUCUGUAUGUGCACCGUAAUAUCUCAUUGAGGUAAGAUAAGGAUAUUUCACAACUACUGGCCUGUAUUUUGCCACUUUCAUCAGAAAAUUAAGUUUAGUACUAUACUUGUGCUCCCUAAUUGACAUGCCAAAUCUUACAUUGAAGGCGAAGCUUGUCUGUUAUUGAACCAAGUGAUGCAGGGGAAGAACAAGUGGAAGAAAAACAAAAAUCAACUCCCGAUGUUGUAAUGAAGCACUGGAACUGUGAUGACACAAGUAAUGAUAUAGUUUUGCAUCUUAAUUUAUUGCUAUGGCUGGAACGAGCAAUUGUUUUGCCACUGAUUUGAUGCCAUACGUAAUUAUCUCUACUUGUGCAAAUAGGGAUCUUCUUUGAAGAUACCAUAUAUUUUAGUGGAACUGCACAAAAAGAUGUUGGAAACAUUAAACUAAUCGAGGAGUAUAUAGUAAGCAUGGCCACCAUAGUAGAUAGCAACAGAUGGUUUCGGAGAAGUGCUUGAUCUGUAUGCUCUACACAAUAAGCCUCCUGACAAAGAUUGGUACUCGCCCACUAAUUCAUCCAUAUGAUUGAGCUUUUUCAUCUCUAUUGGUGUUGUGCUACUAUUUAUAUACUGUCAUGAAAAAGUAGUAUUGUCCUUGAGAAGUGCUUCAUCUGUGUUGUUUUAAAUAUUUCCUUUCCUUUUUUUCGAGAAAAUAGGGAUGCUAGCAUUUAGUUGUCCUCUUGUCUUUGCACAAUAGGAUCAUCUUCCUCUGAAGAAGAAUAUGGAGUACGUGAAGUGACUAGUUCCAAUUAUGCCAGGAUGAAGAAGCCCUGUAUAUCUUCUCAUUAGAAGGAGCAGUUGAAGGAUGGUUACAUUACUCCCCACAAGACCAAACUAACUUCAGCUCAGAAGGACUGACAAAUCUCCAUUUUUUGCUGUGAUGCGCGAGUACAAUGUUGUUCUAGGAUUCUCAUCAGAAGGAGCAGUUGAAGGAUGGUUACAUUACUCCCCACAAGACCAAACUAACUUCAGCUCAGAAGGACUGACAAAUCUCCAUUUUUUUGUUGUGAUGUGCGAGUACAAUGUUGUUCUAGGAUUCUUUCUGGUGAGUUCCAUUUUUCUAAAAGUGUGCUCUACAUGGACCAUGUAGGUGCCUGUUUAAACUGUCAAUUCAUAGUACAUUUUGCUUUAUACUAAUCACUUUUUUUGUAUUUGUGCAAACAGGGGUGAUCAACUUGAUUUCAAUGGGAACUGCACAAAAAGUUCAUGAAUACAUCGAAUCAUUCAUUUCCACCACAAGAAAGGAGGUGCCGAUAAGUUCAAGGCGUUGCAACAUAUAAGGGCGAAAUCAUACAAGCUACGCGUGAAUUUGGUUGAUUUUGGUGGAACUGCACAAAAAGAACAAUUGGUUUAUUUAGCAUGAGGUGCCAUGUCAAUGUCCGAACUGAUGGCAAACCCUGCCCAUUCCACAAUCGUAGGCAUUUGAUAUUUUGGAAUGGGACAAUCUUGUCAAAUUUUUCUCAUUGAUUUUAAGACAUGCGUUUGAUAUUUUCGAAUGGGACGCCCUUGCUGUCAGUAGCGUCGAUCAAUUUUUUCUUUAUUAUUUAGUUAUGAAGUAAAUAUUGCCUCUAACAUGUGAGUCGCUGAGAUGCAUAAUCAUCGAUUGUUUUGAAUGUUCUCUAUGAAUUGCCAGCCCUGUGUGUUUGACUGCAAUGUACAGAAAUGCUAAAAAGCUGCUCAAACUCUUUGUACUCCUUCUGUUCCUUUUUACUUCGCACAUUGUGAAAGUGCAUACUUUUUGGUAUAAGAUUGGUCAAAGUAGAGAUACUUUGACUGCAGACAAAACUUGUAUAGAAAGGACCGGAGGGAGUACAUGUGAAACUGCUGCAAACGAGGUGAUCACCCUGGGAAUAAUGCUAGUACGUAUUGUUUUGCAUGUUCAUCCAAUGCCAGUGAUACAGGAAUUCGAACUAAUCGAAAUAAAUUCAUUCAUACACGGUCGGAUUUUAUAUAAACAUGCCGGAUUUAAUUACAUUUCAUACAUUCUUCAACUAAAAAGGGGUGUUUGUGGCCGCAUGCAUCUCCCAGAUGCAGAGGCCGGGGGUCAUCCUCCUUUUCUAAAAAAAACUAAAAAGGGGUGCGCUAGAGGUAUAAUUAAUUAACCGAAGCUACCCACCUGUGUCCCGCUGAGCCGAACAGAAGCUUCAGUGACUUAACUGCAGGUGUAGUUGCAUAACUGACAUGUGGCCUGUUGGGCCCAUGUGUCAGUCAGCCAACUGCACCAGCAGUUAAGUAGAAGCAGCGUUCUUCUCCAGCGCAGCUCUCCGACUCCACGUCGCUGUCAAGAAGCUAACCGGCCGUCAAUGGUCAACGCGCCUAGCUUGGCUUCAACCAGAGGGUAGCAGCGGUGGCCUUACUUGGACCCGAGCGGCGGCGACCUACCGUGUUCUACUCUUCCUCGUUUUCUGUGUGGCGCGGCCUCGUUGGCAGCGGGGCGGGGCCUCGGUGGAGCUGGCGAUGUCCUCUGUCUCGUUGCCGGCGGGCGGCGCCUCAGCGGAGCGGUGGAAAUCCUCCCCCACGUUGUCGGCAGGGUGGGGCCUUAGCUGAGCCGACGAUGUCCUCUGCCUUGUUGUUGGUGGGGCGGGGCCUCGGCGGAGCCGACGGUGUCCUCUGCCUCGUUGUUGGCACCACGGGGCCUCGGUGGAGCAGGGCGUCGUCGACACCAGCUGAGCAGGGACUCGCCGGAGCCGGCAUAAUUUUUUGAGGAUAACAAGAGCAUUAAUUAGGUGCUUUUGCAAAACUACAAAAAGUAUUCCACCACUCGCCAUCUACCUUGAUUGGUGAGAUUUUUUAAUUGAGCAUUAUAAACCGGAAAGGAGGGAGUAGUCAAUAAACAAGAGAAUUGCACAAGAAGCGGCCGACAAUUGGGACCAAGCAGCCCAAGCAGUAUUUGUAUUUUUGAGGUGUGAGCACUGCAGAGUUUUUUGAUGUUUACCCCAGAUAUUAAUUUUUCUCCUCUGAACAACAAUGAAAACAUGACUGCUGGGACCCACUAGCUACACCUUCGCACGCAAGGAAGUGCGUCCGGGCAAAAAGAAACGAUUCGCCCCCUGACUGCUGGGUCCCAGCAGGUACACCUUCGCACGCAAGGAAGUGCGUCCGGGCAAAAAAAAAACGAUUCGCCCCCCUAACUGCUGGGACCCAACAGCUACACCUUCGCACGCAAGGAAGUGCGUCCGGGCAAAAAAAAACAAAAACAAAAUGAUUCGCCCCCUGACUGCUGGGACCCACCAGCUACAUCUUCGCAGGCAAGGAAGUGCCUGACAGUCGGGACCCACCUGGUCGAAGCGUACGUAGCAUUGUCAUCCUGGUCGCGAACGUGUACGUACAUAUUGGUCGAUGUAGAGGUGCGCACGUAUCGUAGUAUAGGCGCGAACGUGUCGUAGUAGAGGCACGCACGUAGCAUGUACACGUAUGUACAGCGGCCAGGGUGCAAGAAAGAAAAUACGACCAUGUAUGUGUACAUACGGGCGGGGUCUCGAACGGUUAGUCGCGCAUACGUACGGCGAGGGCUCGUGUUCAUGGGGAGGCAACGGAAUGCGUCGUGUUCAUGGGGAGGCAACGAAAUGCGUCGUGUUCAUGGAGAGGCAAUGGAAUGCGUCAUGUUCAUCGGGAGGCAACGGAACACGUGGGAGCCAACCGGCUUGGACAGAACAGGCAAUGGAAAUGGGGCCUGGCGUACCACAGAACGGAGGAAACGGACCUCCUACGGUCUAAACGGGGUUCCUGCUGAUCGAGAGGGGUGUGGCGUACCGCAAAAUGGAGGAAACGGACCUCCUACGGUCGAAACGGGGGUCCUAUUGAUCAGGAGGGGUGUGGUGUAUCGCAAAACGGAGGAAACGGACCUCCUACGGUCAAAACAGGGGUCCUGUUCAUCGGGAGGGGUGUGGCGUACCNNNNNNNNNNNNNNNNNNNNNNNNNNNNNNNNNNNNNNNNNNNNNNNNNNNNNNNNNNNNNNNNNNNNNNNNNNNNNNNNNNNNNNNNNNNNNNNNNNNNNNNNNNNNNNNNNNNNNNNNNNNNNNNNNNNNNNNNNNNNNNNNNNNNNNNNNNNNNNNNNNNNNNNNNNNNNNNNNNNNNNNNNNNNNNNNNNNNNNNNNNNNNNNNNNNNNNNNNNNNNNNNNNNNNNNNNNNNNNNNNNNNNNNNNNNNNNNNNNNNNNNNNNNNNNNNNNNAAACGGGACUCCACGGGAUACUGUUCAUCUGCACCGUCUACCUCCUCCAGCCUCCACGGGCUACCGUCGACCUCCUCCAACCUCCACGGGCUCCUGUUCAUCCAGCCUCCACCGCGCGCUACUCCACCGUCUACUGUUCAACCACCCCUCCACCGUCUACUGUUCAUCCAUCCCUCCAGACCACGGGGUCCUGUUCAACCACCCUUCCAUGGCCACCCCUCCACCGUCUAUUGUUCAUCCAGCCCUCCACACCACAGGGCCCUGUUCAACCACCCCUCCAUCAUCUACUGUUCAUCCAACCCUCCACACCACGGGGCCCUGUUCAUCCAGAGGCAACACCACCGCUCACUGUUCAUCCACCCCCCGCAACGCUCACUGUUCAUCCAACCGAUCGGCUUCAGUUAGCAGCAGUAGCAAAGGAAUCGCUCCAUCGGGUUCAGUUAACAGCCAUCGAUCGAUCGCUCGGGUUCAGUAACGCGUAGCCUGCAGUGCAAUCGCUCGGGUUCAGUUAGAGCCCAACGCCUCACUCGGGUUCAGUUAGAGCCAACGCCUCGCACACACGCGCGUAUGUGUACGAGAGAAACACGCAUCGCUCGGCCCCCGACCUCUCACCGUAACCGGCAACUCCCCAAAUUUUUCCUCCCCCUCACUUCUACCACGGUUUUUUCCGUCAUGGACGGCCCAAAGAAUGUCAUGCAGCUACGUCUCCGGCCCUCCCAGGACGAAAAGCCCAUUUUCUGUCAUGGUUUUUUGUCAUAGAAGUAGGAUCCCACCACAUCUAUGAUGAUACCGGGUUUUGUCAUAAUUAUCAUCAUAGAAGUGUCAUAUGUAUGAUAUAUUUUUUUUCGUUUGGCCCAAAAUGUCAUGGAUGUGUCUUUUUUUGUAGUGUAGAUUCAUUAUUAUUCUCAAUCAAAGUAGACAAAGGCAUAUCAUUGGGAUCAAGAGGAGUAUUUCUAGUAGCAAACAACUUCAUAAGUUCAUCCAUCUUUCCACUCAAAACAUUGAUUUCUUCUAUAGCAUGCACUUUUUUUACUAGAAGAUCUUUCGGUGUGCCGUUGAGAAUAAUUAGCCAUAAUAUUAUCAAGAAGUUUUGUAGCAUCUCCUAAUGUGAUUUCCAUAAACGUGCCUCCCGCUGCCGAAUCUAAAAGAUUUCUAGAAGCAAAGUUCAAACUGGCAUAAUUUUUUUGUAUGAUCAUCCAUAAAUUCAAACCAUGAGUAGGGCAAUUGCGAAUCAUCAAUUUCAUUCUUUCCCAAGAUUGGGCAACAUGCUCAUGAUCAAGUUGUUUAAAAUUCAUAAUAUCGUUCCUAAGAGUGAUAAUCUUAGCGGGAGGGAAAUACUUAGAGAUAAAAGCAUCUUUGCACUUGUUGCAAGAAUCAAUACUAUUUUUAGGCAAAGACGAAAACCAAACUUUAGCACGAUCUCUAAGCGAAAACGGAAAUAACUUCAAUUUAAUAAUAUCAUUAUCCGUAUCUUUCUUCUUUUGCAUAUCACACAAAUCAACAAAGUUGUUUAGAUGAGUAGUGGCAUCUUCACUAGGAAGGCCGGCGAAUUGAUCUUUCAUAACAAGAUUCAGCAAAGCAGUAUUGAUUUCACAAGACUCAACAUCAUUAAGAGGACCAAUCGGAGUACUAAGGAAAUCAUUAUUAUUGGUACUGGAGAAAUCACACAAUUUGGUAUUAUCUUGCGCCAUGGCAACAAGUAAUCCAACACACAAGCAAACAGAAAAGGGCAAGCGAAAAAGAGAGAGAGAUUGGAAAAGAGAGGGCAAAUAAAAUGGCAAGGGUGAAGUGAGGGAGAGGAAAACGAGAGGCAAAUGGCAAAUAAUGUAAAUGCGAGGGAGAUGAGUUUGUGAUGGGUACUUGGUAUGUCUUGACUUGAGCGAAGACCUCCCCGGCAACGGCGCUAGAAAUCCUUCUUGCUAGGUCUUGAGCUUGCUUUGGUUUUCCUUGAAGAGGAAAGGUGAUGCAACAAUAGUAGCGUAAGUAUUUCCCUCAGUUUUUGAGAACCAAGGUAUCAAUCCAGUAGGAGGCUCCUCAGAAGUCCCACGCACCUACACAAACAAACAAAGAACUCGCAACCAACGCAAUAAAUGGGUUGUCAAUCCCUUCACGGCCACUUGUGAAAGUGAGAUCUAAUAGAGAUAGUAUGAUAAGAUAAAUAUAUUUUUGGUAUUUUUUAUAUAGAUUGGAAAAGUAAAGAUGCAAAUAAAAGUAGAUUGAAAGCUUAUAUGAUAAAAGAUAGACCCAGGGGCCAUAGGUUUCACUAGUGGCUUCUCUCAAGAUAGCAUAAGUAUUACGGUGGGUGAACAAAUUACUAUCGAGCAAUUGAUAGAAAAGCGAAUAAUUAUGAGAUUAUCUAGGCAUGAUCUUGUAUAUAGGCAUCACGUCCGCAACAAGUAGACCGACUCCUUCCUGCAUCUACUACUAUUACUCCACACAUCAACCGCUAUCCAACAUGUAUCUAGAGUAUUAAGUUCAUAAGAACAGAGCAACGCAUUAAGAAAGAUGACAUGAUGUAGAGGGAUAAACUCAUGCAAUAUGAUAUAAACCCCACCUUUUUAUCCUCAAUGGCAACAAUACAAUACGUGCCUUGCUACCCCUGCUGUCACUGGGAAAGGACACCGCAAGAUUGAACCCAAAGCUAAGCACUUCUCCCAUGGCAAGAAAUAUCAAUCUAGUAGGCCAAACCAAACUAAUAAUUUGAAGAGACUUGCAAAGAUAACUCAAUCAUACAUAAAAGAAUUCAGAGGAGAUUCAAAUAUUUCUCAUAUAUAAACUUGAUCAUAAACACACAAUUCAAUGAAUCUCAACAAACACACCGCAAAAAGAGUUUACAUCGAAUAGAUCUCCACAAGAGAGGGGGAGAACAUUGUAUUGAGAUCCAAAAAGAGAGAAGAAGCCAACUAGCUAAUAACUAUGGACCCGAAGGUCUGUGGUAAACUACUCACAACUCAUUGGAGGGGCUAUGGUGUUGAUGUAGAAGCCCACCAUGGUUGAUUCCCCCUCCGGCAGAGCGCCGGUGAAGGCUCCAAGAUGGGAUCUCGCGGAUACAGAAGGUUACAACGGUGGAAAUUGUGUUUCGGUUGCUCCCUGGAUGUUUUUGGGGUACGUAGGUAUAUAUAGGAGGAAGAAGUACGUCGGUGGCCGCUCGAGGGGCCCAGGAUACAGGGGGCGCGCCCAGGAGGGGUGGGCGUGCCCUCCUAUCUCCUGGCCGCCUCGUUUGUUGCUUGACUUGCACUCCAAGUUCUCCGGAUCACGUUCGUUCCAAAAAUCAUGCUCCCGAAGGUUUCAUUCUGUUUGGACUCCAUUUGAUAUUCCUUUUCUUCGAAAUGCUGAAAUAGGCAAAAAACAGCAAUACGGGCUGGGCCUCCGGUUAGUAUGUUAGUCCCAAAAAUGAUAUAAAUGUGUAAAAUAAAGCCCAUAAACAUCCAAAAGGGGUAAUAUAAUAGCAUGGAACAAAAAAAAAA